UUUUUUUUUUUUUGCUCUUUGGCGGAAGGUUGCUAGCAUUUGGCGAAAACACCAUUGUUUCACUUUUUUCUUCUUCAAGUGCUAUAGUCUAUUUUCAUUUUUAAGUGCUCACAGUGACGGAAAUCACUAAUUUUUUUUGUCACAAUGGCGAAAGGCCAUUAGCCAAUAGUUACGGACCGAUUUUCAGGCAAUACCGUGUUUUUUUUAAAUACACGUGUCCGUUUGUGUGUCGGCCUUGGAGGUGCCCUAAGCCCACCAAAAUGACACUUGUACCCCUUGACUGGCCUAAAUGAUUCGGACCACAAUAUAGCCCCAGGAGAAAAGGCCUCGCAUCUAAAACGUCUCAACGGAGGCCCAGAGGCAAGUCAAACGGUCAAGUCUGAACGCCGCCGCACCUGACCGCGUGUGUCCCCGACGCGUACGCGUAAAAAAAGCCCAAAACUGGAACCAGAACGGGUAUACCACCCGUCACCCUAGUCAGGCCUUGUUUCCUCCGGCGACGGCGGAACGAGCGAGAGAGUCCUCGGCGCGGCCGACAACCGGCUGCGGGAUCGCCCGAUUCNNNNNNNNNNNNNNNNNNNNNNNNNNNNNNNNNNNNNNNNNNNNNNNNNNNNNNNNNNNNNNNNNNNNNNNNNNNNNNNNNNNNNNNNNNNNNNNNNNNNNNNNNNNNNNNNNNNNNNNNNNNNNNNNNNNNNNNNNNNNNNNNNNNNNNNNNNNNNNNNNNNNNNNNNNNNNNNNNNNNNNNNNNNNNNNNNNNNNNNNNNNNNNNNNNNNNNNNNNNNNNNNNNNNNNNNNNNNNNNNNNNNNNNNNNNNNNNNNNNNNNNNNNNNNNNNNNNNNNNNNNNNNNNNNNNNNNNNNNNNNNNNNNNNNNNNNNNNNNNNNNNNNNNNNNNNNNNNNNNNNNNNNNNNNNNNNNNNNNNNNNNNNNNNNNNNNNNNNNNNNNNNNNNNNNNNNNNNNNNNNNNNNNNNNNNNNNNNNNNNNNNNNNNNNNNNNNNNNNNNNNNNNNNNNNNNNNNNNNNNNNNNNNNNNNNNGGUUGGAUCGAUCGUGUUGGGUGCGAUUUUGGUGCGCGCGGUUGGUCUUGGGCCGUCGCUUGGUUCGCGAUGGAUCCGGUUGGGCGUGGGAAGCAUCCGAUCGAUUAGGUAGGGUAGGGGGGUGGCGAUGGUCAGGAACGUCUUUCUGGAAGUACUGCGAAUUCAGGAACGAUAACCCAUAAUUGUGCUUCAGGAAGGUAUAGUUUGGGGUUGAAGUUGAGAUGGCUCUGAGUAUUUGUCAUGUGAGGUAUUAUAUGUCGAACCUUCAUACAUGUGUAAUGUGUUUAGCUUAAUUAGCUCCUCUGCUCAUUCCAAAGAAAUAUUGUACAGGAGUUUAGAUGCCUGCACAUUUCUUGCAGGUUAACUGAUAUUAGUUCCUAAACGCUUUCAUGGCUGGCUGCAAUCUCUGCCUUCUGGUAUAGCGCUCUGCCCAUAAGCAUCCAGCUAAGAUUGCUGUCCAGUGUCCGGUGUGGAAGUAAAAGCAUGGUUCCUCAUAGUUAGAGCAAUUUCUUCAUUUCAUUCAGUCACGAAUGUACCAGCUCAGAUUGCUUUACAGUAUGCAAAUAAAAUCAUGUAUCUUCAUAGUUAGAACAAUCCCUUCAUUCAGUCAAGAAUGUGAUUUGCAGGUAAUAACCCACCACCAAAGCCAUGGGAGCGUGUUGGGACUUCAUCUGGUCCAGCGCCUUUCAAACCCCCAUCUGGAGGCAGCACUAGUGACGUUGUUGAGGCCUCUGGGACAGCAAAACCUGGGGAAGUUGUUUCUGCUUCACAGAGCAAUGCUGCUUUCAACGUGAACAAUACAGUUGCAGGGCCUGUGCCCCCGCGUCCCUGGCAGCAGCAAGGAUACGGAAAUACUUAUGGGGGUAAACAAUAAUUUGUGCAGCGUUCCAGCAAUUACAUGCUAUUUGUGGCUUGAAAUGAUAAAUUUUCAAUCAAAAUGCAGGUUAUGGUGCCAGUACCUAUAAUUCAUAUGGUGGAUUUGGUGGGGCUUAUAGUAACGGUGGGCUAUACGGAAAUAAUAACAUGUAUUCAGGGUUUGGAGGUGGUUACGGCAGUUCAUACAGGGGCUCUGGAAUGUAUGGUGGGUCAAUGUAUAAUAACGGGAUGGGAAAUCCAUACGGUGGUAUGGGCAUGUCUCCUUACAAUCAGGGUCCUAAUUCAUUUGGUCCUCCAGCACCACCCCCAGGUUUCUGGGUGUCCUUCCUACGAGUGGUAAUACCAUUUCUACCAACUGAAAAUUGAAUUAGAUAUUGAUUUGUUCAGUUUGGCCUCCAAAAAGUUGAGCAUGAUUCAGCUUUCUGCAAUUAUGUCCUUCAUAUGGUGAUUGCUAUGUUUAAACUUUUGUGGAUCUAAGUUUGCUUGUUUAGUUUUUAUCCCAAAAAAAAGUUUGCUUGUUUAGCCUGUUUGUGCUGCCAUGCUAUGAUUAUCCUGACGAAGUUCAUGCCUUCCUUAUGUAUAAAAAAUACUCCCUCCGUCCCAUAAUGCAAGACGUUUUUUGACUCUAGUGUAGUGUGAAAAAACGUCUUAAAUUAUGGGACGGAGGGAGUAGCUACCAGACAGGUUUCAGGUUUAGCCAGAAAUCAAUGAUCUAAAUCUAUAGGCAUAGCUCUUGUCCAAUGCACAGUUUGUUCCUUGCAUCUUAUGCAUUCAGAAAAUUAAUUGAUCUUUUUAUGCUUCAAAUGGGACAACAACAUUCUAUUUACUCUGGUUCUCACUGAUUGCAGAUGCAUGGGAUUGUGAAUUUCUCUGGACGAGUUGCUUUCCUUAUCAGCCAGAAUACUCAGGCAUUCCACAUGUUCAUCACAGCUCUUUUGCAGGUAUCCUUUGACGAGUGCAUUUCCAUUUGAACUCUAUUCAAGCAUGCUUCUUCAGUGCGGCGAAUCUGCACCCGGGCUCAGCUGCACCCCCGCUCACGGAAAAAAUCAAAACAAAUACAAAAAAAAUUCAAAAAAUUCCAAUUUUUUUUGUGUGAUAGAUAAUUAGAUGCGUGAGGUUCGAUGCAAAAAUCAACUCAUUUGGACAUUUGAGCGAGUCUGUGCAAAAAAGACAAAACCGGGGUCUCUAAAAAAGUUUACUGUUCAUGAACUGUUUUAACCCGAUUUGUCUUUUUUGCCGAGACCUACUCAAAUGUCCAAACGAGUUGAUUUUUGCAGCGGACCUCACGCAUCUAAUUAUCUACCACACAAAAAAAAUUUGGAAUUUUUUGAUUUUUUCUAGUAUUUUUUUGAAUUUUUUGCUGACCGGGAGCAGCUGAGCCCGGGCUCCAGGAUGAAUUAUCCGCUUCUUAAGUUCUUCUGAAUUCUGAUCCAAUUAUAUUAUUUCCACAGCUAUGUGAUAAGUCUGGUAUGCUUUAUGGUGAGCUUGCGAGAUUCACAUUUCGAUUGCUGGGGAUCAAAACCAAACCAAAUAAGGGCAGAAUUCAGGGUGCACAAGCUCCAUCAUCGGAUGGGCCUGGCCAGCAGUUCGUUGAGGCACCAAAAGCUAGCAAGAACUCAUGGGAGAACGUCUGGAGCGGCGAUGCUAAGGGAAUGUGAGCUGCUAUAGGUGUGCAGUUACAGUGACAGGUUUUGUUAGACGAGGACAGUGAGUUUGCUUAUGGCUACGGGGAGAAAGGAAAUCUGCUGAUUUCUGUUCUGACGCAUCUGCCAUUUGAACCAGAGCGAGGAAACCAAGUAACCCCUAUUGCUCGUUGUACUUACCGUGAUUUCUUUUCUUCCCUAGUAUCUGUGUAGUGCUGUUACGAAGAGUUUGCUGCUGUGAGAAAUGUGAGCUUGUAAAGUAUGGCUUUCCUGAUAAUAGAGUAAAUAUUACCCAAAAUGCCUUGUCCGGAGAAGUGGUCCACAAUAUUGCUGUUUCCGGAUAUAUCCUUUUUAAUGAUAACAAUAUAUCUUUUUAUUUUAGCAAAGGAGUAUGCUGGCGCUCCUCGUGAUAACGGCGUGGAAUUAUUAUCUGUUCUCGCAGUUGUUUUGGCCAACAGGCGGAGUGAUCAUGAUUAAUAAGCAAUAUCCCUUCCCUUUGGAACAGUUGCUGGGACCGAUAAAGUUCUUCAGCUCUUGCAGAGGGUAGUGCUGCUACUCGUAAGUGUUACUAGCUGCGUGGUGCGCGAAACUGGUCUGAAGUUGAAGCGCGUUGUUUCUUAUCCUCCUUGGUGCCUGACUGUCGUUUAUGCAGAGCCAUAACUCUGAACUUUUGCCUUUUGAAAACUGUAUGACACGGGAAACUGUUGUAAAGGCUAUGUGAUGUCCUGUGUCUCUGACCAAGAUGGAGCAGAUUUGCAUGGCAACCUCUUGCGAUGACGCAGGUCUUGUGGGUGUAUCAGGUUCCUGCGCUGCGUCCUUAAGUGAACAUGGUCCCUGUAUCUACAGCCCCACUUGAGCAACCAAACCAAACAUGCCAUAUAUCAAAGAUAUAGUACCAUGAAUUUUUCAAAAUCCGUAGAUCGGCUGCCGGGCACCUAAUAUCUCUUCUGCUGUCCAGCAAUCACCGGCGCGACAAGAUCACCCGGAGUCACCAAUGAUCAAGAUAAUGCGGUCGCCACGGCCUUUAAUUUCUUACAAUUUUCCAAGACAAGGCCCGGGAGGAGAUAAUCUGCUGCAAUGGAACACACAAAAUAAAGAAAAUGAGCCCCUUUUAUUGUGUUUCUCCUGACUUGGGUGAUGCUGAUGUCAAGUGGAUGAGGAAGCAGUGUAGGAGGAGCCACCCUUCAUCCCAACCUCCAAUAGCUCAUCCGUAACCUCAACCCCUUCCUUUCUCCCUCAACUAUCUCCACGUCUCCUUGCAAUCUUUGUCUCCAUGCGCAGCUGAAGCCUCCCCCUAUCUGCUAUCUCCUGGCCACUAUAUAUCACUUGCGCUCCCCACCACUCCCUCCCGUUCGUGCUCCCUUCUCGCCCGCGUCCUCCUCUAAGGUAAAGCGCAAUCCAUUCCAUCCAUGUUCUUCGUUCAGCCGCUUCGUGCGCCGCAGUUUCUUCUCGAGCUCGGUCUGCCUGUGGUUCUGUUCAAAGAGUAUGAGGAUCGAGGAGUGUCUUUGUAGCUUUGCCUUUGUCUUCCAUCUCUUUGUUGAUCCUCUGUGGGAGCAGUGAGGAUUUUGUGUUUGUUUCUUCUUUACUUUGCGCUUGCCGAUGCUCCAAAGUUCCAUUGCUAGCUUCACCAUGUUCCUUUAUCAUUUCUGCCAAAAUGAAUCGCGCGGCUGCCUGUUUCGCUGUUUUCUCCUAGGAAAUUGUUCGUCGGUCUUGCUUUCUGCUGAAAGAGCAGUAUGUAUAUCUUUUAUGCAGAAACAAAAUGGGCAUCUGCAUGCACUCUGCAAGAAAGGUGUCCCUUUUUGUUUCUCCAGCCAUGGAACCUGCCAUCAUACUAGUAUUUUUUAGGAGUAGCUUGAUCGGCUUGUUCCUUUAAAGGAAAGGUCGUUCAUACUUUCAUCUUCCCAAGUUUUUUGCAUGUAAACGACGGCCGUUUUGGAGGAAGAUCUAACUCUACCGUCUAACACGCUCGUCCUGUUCUGUUCUUGGUUGCAGAGUGGUGAGGGGUUCGUCGCUGCUAGCCAGGCAAUCAUGGGGGAGACGGUAACCAAUGUAUCGGAGUACCAGGCCAUCGCGAAGCAGAAGCUUCCCAAGAUGGCCUACGACUACUAUGCAUCCGGGGCGGAGGACGAGUGGACCCUCAAGGAGAACAGGGAGGCAUUCUCCAGGAUCCUGUAAGCCAAAUAAUUUUAGUUUGUUCAUUUAACCUGGUUUAUUGACUGUAUACUUUACUAGACAUGCAUGUGUGGGUCGAACGAGCUCUGGGACGUUUGAGUUCCAAACCAGAUUAUCAUAAUUGUUUAGCGCACCGAUCCCGAAAAUAGUGGUCAUCAGAUUAAACCUGAUCAUAAGUACUCCCUCCGUAAAGAAAUAUAAGAGCAUUUAGAUCACUACUUUAGCAAUCUAAACGCUCUUAUAUUUAUUUACAGAGGGAGUAUUAUAUUGCCCUUUGAACUGUAAAUUGCUUCAAGGAGUUUUAUCACUUUUUUGACAAACCAUGCAUACAGAUCUAUUGAAAUGUACAAAACCAUUCCACACUUUCAUGAAUUAUUGUAAAUAGUUCAAAAAUAUGGAGACAGGGAGAAGCCUACAACAUGGUGUGGUUGGCACUUGUACUUAGUCUUGUGUUUGAGGCCAUUUUAUUAUCUGGGUCUGUGUACAUACUAGCAACGUAUAAUGUCGAUAUGAUUCUCCAAGCGGGUCAUCCUUUUUUAUUCACUUAAACAGAAGCACCAUUUUCCUUUUUCGAUGAUACUAGAAUUUGAAACAACAUUUUCAUUGAUAAAUAACACCUUUUUAUGACAAAAAAAAUGUACACAACAAUUACAGUUGAGUUGUCUCUUAUGUGCGCAAGAAUCAUUCUUCUCAUAGCUACUACACAACUUUGUUUUGCGGGGAGUUACUAUACACUUGUUGCUAGCAAAAGUUCCAAUAUAUUGUCUAAUUUCCAUGAAGCCUUUCAAUAGAAGUUGCUAGAAUUGUGUAAACGUCAACACAAACUUUUGUAGGCAUUGGGUCCACAUUCAAGAAUUAUGGUCACCUCUAGCAUCUAAUACAUAGAACGCUUCCAUCCUAACCCUAUGUCUAACUCCUCCUCUGCCAUCCCAACAAUGCCACACUUUGGGAACACCCUCUUCCUCCUAAUUCGGCUACCACUAGCAUUGAUCUUCCUAUAUCCAACAUGAAAUUAGGAAUAUCCUUCACUAGCUUAGCACUAAUCACUACUCAUUUAUUGAAGAUGACCCCAUUUUCAUGGACAUGACCCCAUCAAAUAAUUUUUCUAGCUUCGUCGCUGCACCUCAACAUAGGGUUUUCCCACCACUCUGGCUGUCUAUUCCCGUUCAUUAAUGCAUGGCAGUGCUUACUAUAGGUUCUUUGAGUAGGUGAAACACAAAAAACGCGAUUCGAUAUUUUUAAUACAAAUGUGUCUUCCAUGACUACUCAAGUGAAAGCAAUAGUUGUUUCCUUGUGUGACACCCUAUGACAGACGCCAUUAGCUCGUUGGGUAUAAAUUAUAUUCCGACAGAACAAUUUAGAGAAAAACAAGAAGACUACAGUACUCUCCAUAGUUAGCAUAAAAAUAAUUAUGUAUCCAAGCCGAGUUAAAAAGAUAUACUUAUCUAUCUAUUUAUAUCAAACUUUUUUACUCUUACAUAACUCGGUUGGUUGUUAAUAUUAUGUUAUUUUAUUAGUACAUUAUUUGAUAAUUAUAAAUAAAACUAAAAUUUUAGUAUAACUAGCAAGAUUACCAACAACAAAAAUGCUCCUUUUUCGAGUUACAAAUACAAUUCAAGUAUUCACCAUUACAAAUGGUUCUUGUGCUAUAUUAAAACAAUAUUUUGUUACAACAUAUGUUUGUAUUAUUUAGUUUAUGGUGUUUUAAAAUAAUAUUUUGUUACAAUGGGUUUCUCCAUUAAGCAAAGAGCAAACAAAUACUUUUAUAUAUUCCACCGAUUUACCUAUGCCCUCUUGAUGUAUCGCAAUGUGUUUGUAUAUGUAUCAUUAAAUAUCUAUUGCACUUGCUAGAGCGUCUUUUGAAUAUAUGGGUUUAGCAAAUAACUUGAGAUGUUCUGAGUUCAAGACUAUGAAUUUCGGUGCAACUAAACAACAUUUCUGAAGUGCAUGAAGUGUCAACUGGUAGAUGUCAUUUCCUUAAAAGUCAAUAGGGUGUACUCAAGGUACGAGAAUCCCUUUUUGUCUCUCGCCUUAGCUCGCCAAUUUGAAAAAUGGCCUCUAGUUUGCAAAGAAUUUACCUCGACCACUGUACCCCGCGUGCCAAUUUGAUCCCGAGCCCACACAGUAGUUCUCUCCUCCUUCUCAACCCUCUUUCCCGUACAAGAAGUGGCUACAGUUUCACCUCGACCAUUUUCAUUGUCGCCUACGUAUCUACCAAUAUCGUAGGAUAACACAUUGUUUCGUAAGGGGAGCGGUAGUAUAUUACUUGAUCAACAAGAAUCAGUUUAUGUAUUAAUGGGAGAUACAAUUUGCAAAAAAAAAAAGGUUUGCAAACACUGAACUCGUUAGGUAGCUGGAUAUUUUGUGGUUUGUUUUUAUCAAGGGUCCUCAAUCUAACAAUUUUUUUGAAAGAAUCAAUCUAACAAAAUUCAUGUGUGACCAGGUUUCGCCCUCGCAUACUGAUCGACGUGUCGACCAUCGACAUGACCACAUCUGUCCUGGGAAUGAAGAUAUCCAUGCCCAUCAUGAUUUCCCCCACCGCCUUUCAGAAGAUGGCUCACCCGGAAGGUACUUGGUUACUCAACUCCAGCACUCUGUCCUCGUGUUUCCUUUGCGAUUAGCUGGUUUCCUUAGACUGGAAUUAUGCAUCUAGCCCAAAUAAUAUUACCACAUUCAACAAGAAACAUCAGCUUCAUACACUGAUACUGCAGUGAACCAUACUGAUACACUAACUAGAUAGUGAAUAAUCGUGAAACCAACACAUGUAUAUGUCUUAUGUUUCUCGAGCUAACCGAGACCCCUUGUGUAUUAAUUACUUCAGGAGAGUACGCAACAGCACGGGCGGCGUCAGCAGCAGGAACUGUGAUGGUAUGCUCCUGUCAGUCCAACCAAUUCAUGCCACGCCCAUAUACUCCCCGUUCCGAUUUACUCGUCGUGGUUUUAGUUCAAAACUAAAACCACGACGAGUAAUAGUUCAAAACUAAAACCACGACGAGUAAAUCGGAACGGAGGGAGUAUGUGCGUGCACGCGCGCGUGUGAUUCUGAACUGACAGACACCUCCGUCUCUGGUUUUCUAUCAGACGCUGUCAUCGUGGGCUACAUCCAGCGUGGAGGAGGUCGCCUCGACUGGGCCGGGGAUUCGCUUCUUCCAGCUCUACGUAAGCACCACAUUCAUCCAUCUCACUAGCUGUGCUCGUGUCAGACAGAUCGAUGCAUGGCAUGGGUAUCUGAAGUUAAUCAUGUUCUGUUGCCUGCGAUGCGCCAUGGGCGACGACGGGUGUUUGAUUUGCAGGUGUACAAGGACAGGAAGGUGGUGGAGCAGCUGGUGAGGAGGGCGGAGAAGGCCGGGUUCAAGGCCAUCGCGCUUACCGUCGACACCCCGCGCCUCGGCCGCCGCGAGGCCGACAUCAAGAACAGGUUCGUGCUGCCGCCGGGCCUCACGCUCAAGAACUUCGAGGGCCUCAACCUCGGCACCAUGGACCAGGUCAGUUCACCCGCCGUCAUUCCUCCCUCCGUUCCUCGCCUUAACGAAAUCGACGUUGCUUACCAUCUCGAUCGGUUGCAGGCCAAUGAUUCCGGGCUGGCGUCGUACGUCGCCGGCCAAAUCGACCGCACCCUGAGCUGGAAGGACGUCAAGUGGCUGCAGAGCAUCACCACCAUGCCCAUCCUCGUCAAGGGAGUCAUCACCGCGGAGGACGGUAACCCAUCUCGCCGUCUUCUUCUUAGCUUUGAUUUGAGAGCCACGGACGCAGAGAUAGGCUGACAUCGUCGGUUUCCGUGGACACCCGCGCGCGCGCAGCUCGGCUGGCCGUCCACUCCGGCGCGGCGGGCAUCAUCGUGUCCAACCACGGCGCCCGCCAGCUCGACUACGUGCCGGCCACCAUCAGCGCCCUCGAGGAGGUCGUCACGGCCGCCCAGGGGCGCAUCCCGGUGUACCUCGACGGAGGCGUCCGCCGCGGCACCGACGUGUUCAAGGCGCUCGCCCUCGGCGCCUCCGGCGUCUUCGUAAGCCAUCCAUCCAUCCUUCACCAGCCACUAUAUCGCUUCUGUCAAUAUGACACUGAAUCAUCACUUGUAAAUACUUUGCUUGCAGAUCGGGCGGCCGGUGGUGUUCGCGCUGGCGGCGGAGGGCGAGGCCGGCGUGCGGAACGUGCUGCGCAUGAUGCGGGAGGAGUUCGAGCUCACCAUGGCGCUCGGCGGGUGCACCAAGCUCAGCGACAUCACCCGCAACCACAUCUUCACCGAGGGCGACCGCCUCGGGCGCCCCCUGCCGAGGAUGUGAGCAAGAGCCAACGGCAUACGAACGCGCCCAUCGCCGACCAUCGCCGUCUCGACGCAUGGCCGGGCAUGCAUGCUAGCCACGUAUCCACUGCAACGCACGCAAUAAUUACCGCGAACUCUAUAGCUACGACAUCGUCAGCGCCAAGAUGCUAGCCGUGUGUGUCCGGCCGGGGACGGUGAGCCGUAGUAGAUAAAUUUUGCGUACUGUCGACCGGCACGUCUCGCCAUUUGACCGUAUUUCACACCGACUACACCAUAUUGUAUUUCCAUAUCCUAUUGGGUCCGCACAUAUACACUCAUCGAUUCUGUAUUUAUCAUAACACAUUGUCAUCGAGUAAAGCUUAUCUGGAUACGGGUGUGAACUGGAAAGGGUACGUCGAGACAAUGUGCAAGCUCUACAAUGUGGGCAUCCUAUAGAGAAAUUGUGACGGUCGGCAGCCUAACUUUCGGCCGGCCACGUCCCCACCGCGCGAUUUACUCUGCCCGGCCGUUCAAUCUGAAUCCACCCCUCUUCCACCUCCGCAAACCUCUUUUUACCGGAGCCGGGAGCUACCGGUGGUUCCACAACCAAUAGAGCCUUGCCACCUCAAAAGUUGUACUAAGUUGUAUCUUUGUAUUUCACUGUUUUCUUCAUUUAAGCCACCGUAUUUCAUCAGCUUGGGGCCAUCAUGUGAUUUGACCAGCUGGCCCCACCCACGUGAUAUCAUCCACGCCCCUCACUUUACACAGCCGCCUGCCCCAAGUCUCUCUUCACACACAUACAUAAGUAUAUACUCCAUUUUUUUCAAAGGUUCAACCUUUCUCACUUUAAUUUGAUUUGGAAUCUUUUAAAUUAAUAUUUGAAAUUAAAAACUUAUAAAACUUCGCUCACUUACAAGAAACUACUUUUAAUAAUUUUCAGAUCCGUUCAUUUCAAAUAACAGAGUGAGACAAUAUAAUUUUAAUUUCUUUAAAAGAUGAUUUCGGUUANNNNNNNNNNNNNNNNNNNNNNNNNNNNNNNNNNNNNNNNNNNNNNNNNNNNNNNNNNNNNNNNNNNNNNNNNNNNNNNNNNNNNNNNNNNNNNNNNNNNNNNNNNNNNNNNNNNNNNNNNNNNNNNNNNNNNNNNNNNNNNNNNNNNNNNNNNNNNNNNNNNNNNNNNNNNNNNNNNNNNNNNNNNNNNNNNNNNNNNNNNNNNNNNNNNNNNNNNNNNNNNNNNNNNNNNNNNNNNNNNNNNNNNNNNNNNNNNNNNNNNNNNNNNNNNNNNNNNNNNNNNNNNNNNNNNNNNNNNNNNNNNCAAUCCAAAAGUGGCACAAAAAAUUUCAAUUUAUAUUGAAACGGCUAUUUCAAUACAUAUCUCACUAAAAUAACUAGUUACAGAUAUUAAUAAACAGAGUGAAAUCCGUUCAUUUCAAAUAACAGAGUGAGAUAAUAUAAUUUCAAUUUCUUUAAAAGAUGAUUUCAGUUAUUAAAAUUUCAUUUUUUCAAAAAAUAUUGAAAUUCAACAUUCCAAAAGUGGCACAAACAAUUUCAAUUUAUAUUGAAACAACUAUUUUAAUAAAUAUCUCACUGAAAUAACAAGUUACAGAUAUUAAUAAAUAGAGUGAAAUCCGUUCAUUUCAAAUAAUAGCGUGAGAUAAUAUAAUUUCAAUUUCUCCAAAAAAUGACUUCAGUUAUUAAAAUUUCAUAUUUUUCGAAAAAGACUGAAAUUCGACAUUCCAAAAGUGAAACAAACUAUCUCAAUUUAUAUUGAAACAACUAUUUCAAUACAUGUCUCACUGAAAUAACAAAGUUACAGAUUGAAAUAUAAAUUUCACAUAUAUUGCAUAACUCAAAUCCACACGUAGGUACAUAGAUUACAUACUGAAAUUGAUUCACUCUUGGUUCUCUUUCAGAAAAGAGUAACACAUGCCCUCUGUCACAAACAUUCAAAUAUAUGAAACUGAAGAGGCAGGAGGCUGAUGAUCUAGUAGAGAAACAAGGAAUGUUGAAAUGAUGAAAAAACCGAAAUCAUGAUAUGGAGAGAGGUUAGGGGAGAUGGGAUUCAUGACUCACCAGAUCCAAUGGCGGUCAGACUUGGAGUCGCCAGAUCCGACGACAACUGUGCGCGGUGACCCGUCGUGGUGCCCGUGCUGCACGGAGCCACCAACGGCGAGAACGGCUGCCGAUGGACGAGCUUAUGAUGGGCGGGAUCGAGGAACCUCGCCGGAGUAGGUCUCCCUGACGCCGACGUCAAUGGAUCCGAUCUCGUGGCACACCCGUGCCGUCACCGGUCUUGUUUGUGUCCCAAAGUGAUAGGUGCGGCCGCGGAAGCCGGAUCCGGUGCCGAACAUUCGUGGAGAAGGCAGAUCUGGCGGCCAUAGCCGGUGGUGACCAGUGACCGCCAUGGAUACGAGAGAGAAGACGGGGGAGGGCAAAAACCCCAAAUUUGACCUGUAGACAAAAGAAAUUCACAAAAUAAACUGUUCUUCAAAAAAAUUCACUCCGUUGACCCUUUCGUUUAGCGCCCGACAGUCAGGCGUCACACUACACUAUGUAACACCUGACUGACAGGCGCUACACACCUAGCCAACAUUAUACCUCGAACAGCAUGCAAAUUCCCAAGUCAAUGUGCAACGCCUAAGAGCUAGGCGCUACACUAUACAAUGCAGCGCCUAGCAUCUAGGCGCUGCACUAACAGCUACACGAGAGACAAAGCUAAACCGUGUGCCGACGCACUACACGCAACCGACGGAUCCGCAAAUCAUCGUGCAUGCAUGCCGUGUGCGUGCAUGCGUAGCAGACUCGUAGGGCCUACAGCAACGUACUGCAUGCAUGAGUGUCUUGUGCUUGUUUGGAUCUUUCGUGCUCCUAAAUGCGAAUCCUUUUAAUUAACUGAACAUAAGUGUAGCGCCUAGCUCUUAGGCAUUGUAUAUUAAUUUAGGAAUUUACAUGCAAUUCAAGGUGUAACGCUACCUAGGUGUGUAGCGCCUGUCAGUCAGGCGCUGCAUAGUGUAGUGUGGCGUCUCACUGUCGGGUGCUACACAAAAGGAUCAAUGGAGUGAAAUUUUUUCAGGAACAGUUCAUUUUGUGAAUUUUUUUGUCUACAGGUCAAAUUUGUCGCUUAGCACCGAGGGAGAAUAAAUAUUUAGUGGGGCCCAUCAGCACGAAUCUAGAAGCACCGAGGGAUGGUGGAUUUCUCACCGGUAGAUCCCUCCACCGGUAAAAUAACUUAGCCGCUUCCACCUCACGUAGAAGCAGAAGCGUCCCAGCCCCGCGAGCAUCGCCGCUCGCCUGGCGGCUGCCGCCCUCCCCAGCCACAUCCAUCAUCGCGGGUAGCAGCUCACCUCCUCCCUCGCUGCCCACAGCUAGUCAUCUUUGCCACCAAUUAUAGCAGGUUCAGAUUUGAUGCAAAUCCGUGCCUCUGUUUUGGAGCACGGUGGCCCCCUUUGGCCGCGCACAUCCUCGUUCCCAUUUGUGCCACUGCGACAGAAUUAUUGCCUUUUGGAUUGAAAGACGCGAGUCUCGUAAUCCAUAGCAUCAAUGGAAGAGUACUGAAAACAUGCAAUAGGACAUAGUCCUUCAUGAGGACGAUUCUCACAUUACAUUAUCAAUCAUAAAAUUUUAACCAGAUAAUUUAGAUCAACUAAUCAAUUUCAACAAGAAAAGUGGAACGCAAGCCAUUAUUCUACAACUACUAUAAUUCAAAUUACACUUAUACAUUGUUCAUAACUAAUUGCACUUAGUAAUUGAACAAUUUUAACUUUGAAGUAUGCUCUCGCUCAAAUCAACAUCUCUCAUAAUUGAUACGAGUGAUUCAAGACUCAUGUCUCAAUUGUUCAUUAUUGAUGUGGACAUCACUGAUGAUGAAAAAUGCAACGGUAGGCAAAACUUGCCAAUCACAUCUCUAUGUGACUCUUAUUCAUCUUUCGAUGGGCGUGUUCCGACCUCAAGAUGAUCCUACCAUGAACGCCAAGACAAUCAAGUGAUCUCGUUGUGAAGUCUGGACUCUUAUACACGCUUCAACUAUUGUUGGGUGAUUAGGUGGACAGUGGUAUCCCCGGCCCACCAGGGUUCAAGUCCUGGUGCUGGCAUUUAUUCUGGAUUUAUUUCAAGAUUUUCGGCGAUGCGCGUUCAGUUGGAGGAGACAUUCCCGUUGACUACGAGACGCCUACGGUGACUUCGUAAAAUCUCAAGAUGAUAUACCGGCUUAGUCUCUCAGAGAUUCUUAUAUGGGUAGGGUGUGUGUGUGUGUUUAUAGGAUGAGUGCAUGUGCAUAUAUAUGAGCGUUUGCGUCUAUACUGUCUUAAAAGAAACUAUUGUUACCGUGGGAUUUUUUCUUCUAGCUCGACUUCUUCCUCUUUUCAUAUCGUUACUUUUGAAAAUGAGUUUUAUUUCUUUAGUAGGUACCCUCCUCAUAUGGUUCAAGCCGUUCGUAUCCAUGUGUACAUGGCGCAACCAAAGUGGCACUUAUCUCAGACGGCGCUACACUUGGAAUAACACUAACCAUUCAGACCGUAUGUCAAGUCGUGCCCGUCGCCAUCGAAGGCGACGUUCCUCUCAGCCUCCUCGCCCGCGGCCAACUAGACUGCCGCCACCAUCGUGUACAAACAACGCUUCUCCUCCCUGCCCUCUGCCUCGGCACCAUCUUCAUACACUUCUCCUACAACGACGACACUAGCAACUUUUUUUCCGCGCCGCCAACGAGGUCGCUCACAUGUGACUCCGUGCCCGUCGCGUCGGCCGCGGCCACCAUCCACCCCAGUUGCCGAGGCACUCUAUUAUAACGAUGUAUGUCUUGUUUAGAUGUAACUCUUAAUCACGCCAUGUGUAUGCAACCAAACACCAUGUAAUGCAUCAACUCAGUCAACACAGGCGACCAAACGCAAAAAAUUGCUUUCCUAAUUCAGCCUGGCUAUAUAUGAGGCUUACCAAACUACAUGAAGAACAUGAUUUUUACCGGUACGUACUCAGCGAGGUUCUGUCACAGAUGGAAUGAGGCAAAAAAAUGAUGCGGUCUACCAAACACGUCCUUAAUGAUUUUUAGCAUUCGUGGGCCGACACAGUUACGCAGGGCUCAUAAUGUGGGCUCUACAAUCCCUAAAAAAAGUGGGCUCUACAAAUAAAAACAUAUAAAACCCCUAAAAAACAAAAAAAAUCUUGUAAAAAAAGGAAAAUGCAGCUUGUUGCAUGCCGGUUGUUUCGCUGUAUAAAUGGCAUAAAGUGCAGGGUCGUAUAAGCAGCCAUCGAGAGAGGCGUGUCGAUCGAGUCAACAGGGCCGCCUGNNNNNNNNNNNNNNNNNNNNNNNNNNNNNNNNNNNNNNNNNNNNNNNNNNNNNNNNNNNNNNNNNNNNNNNNNNNNNNNNNNNNNNNNNNNNNNNNNNNNNNNNNNNNNNNNNNNNNNNNNNNNNNNNNNNNNNNNNNNNNNNNNNNNNNNNNNNNNNNNNNNNNNNNNNNNNNNNNNNNNNNNNNNNNNNNNNNNNNNNNGCCUUGUCCUUCGCCCUAGCCGCCGGCUCUCCCGCUCCGCACGGUCUAGCCAUCGACGAUCGUCGCGGAGCUCGAGCACAACUUCUUUCGAUCGGAGGCCAUGGUGGCGCUGCCGUCUGCAGCGGAGGCGGCCGACGUCGAUCUCGCGCAGGUGUCGACGAAGAAGGCGCUCGCCAGCCCUGCGGGUGCUAGGGCUGGGACCAUGGGGAAGGGGAUGAUGAUCCGCGCGAACCACGGCUUCGCCAACGGCCACCAGUUUCAUUUUGUAAGCUCCGUGACCUCUCCCUCCCGAUCCGUAGCCCUAACACCCCACUCCUUCGAGUUAUAUACGUACUGUAUGCUGCAUGUAGAGUACUACGUACGUUUGCUUGUGCUGUUAACAUAUACUCCCUACUAAAGCGAUAAAUCGCAUGUGUACAUGCAGCCACGCGAGUUCGUUAUCAGAACCACUCAUGCCCACGUGAUUCGUGCUACUACAAUGCGUCGUUACCGUAUAACUUUUUUCUGGCCAGCGUACAUCAACUGGUAUAGUGCCCGUAUUGCUACUGUGACCCCAAUAAAUGGUCAUGGCAGCCUCACCAGCUAGGUGCGUUGAUGGGAAUUGAUUGCACGACAUUAACGCCUCAUAUAUUGAUGACCACCAUUCCGCAACGGCAACUUCACCGACGAAUAGGUUUUCUCCUCCUACCUUCAUCACGCUGCAGCACAUCUCUUUUUUACUGUCCCUCUCAUGUUCAUCUCCUAUCUCUCUCUCUCUCUCUUUCACCUCAAUGCCUCACGACAGUUAAUUGGCUCCUCCAGGCUCCACCUCUACUCCUCUAGCAUGUGCAUGGCCAUGGUGUAGUGUUUCUGUAGAAAAAAAAUCCUAAUCUCGAGCUGGUCUGCGUGAGAGUAAACCUCUAAGAUCAGAAACUGCUGAAGAUUGAGAGAUGUUGUUUUGUUCGAGGAUCCAAACCCGGCUAGAAAAGAAGUAAACAAAGAAACUCCACCAAUCCAUACUCUAGACGCACUAAAAGAUCUACUAGCCUAAUAAAAAGAACAACAACUGAACGCACUACUCCAUACUCCACUGACCCAUACCACUAAUCCCUGUCGGGGAAGCUUAAUGCCAUGUCAACCUUCUCGUUCUUGGCUCUCCAAGUGGUAGGUUGACGAUGGUUAUACAGUGAGGUCUUGGGGUGACGACAGGUGCAUGCUACAAUUUGUCAGUAAUUUUAGUUUUUGCUUGACAAAACAACAUUCUAUCAUGCACUGCAAAAAUUCAUGUCCCAAAAAUUCAUGUCGUUUCCAUAUGUUUUUUCUUUUCUUUGUGCGAUCUAUAAUGCAUGUAUCAGCUAGUACGCGUUGCUAGUUCAUGCGGGCAGACGGCUAAACACGAGACACACUGCAAAACAAAUCCAAAUACACCAAACAGCAGGGGCAUCAUUAAUACCGCCAUUUAAGUGACCCAGCUCCUCUGCGCCCAUCAAUUCUUCCAGCUCUCCUGUAGUCUGAAGACCACAUCAUGGCUUCUGCACAGACGGAGCUCGAACGACUGGCAGACUUGCAUGUAUUCCUACAAAUCAUAAAUGCAGUACGGCCCGCUCCUGUGAUGUAUAUCGCGGCAUAUCGAAGGACAAAUGAUUAACACGGCAUGUAUUGCCAAUGGACCUAUAUUAAGUAAGAAUCACGAUGCGUGCGCGGACGUCCCGGAUAGCGGCAUCGCGUGGCCGCAUGUCUCAAAAAUUCGCGUCCCUACUAAAGUUAGUAUAAAGUUAGGUCAUCUAUUUUAAAACGGAGGGAGUAAGUAGUAUUCGUGCUUCCAGCCGACUAGACUGUUCUAUCAAAUCCUGCAGCCCAUGGGUGUUUCUUUUGUUUGGCAGUUUUUUUUUCUUUUUUGAGGAUCAUUUGGCAGAGUGUUUUGAAGCUUCUUUGUAAGUGGCGGAGUCCAUUUUUGCAAGUUUGUAAACUAGACCAUCAGAGGACCCAAGUGCUUUUAACUCUUCUUUUUUCAUGAAAUGGCUGCUUUGAAGUGGUGGGUGUCCGAUCUCAUGGAUCGAUUGAGCGUGCAUUUUUUAGAGCCAGGGUAUAUUUAAACCCUUCGGAGCCUUGGCGCAGUGGUAAAGCUGCUGCCUUGUGACCAUGAGGUCAUGGGUUCAAGUCCUGGAAACAGCCUCUUACAGAAAUGUAGGAAAAGGCUGCGUACUAUAGACCCAAAGUGGUCGGACCCUUCCCUGGACCCUGCGCAAGCGGGAGCUACAUGCACCAGGUUACCCUUUUUAGGGUAUAUUUAAACCCUUCAUUGUUUGGGGAAAUUUUAAAGUUUUAAGUUCCAUUCAAGUUUUUUUUGCAAAUAGUUUGAUUCAAGGUUUUAUCUCCUACGGUAUUUCUUAUGACAAUAUUUUAUUAGUUUUGCUGAAAUGCAUCUAGAUUUGACCUAAGUAUUCAUGGUUGCGAUCUUGUAAUGGGCUUGGACCCUGAUAAGUGUCAUGCCACGUUAGGUGCGAGCAUAUGGCAACUCCGAACGUUUUCAAUGACAAGUUUAGCUACAUGAGGAUGUCAACUUUAGUUGGCAAACAUGACAUUUUUUGUGCCUCAGUUUAUUAUUGGCAGAAACUAGUUGUGUGUCACUAUAAUUUACCAUCCUUGCGUACUGAAAUUGCCAUAAAAAAGUUAGGACCGGAGUGUCACGCACCUGACGUGUGGCACUUAUCAUGUGGGUAUUUUUUCCGCCCAAAAUGACAAGGUAAAUCAAUGUGCCACGAUGAUGUGGCAUCUGAUUAGAUGGACAACUCGGUCCGCUAUUCACUAGGGAUGUAUUCCAUACAGUGUGGGAGUAAUGUGGUGACUGGUGCAUGUAGUAACACAUACUCCCUCUGUCUCAAAUUACUUGUCGCUCAAAUGGAUGUAUCUAGAACUAGACUAGAUACAUCUAUUUGAGCGAUAAGUAAUACGGGACGGAGGGGGUAUAGGGUAAAAUUGAUAAAAUUUCAUAAAUUUUGAAAAUUUAAUGAAAUCUCACAGAAUGUAGUAUGCUCCCGACGAGUACACAUCCGAGUUGUUUGUCUAAUCAUCCGCCACGUCGUCCUAACCAGUGGAUCAAACUUUUCGGUAAAGAAAAUAAAAAUUUGGGUAAAAGCUAUCACAAUGUGACAAGUAAGCGGUAAAAUAUGGAAUUUGCUUGUUAAAUCUGUAGAAUUAGAAAACACUAUUUUCACAUGUUAUCUCUUGGGCGUUUCAGCUACUAUGCCUCAUAUUGGCUCCUGCUUUGCCCCGUUUUUUCACACGUUGUCCAGUUUGGUUCUCUUCUGUUGUCAGCACCAUCAUUGGACAAAGCACCAUACAUUAAGAUCAUGAUUUGGGGUUCAACACAGAUGGGGCUUCUCUCAAUAGAGUUUCUCCAUUGUUAGUUAAUGUUCUCAUGUCAGUUUGCAGCGGAGUAUUGCCUUAUUUGUCUGAUCUGUUUGAAUAACAUGUACUGUUUGACACUGAUUAUCUACUCAGAUAUAUCUGCAACAUCAUUUUUAAAGCCAGGGACAGUGAUCCUAUUUGUGCAAGAGUUCCUCAACUUCUGCAAUGUGAAGGUAAUAUCUACUUAGUGAGUCAGUAUGAGUUUAGUGCUGAAGAUAUGUGGAUUACCCAGCCUUUUUCCAGAAAUAAAAGUCUGAACCGAUGGGAAAUGUUGGACAAUCCACAUAUACUUCAACACCCCUCUCAUGUGUGGCUCAAUAAGGCCUAAACAUGGGCAGAAAGAGGGCGAGCUUUUUAUUUAAAUUGCAAAGCCGACACUUGAACCGAAGAACUCUUGGCUUUGAUACCAUGUUAAGUUUCAUAUAUGAAUUAUUAAAAAAUAUCCAAACUUAUAGAGAAAGUUGGGUGAUCCACAUAUAUUCAACAGUUAGAAAACUUGAUAUGCACACCGGAACAUAUGUUAGAAUUGACCAUUCUCUUUUGUUGCCUAAUAUGUCCAGAUAAAGGAAGCACUACAAAGAGUUCAUGCUGAAACAAUCAAUCAUCAUGAUCAAAUCAAAAGGUACAAGAUAAUUUGGAUUACACCUAUUCUCCUGAGCCAGCUCAUGUGCUAAUCAUUUGGAGUACUAAUCAUUCCUCACAGUUGUUCUCUAUUUUGAUAUGCUCUUUAUAUUUUUGAAUUAAUAGUCUCGCUAGAAUUUUGUAAAAAUGUAGCUGAUGAUUUUGGGGUUAUGGUUUCUUUGUUGAUGUUUGUGAGGACCUGGAUAGUGAAAAUUAUAUUAGAGUAAUAGAGUGUAUUCUACUUUUUACCCCCAAGUUGUGCAUCAAUGAUACAAAUUACCCCACUUAAUGUUUUUUACCACAUUUUACCCCUAAGUUGUCACUAAAUGACAUGUUUUACCUGAUCUAUUGAUUCCCCUCCAGUUCCGCCAAGAUGGGGCCAACCGUCAAGCCUAUGCCGUCCCGCUGUGAUACUGGAUCAGGUGCUAGCAGUCCAAACUCAGGAAAACUGGGCAAAAUAAGCUUGAGUGAUAAGAUUGCAGCUACAGAAGAGUGGCUUGAGGCAGUUGAUGUACCAGCGUCACUACGCUGGCCAGGCGGCCCGGACCCCGGAGAGUGUCCUAAUGCUAGGUGAGGGCGGCAGAAUGAUCCUGACACAAUUGUUGCAGUGCAUUGAAAGACUCCAUUCCUUCGGAAAAUCUCUCCAGGGAAAAUUUGAAGAGAAGGAUAUCUUCUUCCUACCUUUAUACAAUGUGUUGGAAAUAGACUCCGUCUGGCAUGAACUUGACGCCGAGGGCUACCGGAGUGACCUUGAAGCUAUAAUUCCUAUACUGAAGAAGCACUUCGUGGAAGACAAUACGGCCCGCGUGACCCGCUUUUCGAUGCUCGUGGAGAACCUAAUAGCAGAAAUUAGAAUGCUGAAAUCGGAGGAAACCCUUGACUACAAGGAUUUUGACAGGAGGUCCAUCAUUUUCAGGAGUUAUUUACCCAAAACCACCACAUUUAGGGCUAGGGUAACAACUUGGUACCACAUUUGUGUCAGGGCACAAAAAACCACCAACUUUGCGCCUAACCAGUAACGCGGAGCACUAAUUGUUGAGAUUGCUCGAGAAAACAGCGAACCCGGCAAGUAGGGCCCGCAUGUCAGGCUGACGUGGCAAAGACCAAAAAGUUUGACCGACUGAGGUGGCAAAUAGAAAUCGGACCCACCUGUCAAUGACUAAACUGUCAUCUUCUUUCCAUCUCUAUUUCUAUGGGGCAUUUUAUCAAACAACUUAUGGGCGUUCGUUGGGGAGCUUGUUCUUGCAGGCAUGGGGAUGAACUUGACGCGGCCAGAGCACGGGGAAGAGUGUCGUGACCAAGGGAGGCCCACGAGGCCGAGGAAGGUCAUCGGGGUGCCGAGGACGGUCGGAUGCGAGGCCACAGAGCUCGCCGGCGGCUGUCAGAGCAUGGCGUGGCGGGGGAGUGCACUCGAGGUCGGAGAGGUCGAAGGGGGAAUGUCCAGGGGCUCAGCAGAGAUGUCUCAGAGCGUACCAGGAGAACGGAAGUGGCCCGGGUGCGGUGGAGCCGGCGAAUUUCAAGGAGACGCGGCGGUGACCGAACCGGAGGAAGACAAUGAACUCGUCCCCGUCGGGCCUCCUCCGUUCUAUUUAUGUGGCUAUUCGAAGUAGCGCAUCGAGUCAAGGUUUUAAGGCAACGAGGCGGGGCUGUUCGUGGUCGUUCGCCAUGGUGGCUGAUGACUCAUGGCCAUGGCAGCGCUCUGUGCGCGAGCUUGAGCGGCGGCAUAGGAUAGGAAGGAAGAGAGAGGCGGCGUUGGAGGGAGGAGAGCCCAGCGUUUGGACGGGAUUAGCUAGGGUUCCCGAGGCUUGGGUGGAUCGGCGCGGGUGGCGCCAUGAGUGGAUCGGCACGGGCGGCGGCGUGCCCAGAUGGCUGCGACGCACUAGAUCUGGCUGUCCACCGGCGGCGGGGAGGAGCGCAGGGAGGGGGCGGUACCUACAUCAUGGAGGCACGCGGGGAGGGGCAGCGCCCGUGGUCAAGCAGCGGCGAGCACGACCUCUGUGCGUCCCUUAGCCGGAGGAUGAAGAAGGGAUGGGAGAAAGCACUUGAGUCAUUGACAAGUGGGACCUUCGUCCAACUCAGCAUAUUGUCUACAUAAGCAUGCCACGCCAGCCUGACAUGCGGGCCCUACUUGUCGGUUUAGCUGUUUUCGCAAUCAAAUCCGAGCAUUAGUGCACCGUGUUACUGGUUAGGUGCAAAGUUGGUGGUUUUUUGUGCCCUGACACAAAUGUGGUACCAAGUUGUUACCCUAUCCCCAAAUGUGAUGGUUUUGGGUAAAUAACUCUCAUUUUCAGUCAUCCUAUCACGCAGUGCUCGUCCGCGCGGAUCAGUAUCUAUACUAAUAUUAUCCUCCAUUCGAGCUCGUCGUGCGGGGCAUACGGAGAAAAUUUUCGGGAUGCACUGGACCCGCCAGGGUCGAUCAAGUUUCCUGCACCAAGCUGGGUGCUAAGAGCAUACGAUCCACAUGAUCAAUCUUCACCGGAAGGACUGAGAGACGUGUUUGUACAUCCUGAGAAACCAUAUCGCAAUACAUUUCUCUCCAGACUGCGUUUCUGCAGGUGCCUUGUGACGCACGCCCUAAAGAACGAGGUAUUUACAUCGUCUACUAUUGUUGUGUGCAUAACGUGAUGCAGAGGACGGGUAAUCCCCUUUUCGAAAAGAAAUUUUAGAUCAUCUACGCCCAGACUAGACAUACCAAAAUGUGCACAUUUUUGGUUUGUUGUUUAACUUGACUCUCUUAUUUUUCCAGAUUACGGAGAAACAGGUUGAAGCCGCACUUUACUUGUUAUGGCCAACUCUGUUGCCAGAACUACAACGCAGAGUGAUGCUCCUUUUCAAGCCAACAGCUCGGUCCAAAUCGGCAAAUAAAGAUUCUACAGCAGUAAAGACGGUGAACGCAAUUGACCUACGACAGCUUUUUGGCUCCAAGAAAUGAAAUACUCCCUCCCUUUCAUAAUGUAGUGCAUAUAGAAUUUUGAAAAAAAGUCAAACUUUGUAAACUUUGACCAAAUGUAAAUGUUAUUCUCCAAAAUCUUGGUCAAAGUUUGUGAGGUUUGACUUAUAAAAAAUUCUACAUGCAGUACAUUGUGUUAUUCUUCAAGUGUUUCCGGUUAGUGCCUUCUUCAACUUUCUUCAGCCACCAUAGGUUCCCAACUGAAAUUUUGCUUCAGAUGCUAAGAGGGCUGGUUCCCACCCUGAACCUGAAAAAUGUACCUACAUUUUUUUUAGCUGUACUCUUGUUUGAGUUUCUACGGGUUUCACUUGAAGAUAAGGUUGUACUCCCUCCGUAAACUGAUAUAAGAGUGUUUAUAUCACUACUUUAGUGAUCUAAAUGCUCUUAUAUUAGUUUACAGAGGGAGUAAAUGUUUAUUUCGUAUGCCCUGCUUUUCCCGCUUGCUGUUCACAGAUUUUGAUCAAAUGUUGUCAUAUUGCCUCAUGUUCAGUCUGCUACCUGAAAAUCCUACUUCUCACUCUGAAGCAGGCCCAUUAGUGUUCUUGAUUAAAUUUUUAUGGGUGUUCACUUGACGAUAAGUGUGUAAAUCCUUGUUUCUACAGAUUUUGAUCAAAUGCUGCCAUAUUGCCUUGUGUGGAAUACCUUACCAAAUUGUCGAUUGAAUUUUGAAACCCCUAAUAAUAUAUCAGACAGUAGAGUUUAAUUUUUUUUUUAUGUCGUAUACUGACCGAGUUACUAAUGUUCAUUGGCGCCAUCCUACUCUGCCAUGUUCCAGGACGACAGCGCCGCACCGCACUGGAAGCUGAUCUGGCGUCCUUGGGCACCGAAGGCACAUCGCUGGCCUGGCUGCACAGAUGCUGGACUUGCACGGACUUGCUCGCCGCGCUGCGCCCUGUGCGGCAAGGAGCCCUGAGUUGAUGCCCGUCGACUGCUUGUUCUCGCGUCAAACUUGCACAAAAUCCUCUCCUCGGUGCGACCCACUGCAUGACCGCCUCUGCCAGGAGGCAAGUUAAAAUCAUGGUGGUCGUCUGCAUGCGGUGGCUGUCGGAAACAGGAUGACUGCAUGUUCAACGCGGCGCAGCCUGAUGUUCAUCCUCUCCUUCGUUAUCAUUCAGGACGAGGCACGCGAGUGGUCACGCGACUGCUAAAUCUGUUAUCGUUCCAAGCUAAAUUUCAAGACAUGACUAUUUGUGGCUGGCGUUGGCGUGAGUCCUUCCUAUACACAGUAUUUUCUAGAGUUUUUCAGAGUUCGGAUGACAUAUGUUGCCAUGUUUUUGCAAGACUAAACCCUGUUGGUUUCUUUCAGAGUUGUGCACUUGAUAAUAUACUUCGUUAUCCUCGUUGUUCAAUUAUAAGUUGGUGGAUCAGCUCACUUUUUAGGCACCAGCUACCUUUUUAUUUUUUGAGCCAUACCUUCUGUAGCGAUUGCUUGGAUCCCUUGAACAUAUAUGCUUGCGGAAUUGAAUUAGCAGCCUUGAAACUGAAAGGCAUACGAAAUUGCUGUUUGUGACUGACAGAACUGUUUUGCUUGCUCGAUGAAUAUUUGGGCACUGGGACUGCGUCCUGAAACCUGUACAAAGAAGGAGAAGAGGAAUGCAAGCCGUGAUCCGGAUUCCGGAAUAGCACUUGCAACUAUUACUGAACUGAAUACCUUUCUCGCAGGGGACUAAGUGAUACAGUACUAGGUAAAUGCAGAUAUCCCUGUUGACAGAACAACACUGGGUUCAGUCCAGGCAUCUCGCUCCGGCAAGUUCUUGUUCCGGGUCACUCGCUAUCUUGGAUCAGGCAGAAAGAACUUGGGAUACUGAGGAUGCAAGCGGCACCAGCUUUUGCAACGUCAGGAUGCUAGGCGACUGUUCCCCUCUCACAGCCCUUCCUAUGACCUGUCGUUUCAUGUAACGUAGAAGUACGUACAAGACCCUGUGUCGUCGAUACUAGUUGAUUGCGCAGCUGAGAGCCUCGCUGGUAACAGUAGAACAACCAACGGCCCGUGUCUCCUUCCUGCCUACACGCCGUAACGCAGCUGAAAUAUCUAGCAUUGCACCCAGUAGUUUCAGUUGCGUCACACAGAGACAGUCUACUUCUGCACAGAGACAUCCUGUUUAUUAUAAGUACUACUUCUGCUCGCGCACGCGGACACGGCGGCGAGGGCGAGGUCGGACGCGCAGAGCUCCUUCUGCUCGCCUCUGUCGGAGAAGCCGAUCCAGAGCCUGUGCUCGGGGACGUACUCGACGCGGCCUCUGAACGGCAGCGCCCACGGGCGGAUCUUGCUCCACUCGCCGCUCUCUGUGUCGAAGCGGAACGUGCCGGCUCCCACGGUGGACACGCAGAACUGAUCGCCGACCGCCGUGUAAGCGCCGAUUUCGAAGGGGUAAGGUUGUCGCUGGAGGCGGCCGGGGAAGGGAGGUGGCUGGAGGGAUUGCCAGUGCCAGUUCGGCUGCCAAUUGCAGUCGUUGUGGUUGCGGCCGUCCAUCAGAGCCGCGAACUGGUGAUCGAUGCCACUCAUGACGAAGAGGCCGUAGUCACCGACGGCGGCCGACAUGGGUUUCAUCACGCGCUGGAGCAUCAUCGGCAUAUUGGUGCUGAAGUGGAUACUGUGCGCGGCGGCAUCGUAAAGGUAGGUGUCCCCUGUGCUGUCCACGGCGAUGAUCUUGUCCCGGUUGCUGCCGAAGGCCAUGAAAUCCCUGGAGCAGUAUUGCCCCGGCGGGCCGCUGGGCCAGUCGAAGGAGAUGGAGGCUGGAGGCAGCGGGACGUCCUCCAUUGCCGCCGUUGCAUCGGCUGAAAGGCCUUGCCCGGAGACCGGCGAUCCGGCCGGGUAGAACAGGUUUGCCGGAUUGAUACGGUGGAUGCUGAAGGGAAAGCGGCAGCUCAUGUGAUUGACCACCAGGUUCAGACACCGGCCAUUCAUGGCUCCUCCUGCUCUUCUUUUGGUUUUGGACUUUUGGUAGAUCGAGAUGUGAAGGAAGCGCUGGCGGAUGCAAUUGUUUGACCAGAGGGAGACGAGAAAAUCGAUUGACCAAUAGCGAUGGACGAUGGUAGCCUGAAACGCGGGCCAAUGAUCCAGUCCAGUGCAUGGCAGCCUGAAAGCCCAGCGGCAGUCGCAUACGAGCACGUUCGGCUUCGGUCGGACGGGUCGCACCUGGAUUCAUGCUUAGGUUGUGUUUUGGUUCAACCGUGGAAUUUUUAAAAGCUGCUCAACUAUGAACUGUUGAAAAGCAGCUGCCAAAUUAAUUACGGAUAGCUUCAAAAAAAAAAACGGACUGUGAAAGUGAGAAAGUGGGGAAGGUGAAAAUUGUUUGAUUUGAGCAACUAUGAAAUUAUGGAUUGCGUAUGAAUUGUCUGUAAUGUCCCCUGACACCGGAUAGAUUGUGCUAAGGGCAUCUCCAAAGCGGACCGCCGAACCGUCCACUGUCCGGACCGACCAGUCUGGACACAGCUUGUCAUCCAACGUGGUACCCUUUUGAUCCGCCGACAUGUUCGAACGUCCAUUUUUUCGCAAAUCGAAACCAAACAGAGGCUUUGCGAGAGUCCGAACAUCCACAUGACGAACCAAAAGCAAUCAUGCGUUCUCUCUCCAUCUGGAUGGCGAAGAACCGAUGCUAAUCUUUUUCUUUGGCGGAAAGCUCCUAGCAUGUUUUGGGGGAAGCCACUUUGUUUAAUUUUUUUCUUCAAUCUUUUGGUGGAAACUACUUAUAACCAUGCAUACUAGCUUGCAUUGGCGGAUGCUAGCUAGUAUUUGGUGGAUACUAUAACUAUUACUCCCUCUGGAAACAAAUAUAAGAGCGUUUAGAACACUAUUUUAGUGAUGUAAACGCUCUUACAUUUCUUUACGGAGGGAGUAGCAUUUGGCGGAAGCAAAACUACGACGAGAGGUGCCGCCACGACCUAGGUUGGCGUGGCUUGCUGCAACCGGCCGGAGAGGAGCUGCAACCGCCGGUGCUGCGCGCUGCAACCUAUGACGAGAAGUGCUUGUUGGAAAUAUGCCCUAGAGGCAAUAAUAAAAGUAUUAUUAUAUUUCAAUGUUCAUGAUAAAUGUCUUUUAUUCAUGCUAUAACUGUAUUAUCCGGAAAUUGUAAUACACGUGUGAAUACUUAGACCACAAUAUGUCCCUGGUGAGCCUCUAGUUGACUAGCUCGUUGUGAUCAACAGAUAGUCAUGGUUUCCUGACUAUGGACAUUGGAUGUCGUUGAUAACGGGAUCACAUCAUUAGGAGAAUGAUGUGAUGGACAAGACCCAAUCCUAAGCAUAGCAUAAAAGAUCGUGUAGUUUGUUUUGCUAGAGCUUUGUCAGUGUCAAGUAUCUCUUCCUUCGACCAUGAGAUCGUGUAACUCCCGGAUACCGUAAGAGUGCCUUGGGUGUAUCAAACGUCACAACGUAACUGGGUGACUAUAAAGGUGCAUUACAGGUAUCUCCGAAAGUAUCUGUUGGGUUGACACGGAUCGAGACUGGGAUUUGUCACUUCGUAUGACGGAGAGGUAUCUCUGGGCCCACUCGGUAAUGCAUCAUCAUAAUGAGCUCAAUGUGACCAAGGUGUUGGACACGGGAUCAUGCAUUACGGUACGAGUAAAGUGACUUGCCGGUAACGAGACUGAACAAGGUAUUGGGAUACCGACGAUCGAGUCUCGGGCAAGUAACGUACCGAUUGACAAAGGGAAUUGCAUACAGGGUUUGAUCGAAUCCUCGACAUCGUGGUUCAUCCGAUGACAACAUCGAGGAGCAUGUGGGAGCCAUCAUGGGUAUCCAGAUCCCGCUGUUGGUUAUUGACUGAGAGCGUCUCGGUCAUGUCUGCGUGUCUCCCGAACCCGUAGGGUCUACACACUUAAGGUUCGGUGACGCUAGGGUUAUUAGGAAGACUAGUAUGUGACUACCGAAUGUUGUUCGGAGUCCCGGAUGGGAUCCUGGACGUCACGAGGAGAUCCGGAAGGGUCCGGAGGUAAAGAUUUAUAUAUGGGAAGUUGUCAAAUGGACACUGGGAAGUUUUGGGGUCAUACCGGUAUUGUACCGGGGCCACCGGAAGGGUUCCGGGGGUCCACCGGGAGGGGCCACCCCUCCCGGGGGGCCACAUGGGCUGCGUGGGGCAGGGAGCCAGCCCCUGGUGGGCUGGCCGCACCCCCUCCCUUGGGCCCAUGCGCCUAGGGUUGAGGGGGGAACCCUAGAGGGGGCGCCCCCUUGGCUUGGGGGGCAAGCCACCCUCUCCCCUCUCCCCUAGGCCGCCGCACCCCCCCUAGAUGGGUUCUAGGGGGCCGGCCCCCUUCUCCCUUCCCCCUAUAAAUAGAGGGGUGAGGGGAGGGCAGCCGUACCACCCUCCAAGGCGCAGCCCUCCCCUCCCCAACACCUCUCCUCCUCCGUUGUGUGCUUGGCGAAGCCCUGUCGGAGUACUGCCUCUCCACCAUCACCACGCCGUCGUGCUGCCGGUGGAGCUGUCUUCCUCAACCUCUCCUUCCCCCUUGCUGGAUCAAGAAGGAGGAGACGUCUCCCGUCCCGUACGUGUGUUGAACGCGGAGGUGCUGUCCGUUCAGCACUUGGUCAUCGGUGAUUCGAAUCACGUCGAGUAUGACUACAUCAUCACCUUGCAAGCUUCCGCACGCGAUCUACAAGUGGUAUGUAGAUGCAAACUCUCUCCCUUGACUCGUUGCUUAGAUGAACUCAUAGAUGGAUCUUGGUGAAACCGUAGGAAAAAUUUUAAUUUUCUGCAACGUUCCCCAACAGUGCUAUCAUGGGCAUGCGGCGAGCGAGCAUGAUCUCAUGAUGCUGGAGUGAUCCAUUUGCUCGAACCAGUACCUUUUUUUUGCUGGAACCAACCUUCUUCCUCAGCUUGCAACGGGGCUUCGCGAGCAAUGUGCUACAACCGGCGAUCUGGUUUGCUAGAACCCAUUGAUUUUUUUUGCAAGAACCAAAUUCUCUUCAUGAGCUGCGGCAGCGAGGCACGUUGAUUUUUUUUUGCUCGAUUUUUUUGCAGGAACCAAAUUCUCUUCAUGAGCUGCGGCAGCGAGGCACGUUGAAUUUUUUUGCUGCAGUUGUGUUUUUUUGCUGGAAUCGGCAAUUGAUUUUGCUGGAACCGGCCGAAACCGAGCUGGAACCAUUUUUAGCAAUUGUUUUUUGCUAGUCGUCCAGCCGACGAGCUGCUCCUGAGCUUGAAGCCGAAGGCCACGGGAGGGCGGCGAGAAAGCACGUGAUACGGAGAAACUAGCAGGAGGAAGAAGGAGGGGACACGCGCAUUGUGUGGCCGCGCGGCGAUCAGCCGGUCGAUCGGCGCCUAGGACUACUCUUGAAAAAACCCUUUAUGUCUUGUUACCAAAACAAUAUAAUAUAAAAAGUGUUCACAUAUUUAACAAAAACAAUAACCUCUUUUUGAAAAUUUAAUAUUUAAAUAAAUAUUUAUAUAAUUUUAGAAUAUUCCUGUAAUGUAUUAAAGAGUUCAUGCUUAAGGAAAUGUUUAUGUUGUUUUAAUAAGGUUUGUCCCGCUUUGGAAAAAUGUGUUAUGCUACAAAAAAAUCAUGUUUGCCAAAAAUAUUUCUUUUCUCUAAUAAUAAAGCACGGGUUGAAUCUGUCGGGGUUCACCGUCACGCACUUUUUGCAAAAAAGACCCCAUAGUUUUUGAUAUUGAACCCGCACACAUAAUAAUAAAGGUGUUACUACUUCUUGCGUUAUGUCAUGAAAAUUGCCCCCAAAGUUGCAAAAUACUCACUCCGUUCCUAAAUGUAAGUCUUUGGAGGGAUUUCACCAUGAAGCACAUACGGAGCAAAAUGAGUGAAUCUAUACUCUAAAAUGUAUCUAGAUACAUCCGUAUGUGAUUCAUAGUGAAAUCUCUACAAAGACUUAUAUUUAGGAACAAAGGGAGUAGUAGCAACCAAUGACACCUACAAGUGAUAAAAAAAUGCUGCACACAAGGAAUCCCUGCCUGGGCCGGCCCAUGAAGUUUGGACCUCCUAUACUGCGCGCUCGGAGAACACACAGCCUCCCCGUUUGGGCCGGCUGAUGUCCGGGCAGCCUGUUUUUAAAAUUUUAUUUUUUUUAUUUUCGUUUUUUUCUACUUUAAAUAAUUUGUAACUUCAUCAAAGUUCAAAAAAAAAUGUUUAAUAAAUCAGAAAAUGUAUGUGGAUUCAAAAAAUAUUUGCGAUUUUAUAAGAAAAUAUUUGUUUAUACAAAAAGGGUUUGCAAUUUUGAAAUCAAAUGUUUGGGAAAUCAAAAAAAUGCUCUUGAUUUUUGAAAAAGUCCGUGUAUUACAAAAUGUAUUGAAAUUUAACAAAAUUUGGAAUGUUCAUGAAUGCAAAAAUAUACUAAAAAUUCAAAAACUUUUAAUGACUUACAAAAAAGUUUUUCAUUCAUAAAAUGUUCGUUGAUUAAAAAAAUGAUCAUGCAUUUCAAAAAAUAUUUGUUAAAUUAAAAAAUGUUCGUGAAUUCCAAAUAUUGUUCCACCAAUUUCCCAAAUAAUGCUCGUCUAUUCUAUAAAUGUUUGCCGAUUAAAGAAAACUAUUAAACAAAUGUUUCCAACUUUAGAAAAAUGUGCGCAAAUGGUAUAAAAUGUUCAUGAAUUAAAAAAUAUUUGAAAAUUGGUAAAAGUGUUCAUGAAUUUGAAAAUUGUUCAUAAUUUCAUAUAUCUUCACGAGUUACAAAAAAUGUUCAUUAUCAUGAAAUUGGGAGAGAUAGUGUAUCUCGGUGAUGCAGCAAAAUGUGAUCAAGGACAUUAGAGAUUUUUUUUUCUCCCGUUGCAACACACGGUCCCUUUUGGAAGUAAUAAGAAAAGGGCAAUUGCUUCUGGUGGUAUGUCACGGAAAUAGCCCAAAAGUUGCAAAAUAUUACAAACCAAUGCCACCGAUAAGUGUUAAGAAACAUUUACACAGGGGAAUCUCUUGCUUGGGCCAGCCCAUGCAGUAGGGACGACCUAUACAGUGCUCUACGCGCUAGGAGAAGACGCAAUGCGCCCAUUUGUGCCAGCCCAUGUCCAUGCGGCCUGUUUUCUAAAUUAUGUUUUUCAUUUCUUGUUUCUCUUUUCUGUUUUUCAUUUUCUACUUUAUAUAAUUUUUGACUUCAAAAAAGUUCCCAAAAUUUUAAAAAUGAUAAUUUGAAAUAAUUUUUUAAUAAAAUAUAAAUUAUUUACGGAUUAAAUAAAUGUUCGUUAUUUUCUGGAAAAAUGUUUACUUAUUCAAAAAAUAUUUGAAAACAAAAUUUUGGUAAAUGUUAAUAAAAUUGAACACAAUUUUGCCAAUUAAAAAAAAAUUCAUGAAUGGAAAAAUAUUCUGAAAAUGCAAAAACUGCUCAUGACUUAUAAAAUAGUUUAUUCAGUCAUAAAAUAUCCACUCAUUCAACAAAUGAUCAUACAUUUCUGAAAAUGUUCAUUAAAUCAAGAACAAAUUCGUUGAUUUCAAAAAUUGUUCCACCAAUUUGGUCCGUCGAUUCAAGAAAUUUUCGCUGAUUCAAGCAAAAUGUAUAUAAAAAGAUUACUAUUUUAGAAAAUUGCAACUAUUAUAAAAUUUCUAUGAAUUCAAAAAAUGCUUUUGACUUUAGAAAAUGUGUGAUAAUUUGUAAAUUGUUCAAACUUUUUCAAAAAAUUUCACGAUUUCAAAUAUAUUCAUGAGCCUAAAAAACGGUCGAUUUAAAAAACUGUUCGUGAUUUCAUGAAAUAGAGAGUUAUAGUGUAUCUCACUGAUGCAGUAAAAUGUGGUCAGGCCCAUUGAAGAUUGUGAUUUUUUCUGUUGCAACACACGGGCCCUUUUGCUAUUUUGAAACUAAAGUCAAUAGAAAAGUAUUUAUACAAUAAAAAGUAUGAUUCUAGUGUGCCCCGGAUUGCACAUCCUCAAAUAAAUAUUAUUUAAAUUGUACAGAUAUAUUUAUAAUCCAUAACUAUUACUUUAGAUCUAUCAAUAUUUUUAAAAAUAAUAAGUUAAUAUUUUAAAAGUUAUUUUAAAAAAUUCUUUAAAAUAAUUUAUUUUAUCUAUAUGUAUUAUUUAUAUCAUAAUAAUAUUCUAACUGCUAGAAUAUUAGUUUGAAAACGCUAAAAUGUUGGAAAUGGGGCGCAUUGACUGCGGUCUAUUUGAGCUCCAUGUGGAUGCUCGUUCACAAGAUAUGGGUACUUGUCCCUCUUAGAAAAAAGGGUGCUUGUCUCAAUAAAAUAAAGAAGACAUAGGUGCUAGUUAUCCUGUCUGACAUGGAUUGCCGCAUUAAGCUGACGGGGAAAGUUGUCUAUUCAUGUGAUGGGCCAUGAUGCAUCUGUGGCAAGUUCAAACGCAUGUGGUGCAUUUACCUCUUAUCUAGUUCUUACUAGUUUUUCCUAGUUUGAUGUUUAUUUAACAAAGUAAGAAGAUUAUUACCUAACUUGUUUUCCUAGUUUGCUAAGUUCGUUAAAAAAAUAGCAAUUAACUCCCCAAUACAUAGGUGUUUAGUUUUUGUAGCUAAGCUUUGCUCACUUAACUGCUUAACAACUAAACUAGUCCAUGCAUUGGUUGAUAGGCAUUUUGCAUAGGUCCAUGCGCUUAGCAUCGUUUCUUCUUGUGGUCACAGUAGUGUUCUUUCCCCUCUUUAAAUGUUUUGACACAUUACUUUUUGGCCUAUGUGACAUCCUUAGAACAUGUACACCGUGGAGCACUAGAAAAGGGUCUUGUUUACGGUAAUCUAACACCAUCUAUAAUGUAAGGUGCUUAGAGACGUGUUAGUAAAGAUACAUUUGUUUUGAUGUAAGCACAUGCUUUUGUUUCUGUAGCAGAUGUGACUAAAUAAGCGUCUAAGCUAUCGGUCAAAAAAAAUCGAUUCAUUUUCACAAGCGCUUUUCUAAGCUUACCGCCGGUUUUCGUCUAUUUCAGGUCUCAUUUGGUUUACAUGAUUUUUAAUGGAUUCCUAAAACAUUUCUUCUCACAGGAACUUUUCCUAUAUGAAGCAUCCGCUCCAUAGGAAUAAAGAUACUAAAUUUCUUAUAAUUUAUAGAACUACUUCUUUCUUCUGGAUUUAUUAGUCUCUAAUUGAUUUUUGCAAACUUUGACCUUAAAUUUAACUAGCAAAAAUUAAGUUAGAUACCACAAAAAUAAUAGUAUAAUUGGAAAAUUCCUUUGAAUUCGAAUCCAACUGUAUAAAUUUUAUGGCAUACGAGUCAUAUUUUGACUAGUCAAAUCAAUAGUCAAACUUUGUCACAAAAUACGAGGGGACCCGUAAACCCCGACAGAGGAAGUACUACUCUAAUUUUUGUGAAUUGUAUCAUCCCAGAAUUUAUCUAAAAGGCAUUGUACUUCAAGCAUAUAUGUUUGUCCUUUUUACAUUCUACAAAACAAAGUUGCAAAUAAGGGUACAAUGCUAGCCUAUGAGCAAUCCACCAACUCAAUUGCUGACGAGAACUUCUAAAAAAUCUCGAUGACAACAGUGGUAGUGUCAAAAGACUCUAGUCCUACUUUUGACACGACUCGCACUCUUAAAGGAUUUUUACUUAAAUUUCAGGUUUCCCGACAAAUAGGCGUUGACUAGAUCAAAGUAGAGUAAACAUUAAGCUUCAGUUUUUCUCUAAGCGACUUGGUCUAACAACAUUUUUUGCAUUAACCUCGUCGAGUCUCCUAUCUAAGCUAAGUCUUCACGCGGAUAAACAUGGUGGGUUAUCUGUGUAAAUCGUAAGUGAACUCUAACCUCCUUUGAAUCACAAAAUUAAACUUUAUGUUCCCAACGGAUCACAUUUCUUUGCUCAUGGAGGAUCAAGGCUUGAGUUUGGUGUGUGUGUUUUACACUCAUGUUUUCCUAAUUUUAAUCUUGACUUUUCUAAGGAUUUUAUUUGAAUAUCACUUCGUGUUGCAUAAUAAUCACUAAUAUUUGCAAAGAUGUGUAAAUCUUCUUGUUUUGGUCAGUUGUUGAAGGUCUGGUGGAGAAAGGAGGAAAAUCUAGGUGUGUAUCCAAAAUCUACACCAAAAUGAAGCAUUUUCAUAAAGGGAACACCAUGAGCUGAGGAACCCACCGUCGAGUUCAACAUUGUCGUAACCGCAUGUGGUCGUACCAGGGGCUGUUAUUUGUGUGCAAGGGCUGUUUACCUUAUGUUGUGUGGUUCUCCUAUUAGUUCGAUAACGUUGAUCUCAUCACCGAGGGAAAUACCUACCAUCGCCGUGUUGCAUCAUCCCUUCCUCUUUGGGGAAAUACCGAUGUAGUUCUAACAGGCAUCAGCGCACCAAGUCCUCAAAAGCCCAUGUUACUAGGGAAGGCAAAAAAGGAAGGAGUCCUAGUAGGAAUAGGAUUGGACUUGGAGUCCAAGCCCUCUCCCCUUUAGCUGCGCCGUAGGGCUUGGAGGGGCUGUUUACCACACCCCUCCACCUAUAUAUAGAGGGAAAGGGGCGCCCCAAGAGAAAAUACCAAGCCCUUGGCGCCCCUCUCUCUCCCGUUACUCCGUAGUUCCACCGCUUCAUUCCGGCGACGCUUAAUGAAGCGCUAUCGGUACUCCACCACCACCAUCACCACCAUGCCGUCAUAUUGGUUGUGAUCCCAUAUACUUCUCCUCUCCCGCUUGCUGCAUCAAGAAGGUGGACACAUCAUCGAGCCGCAUGUGUGCUUAACUCGGAGGUGCCGUCCGUUUGGCACUAGAUCGGUUGGAUCAUGAUAUGAUCGCAAAGAGUACGACUACAUCAACCGCGUGAUAAACUCUUCCGCUUAACGGUCUACGAGGGUACGUAGACACACUCUCCCCUCUUGUAUCUAUGCAUCUCCAUGGAUAGAUCUUGUGUGUGCGUAGAAAUUUUUUGUUUCCAUGCAAUGUUCCCCAAUAGGAGUAGUGGCCCAUGAGGCACCAGGGCGCGACCUAGUGGCUUGACGGGCCCACGUGGCUCCGUUUGACCUAAUUCUUCCUCUAUAAAUGCCCAUAAAUUGUGAUACCAACAAAGACAAAGAGGAAAUACUUUUUCCGUUGCCGCAAGUUCCAGAACCACGAGGUCCAAUCUAGAGGCCUUUUCCGGCACUCUUCCAGAGGGGGAAACGGUCAUGGAGGGGCUCUACAUCAACCUUGCUGCCUCUCCGAUGAUGCAUGAGUAGUUUACCAUAGACCUAUAGGUCCAUAGUUAGUAGCUAGAUGACUUCUUCCCUCUCUUUGAUCUUCAAUACAAUGUUCCCCUUGAUGUUCUUGGAGAUCUACUCGAUGUAGUGACUUUUUCAGUGUGUUUGUUGGGAUCCGAUGAUCAGAUCUAUCCAUGAAUGUUAUUUGAGUUUUCUCUGAACUCUUUUAUGCAUGAUUUGUGUAGCCUCGUAUUUCUUCUCCGGUUUAUUGGUUUAGUUUGGCCAACUAGAUUGAUUUUUCUUGUCAUGGCAAGAGGAGCUUUGUGAUGGGUUCAAUCUUGCGGUGCUCAAUCUCAGUGACGAGACAUGGCAUGCAUGUAUCAUUGCUAUUAAGGGUAACAAGAUGGGGUUUAUUCAUACGUGAGUUUAUCUUGUCUACAUCAUUGUAACAUCUCAAACUUUCAAUUUGGAAUGUUAUACAUAGAUCAUCAUUGCAUAUCAUAUUUUAUUGCAUUUUGGCUCAAUCCUAGAAAUUCUACGCAACUCAAGGACCAACGGACAGAGUUGGGAAUUUCAAUAUUUUCAUAAUUGAGUUUUCUCAAAUUUUGAAAAUAGGAUCAUUUGAUUUUAUUUAUUUCACCUUCAAUUAUUUCUAUAAUAAAAAUAUGAGAGAGGGAAUAAAAUGACUUUCCUAAAAUAAAGAAAUAUUGAGGAUUUGAUAAUAAAACCAAAUAAGAUUUUAUUUUGGAGUUUAUUGCUAUUUUAUUUGAAUUUAGGAAAAAUAAGCAUUUUUCAAAAUUGCAUUUAGGCUCCAAACAAAUGUUCUUCUUGACCGGCUUGAUUUUAGAAGCAGGGGAAAAUUUAUUUCAGGAUUUUUGGAGUCCGUUUAGUAUUUCUUUUAUUUGUUUUUCUACGCGAAAGUAUUUAAAAAAACGAAAUCGACUUUGGGCCGUGUUCGGCCAGGACUCCGCCUGGCCGGGCCUUUAUAAGGCGCCGCCUCGAGCCCACCCGAGCCUCAGCCCCGCGCUGAACCCUAACCCUACCGUCGCCACCGGAUCNNNNNNNNNNNNNNNNNNNNNNNNNNNNNNNNNNNNNNNNNNNNNNNNNNNNNNNNNNNNNNNNNNNNNNNNNNNNNNNNNNNNNNNNNNNNNNNNNNNNNNNNNNNNNNNNNNNNNNNNNNNNNNNNNNNNNNNNNNNNNNNNNNNNNNNNNNNNNNNNNNNNNNNNNNNNNNNNNNNNNNNNNNNNNNNNNNNNNNNNNNNNNNNNNNNNNNNNNNNNNNNNNNNNNNNNNNNNNNNNNNNNNNNNNNNNNNNNNNNNNNNNNNNNNNNNNNNNNNNNNNNNNNNNNNNNNNNNNNNNNNNNNNNNNNNNNNNNNCCAACCCCGCUGAACCCCGCCGCCCCCUCGCUGGAGGUAGCCACCACCCCUCCGCCGGCGGUUUUUCCUCGAGAAAACCGUUCGGUUUUCCGCCAGUUUUUCGUUCGUUUGUUUAAAAAAAAACAUAGAUCUGUUUUUUCCGGUUUAAUUUAUUUAGCGGACGUUCGUCCGUGUGUUCUUUUUAACGAACGGUUUAUGUCGUUUAGCCGCAGACAGCGAACGUUCGUUCGUUAGCCUGUUCGUCAGUUUUUCUUUUUCUCGGAUUUUCCACGAUUAUUUCUGAUCGCGAUUUCUGAUCCGAUUUUCGUUCUAGUAUAACUUUUCGCUCGUUUAUCGGAAUCAGGCGAUUCAAGCGCCUAGAGUUUUGUCUCGAAACCCUCUUUCCGAUUAAUCAACUCAAACAAGUUUUUGCUUCUGUAAAACUUGACUUAGGUCCAAAUUAGUAAACGAGGCUUAUUUCUUUGGCCGUUUGACUUUCGUUGUUUCAUUUGUUUUGAUUCUUUUUGCAAACCGGAGUUCUUAAGUUGAACUUUCUGGUUAGAUCUUUUAUUUGAGUUUUACCUGUGCAUUAGAAGAGUACUUAUUGUAUGCUUGUUUGUUUGCGAUAGAGUUCCCGGAGUGCGCCGCUUGCUACUUUGAAUCUCUAGGUUUCCUGGAUCAUCAGCAAGGCAAGUAACACUUUGAUCAUAUCUCUUUACUACCCAGUUUUAUUAUAUUAGAUCAACCCUCAAAUAAUUGCAUGAUUAGGACCUGAUUAAUAUGUGGGUUUUGGGCAGUAGAUGAGGUAGUACCUAUUACCUGCUUUGUUAUCAAACCCUUGGGAGUUACUCUACGUUUGCUUAUUAUGCCGUGCUAUGCUAGUAGACGUGGAUUGGGUGAGUGUAUCCAUGACAGAUGUGAGAAUUCUUAAGUUAAUGAUUUAUCUAAGGUGAUAACUUUAAUACACAUCUGGGUGGAUUGAGGCACCUGGGUAUUCCAGCGGUUUCCUGUUUUCUUUAUGGACCGCCACCCAGGCUCAAAGGGAUCAUGAGAUUAUUCAUGCUAGAGACUUCCGUGUGUAGCCACAAGCUACUAUGGGCUCUAGCAUAGUUGAUUAAGUCGUGCGAACUCUUACAGGGGUAGACUAGCAGAUGUAGGGGAAAGUAGGUGUAACGGUCUACCCGAUCGUAAGGUGCUAGCGCUUCUGAAAGACUAUGUCUCGGUCAUCCAUUUCUCAAACACCAUGUAGUGCGAGAAUCCCAACGGAGGAGAUCGAGUCUUGUGGGGAAAAGUGUGCAAACCUCUGCAGAGUGUAUAAAGUAAUCAUGGUUAGCCGUCUCCCCGGUUAUGGACAUCUUGAGUAUCUAGUACUUGGAUUAUCAUGUGAAUCUCAUCAUGUUACUUUAAUUAAUAUUGUUGGGUUUUAAUGAUGAUAUUUAAUUGGGAUUGAGAGGGUGUCUACACUCUCAAUGUUUAACAACCACCAUGAUAGCUAAAUAAAAUUUAUUCCUUUGUAGUAGGGAAAAAUUGGCUUUACGCAAAAACUGUAAACAUAGAGCUUUCCACCAGCCAUAUAUGCAUGUAGUAUAGCUUUAUUUCCUUCAUUGCUCUCUAUGUGUUACAUUGCCAGCAUAUUCCAUGUGCUGAUCCGUUUUCAGGCUGCAACGUUCAUGUUGCAGACUUUUCAGACGACGAGUAAGGUGCUUUUAGGUCAUGGAUCUAUACUCAGUGAUGCCGUUGGAGUUGAUGGACUCGCUUAUCUUCCAAGCCUUCCGUUGUUAUCGUUAUUAGAUGGCCUUAAGCCAUAUUUAUUGUAAUAAGUGUUGGGGAUCGUAGCAGAAAUUCAAAAUUUUCCUACGUGUCACCAAGAUCUAUCUAUGGAGAAACCAACAACGAGGGGAAGGAGAGUGCAUCUACAUACCCUUGUAGAUCGCUAAGCGGAAGUGUUCAAGAGAACGGGGUUGAAGGAAUCGUACUCGUCGUGAUCCAAAUCACCGGAGAUCCUAGUGCCGAACGGACGGCACCUCCGCGUUCAACACACGUACAGCCCGGUGACGUCUCCCACGCCUUGAUCCAGCAAGGAGAGAGGGAGAGGUUGAGGAAGACUCCGUCCAGCAGCAGCACAACGGCGUGCGGUGAUGGAGGAGCGUGGCAAUCCUGCAGGGCUUCGCCAAGCACCGCGGGAGAGGAAAAGGGAGAGAGGUAGGGCUGGGCCAGGGAGAGGUCAAAACUCAUGUGUUGGCAGCCCUCAAGACCUCAACUAUAUAUAGGGGAGAGGGAGGGGGUGCACCCCCUCUAGGGUUUCCACCCCAAAGGGUGCGGCAGCCCCAAUCCCAUCUAGGGUGGCGGCCAGGGGGGGGGGAGAGGGGAAACUUGCCACCUAAAUUAGGUGGGUGCGCCCCCUUCCCCAACCCUAGGCGCGUUGGGACCUUGUGGGGGGGGGGGGAGCACACCAGCCCACCUGGGGCUGGUCCCCUCCCACACUUGGCCCAUGCAGCCCUCCGGGGAUGGUGGCCCCACUUGGUGGACCCCCGGGACCCUCCCGGUGGUCCCGGUACGUUACUGAUAAAACCCGAAACUUUUCCGGUGACCAAAACAUGACUUCCCAUAUAUAAAUCUUUACCUCCGGACCAUUCCGGAACUCCUCGUGACGUCCGGGAUCUCAUCCUGGACUCCGGACAACAUUCGGUAACCACAUACAAACUUCCUUUAUAACCCUAGCGUCAUCGAACCUUAAGUGUGUAGACCCUACGGGUUCGGGAAUCAUGUAGACAUGCCCGAGACGUUCUCCGGUCAAUAACCAACAGCGGGAUCUGGAUACCCAUGUUGGCUCCCACAUGUUCCACGAUGAUCUCAUCGGAUGAACCACGAUGUCAAGGACUCAAUCGAUCCCGUAUACAAUUCCCUUUGUCUAACGGUAUUGUACUUGCCCGAGAUUCGAUCGUUGGUAUCCCGAUACCUUGUUCAAUCUCGUUACCGGCAAGUCUCUUUACUCGUUCCGUAACACAUCAUCCCGUGAUCAACCCCUUGAUCACAUUGUGCACAUUAUGAUGAUGUCCUACCGUGUGGGCCCAAAGAUACCUCUCCGUUUACACGGAGUGACAAAUCCCAGUCUUGAUUUGUGCCAACCCAACAUACACUUUCGGAGAUACCUGUAGUGCACCUUUAUAGCCACCCAGUUACGUUGUGAUGUUUGGUACACCCAAAGAAUUCCUACGGUAUCCGGGAGUUGCACAAUCUCAUGGUCUAAGGAAAUGAUACUUGACAUUAGAAAAGCUUUAGCAUACGAACUACACGAUCUUUGUGCUAGGCUUAGGAUUGGGUCUUGUCCAUCACAUCAUUCUGCUAAUGAUGUGAUCCCGUUAUCAAUGACAUCCAAUGUCCAUGGUCAGGAAACCGUAACCAUCUAUUGAUCAACGAGCUAGUCAACUAGAGGCUUACUAGGGACAUGGUGUUGUCUAUGUACCCACACAUGUAUCUAAGUUUCCUAUCAAUACAAUUAUAGCAUGGAUAAUAAACGAUUAUCAUGAACAAGGAAAUAUAAAAAUAACUAAUUUAUUAUUGCCUCUAGGACAUAUUUCCAACAGUCUCCCACUUGCACUAGAGUCAAUAAUCUAGUUCACAUCGUCAUGUGAUUAACACUCACACGUCACAUCGCCAUGUGACCAACAUCCAAAGAGUUUACUAGUGUCAUUAAACUAGUUCACAUCAUCAUGUGAUUAAGACUCAAUGAGUUCUGGGGUUUGAUCAUGUUUUUCUUGUGAGAGAGGUUUUAGUCAACGGGUCUGCAACUUUCAGAUCCGUAUGUACUUCGCAAAUCUCUAGGUCAUUCUGUAAAUGCUGCUUCCACGCUCCACUUGGAGCUAUUCCAAAUGGUUGCUCCACUAUACGUAUCCGGUUUGCUACUCAGAGUCACUCGGAUAGGUGUUAAAGCUUGCAUCGACGUAACCCUUUACGCUGAACUCUUUAUCACCUCCAUAAUCGAGAAACAUGUCCUUAUUUUCUCCAAGGACAAUUUUGACCGCUGUCCAAUGAUCCAUUCCUAGAUCAUUCUUGUACCCCUUGACUGACUCAUGGCAAGGCACACUUCUGGUGCGGUACACAGCAUAGUAUACUAUAGAGCCUACGUCUGAAGCAUAGGGGACGACCUUCGUCCUUUCUCUCUAUUCUGCCGUGGUCGAGCUUUAAGUCUUAACUUCGUACCUUACAUCUCAGGCAAGAACUCCUUCUUUGACUGAUCCAUCUUGAACACCUUCAAGAUCAUGUCAAGGUAUAUGCUCAUUUGAAAGUAUUAAUAAGCAUUUUGAUCUAUCCUCAUAGAUCUUGAUGCUUAAUGUUCAAGUAGCUUAAUCCAGGUUUUCCCUUGAAAAACACUUUUCAAAUAACCCUAUAUGCUUUCCAGAAAUUCUACAUCAUUUCUGAUCAACAAUAUGUCAACAACAUAUACUCAUCAGAAAUUCUAUAGUGCUCCCACUGACUUCUUUGGAAAUACAAGUUUCUCAUAAACUUUGUAUAAACCCAAAAUCUUUGAUCAUCUCAUCAAAGCGUACAUUCCAACUCCGAGAUGCUUACUCUAGUCCUUAGAAGGAUCGCUGGAGCCAGCAUACCUUUUAGCAUCCUUAGGAUCGACAAAAACUUUCUGAUUGUAUCACAUACAACCUUUCCUUACGAAAACUGGUAAGGAAACUUGUUUUGACAUCCAUCUGCCAGAUUUCAUAAAUGCAGCUUGUGCUAACAUGAUUCCGAUGGACUUUAAGCAUCGCUAUGGAUGAGAAAAUCUCAUCGUAGUCAACUCCUUGAACUUGUGAAAAACUCUUCGCCACAAGUCGAGCUUCAUAGAUGGUGAUAUUACCAUCCACGUCCGUCUUCUUCUUAAAGAUCCAUUUAUCUCAAUGGCUUGCCGAUCAUUGGGCAAGUCCACCAAAGUCCAUGCUUUGUUCUGAUACAUGGAUCCUAUCUCGGAUUUCAUGGCUUCUAACCAUUUGUCGGAAUUUGGGCCCACCAUCGCUUCUCCAUAGUUUGUAGGUUCAUUGUUGUCUAGCAACAUGACCUUCAAGACAGGAUUACUGUAUCACUCUGAAGCAGUACGCAUCCUUGUCACCCUAUGAGGUACGGUAGUGACUUGAUCCGAAACUUCAUGAUCACUAUCAUAAGCUUCUACUUCAAUUGGUAUAGGUGCCAUAGGAACAACUUCCUAUGCCCUGCUACACACUAAUUGUAGUGAUGGUUCAAUAACCAUAUCAAGUCUCCACCAUCCUCCCACUCAACUUUUCGAGACAAGCUUUUCCUCGAGAAAGGACCCGAUUCAAGAAACAAUCCCUAUUGCUUUCGGAUCUGAAUUAGGAGGAAUACCCAACUGUUUUGGGUGUCCUAUGAAGAUGCAUUUUAUCCGCUUUGGGUUCGAGCUUAUCAACCUGAAACUUUUCACAUAAGCUUCGCAACCCCAAACUUUUAAGAAACGACAACUUAGGUUUCUCCAAACCAUAGUUCAAACGGUGUCGUCUCAACGGAAUUACGUGGUGCCCUAUUUAAGUGAGUGUGGUUGUCUCUAAUGCCUAACCCAUGAACGAUAGUGGUAAUUCGAUAAGAGACAUCAUGGUACGCACCAUAUCCAAUAGGGUGCAACUAUGAUGUUCGGACACACCAUCACACCAUGGUGUUCCAGGCGGUAUUAAUUGUGAAACAAUUUCCACAACGUCUUAAUUGCGUGCCAAAGCUCGUAACUCAGAUACUCAUCUCUAUGAUCACAUCAUAGACAUUUUAUCCUCUUGUCACGAUGAUCUUCAACUUCACUCUGAGAUUACUUGAACCAUUCAAUAAUUCAGACUUGUGUUUCAUCAAGUAAAUAUACUCAACAUCUACUCGAAUCAUCUGUGAAGUAAGAACAUAACGAUAUUCACUGCAUGCCUCAGCACUCAUUGGAUUGCACACAUCAAAAUGUGUUACUUCCAACAAGUUGCUAUCUUGUUCCAUCUUACUGAAAAAACGAGGCUUUUCAGUCAUCUUGCCCAUGUGGUAUGAUUUGCAUAUCUCAGGUGAUUCAAAAUCAAGUGAGUCCAAAUGAUCCAUCUGCAUGGAGUUUCUUCAUGCGUAUACACCAAUAGACAUGGUUCGCAUGUCUCAAACUUUUCAAAAACAAGUGAGUCCAAAGAUCCAUCAACAUGGAGCUUCUUCAUGCGUUUUACACCAAUAUGACUUACAUGGCAGUGCCACAAGUAGGUGGUACUAUCAUUACUAUCUUAUAUCUUUUGGCAUGAAAAUGCGUAUCACUACGAUCGAGAUUCAAUAAACCAUUCCUUUAGGUGCAAGACCAUUGAAGGUAUUAUUCAAAAAAUUAGAGUAACCAUUAUUCUCCUUAAAUGAAUAACCGUAUUGCGAUAGACAUAAUCCAAUCAUGUCUAUGCUCAACGCAAACACCAAAUGACAAUUAUUUAGGUUUAAUACUAAUCUUGAUGGUAGAGGGAGCAUGCGAUGUUUGAUUACAUCAAACUUGGAAACACUUCCAACACAUAUCGUCAGCUCACCUUUAGCUAGUCUCCGUUUAUUCCGUAGCUCCUUUAUUUCGAGUUGCUAACACUUAGCAAUGGAACCGGUAUCUUAAUACCCUGGUGCUACUAGGAGUGCCAGUAAAGUACACAUUAACAUAAUGUAUAUCCAAUAUACUUCUAUCGACCUUGCCAGCCUUCUCAUCUACCAAGUAUCUGGGGUAAUUCUGCUCCAGUGGUUGUUCCCCUUAUUACAGAAGCACUUAGUCUCGGGUUUGGGUUCAACCUUGGGUUUCUUUACUAGAGCAGCAGCUGAUUUGCCAUUUCAUGAAGUAUCCCUUCUUGCCCUUGCCCUUCUUGAAACUAGUGGUUUCACCAACCAUCAACAAUUGAUGCUCCUUCUUGAUUUCUACUUUCGCGGUGUCAAACAUCGCGAAUACCUCAAGGAUCAUCAUAUCUAUCCCUGAUAUGUUAUAGUUCAUCACGAAGCUCUAGCAGCUUGGUGGCAAUGACUUUGGAGAAACAUCACUAUCUCAUCUGGAAGAUCAACUCCCACUCGAUUCAAGUGAUUGUUGCACUCAGACAAUCUGAGCACAAGCUCAACGAUUGAGCUUUUCUCCCUUAGUUUGCAGGCUAAGAAAAUCGUCGGAGGUCUUAUACCUCUUGACGUGGGCAUGAGCCUGAAAUCCCAAUUUCAGCCCUCGAAACAUCUCAUAUGUUACGUGACAUUUUGAAAACGUCUUUGGUGCCUCAACUCUAAACCGUUUAACUGAACUAUCACAUAGUUAUCAAAACGUGUAUGUCCGAUGUUCGCAACAUCCACAGACGAUGUUUGGGGUUCAGCACACUGAGCGGUGCAUUAAGGACAUAAGCUUUCUACUGUCCGCAUAAUCGCUACUGUCAACUUUCAACUAUAUUUUCUCUAGGAACAUAUCUAAAUAGUGGAGCUAAAGCGCGAGCCUAUGACAUAAUUUGCAAAGAUCUUUUGACUAUGUUCAGGAUAAUUAAGUUCAUCUCAUGAACUCCCACUCAGAUAGACAUCCCUCUAGUCAUCUAAGUGAUUACAUUAUCCGAGUCAACUAGGCUGUGUCCGAUCAUCACGUGAGACGGACUAGUCAUCAUCAGUGAACAUCUUCAUGUUGAUCGUAUCCUCCAUACGACUCAUGCUCGACCUUUCGGUCUCUUGUGUUCUGAGGUCAUGUCUGUACAUGCUAGGCUCGUCAAGUUAACCUAAGUGUUUCGCGUGUGUAAAUCUGGCUUACACCCGUUGUAUGUGAACGUAAGAAUCUAUCACACCCGAUCAUCACGUGGUGCUUCGAAACGACAAACUUUCGCAAUGGUGCACAGUUAGGGGGAACACUUUCUUGAAAUUUUAAUGAGGGAUCAUCUUAUUUACUACCGUCAUUCUAAGCAAAUAAGAUGUAGAAACAUGAUAAACAUCACAUGCAAUCAAAAUAGUGACAUGAUAUGGCCAAUAUCAUUUUGCUCCUUUUGAUCUCCAUCUUCGGGGCUCCAUGAUCAUCAUCGUCACCGGCAUGACACCAUGAUCUCCAUCAUCAUGAUCUCCAUCAUCGUGUCUCCAUGAAGUUUUCUCGCCAACUUAUUACUUCUACUACUAUGGCUACCGGUUAGCAAUAAAGUAAAGUAAUUACAUGGCGUUGUUCAAUGACACGCGGGUCAUACAAUAAAUAAAGACAACUCCUAUGGCUCCCACUGGUUGUCAUACUCAUCGACAUGCAAGUCAUGAUUCCUAUUACAAGAACAUGAUCAAUCUCAUACAUCACAUAUCAUUCAUCACAUUCUUCUUGGCCAUAUCACAUCACAUAGCAUACCCUGCAAAAACAAGUUAGACGUCCUCUAAUUGUUGUUUGCAUGUUUUACAUGGCUGCUAUGGGUUUCUAGCAAGAACUUUUCUUACCUACGCAAAACCACAACGUGAUAUGCCAAUUGCUAUUUACCCUUCAUAAGGACCCUUUUCCCCGCUAGCCACCUUAUGCACCAAGUGCAUGUCAGUCGGUGGAACCUGUCUCACGUAAGUGUACGUGUAAGGUCGGUCCGGGCCGCUUCAUCCCACAAUGCCGCCGAAUCAAGAUUGGACUAGUAACGGUAAGCAUAUUGAACAAAAUCAACACCCACAACUCUUUGUGUUCUACUCGUGCAAAGAAUCUACGCAAUAGACCUAGCUCAUGAUGCCACUGUUGUGGAUCGUAGCAGAAAUUCAAAAUUUUCCUACGUGUCACCAAGAUCUAUCUAUGGAGAAACCAGCAACGAGGGGAAGGAGAGUGCAUCUACAUACCCUUGUAGAUCGCUAAGCAGAAGCGUUCAAGAGAACGGGGUUGAAGGAGUCAUACUUGUCGUGAUCCAAAUCACCGGAGAUCUUAGUGCCAAACGGACGGCACCUCCGCGUUCAACACACGUAUAGCCCGGUGACGUCUCCCACGCCUUGAUCCAGCAAGGAGAGAGGGAUAGGUUGAGGAAGACUCCGUCCAGCAGCAGCACAACGGUGUGGUGGUGAUGGAGGAGCGUGGCAAUCCCGUAGGGCUUCGCCAAGCACCGCGGGAGAGGAGAAGGGAGAGAGGUAGGGCUGCGCCAGGGAGAGGUCAAAACUCAUGUGUUGGCAGCCCUCAAGACCUCAACUAUAUAUAGGGGAGAGGGAGGGGGGUGCGCCCCCUGUAGGGUUUCCACCCCAAGGGGUGCGGCAGCCCCAAUCCCAUCUAGGGUGGUGGCCAAGGGGGGGAGAGGGGAAACUUGCCCCCUAAGUUAGGUGGGUGCGCCCCCUCCCCCAACCCCAGGCGCCUUGUGCCCUUGUGGGGGGUGCACCAGCCCACCUGGGGCUGGUCCCCUCCCACACUUGGCCCAUGCAGCCCUCCGGGGAUGGUGGCCCCACUUGGUGGACCCCCGGGACCCUCCCGGUGGUCCCGGUACGUUACCGAUAAAACCCGAAACUUUUCCGGUGACCAAAACAUGACUUCCCAUAUAUAAAUCUUUACCUCCAGACCAUUCCGGAACUCCUCGUGAUGUCCGAGAUCUCAUACGGGACUCUGAACAACAUUCAGUAACCACAUACAAACUUCCUUUAUAACCCUAGCAUCAUCGAACCUUAAGUGUGUAGACCCUACGGGUUCGGGAAUCAUGCAGACAUGACCGAGACGUUCUCCGGUCAAUAACCAACAGCGGGAUUUGGAUACCCAUGUUGGCUCCCACAUGUUCCACGAUGAUCUCAUCAGAUGAACCACGAUGUCAAGGACUCAAUCGAUCCCGUAUACAAUUCCCUUUGUCUAACGGUAUUGUACUUGCCCGAGAUUUGAUCGUCGGUAUCCCGAUACCUUGUUCAAUCUCGUUACCGGCAAGUCUUUUUACUCGUUCCGUAACACAUCAUCCCGUGAUCAACCCCUUGAUCACAUUGUGCACAUUAUGAUGAUGUCCUACCGAGUGGGCCCAGAGAUACCUCUCCGUUUACACGGAGUGACAAAUCCCAGUUUCGAUUCGUGCCAACCCAACAGACACUUUCGGAGAUACCUGUAGUGCACCUUUAUAGCCACCCAGUUACGUUGUGACGUUUGGUACACCCAAAGAAUUCAUACGGUAUCCGGGAGUUGCACAAUCUCAUGGUCUAAGGAAAUGAUACUUGACAUUAGAAAAGCUUUAGCGUACGAACUACACGAUCUUUGUGCUAGGCUUAGGAUUGGGUCUUGUCCAUCACAUCAUUCUGCUAAUGAUGUGAUCCCGUUAUCAACGACAUCCAAUGUCCAUGGUCAGGAAACCGUAACCAUCUAUUGAUCAACGAGCUAGUCAACUAGAGGCUUACUAGGGACAUGGUGUUGUCUAUGUACCCACACAUGUAUCUAAGUUUCCUAUCAAUACAAUUAUAGCAUGGAUAAUAAACGAUUAUCAUGAACAAGGAAAUAUAAUAAUAACUAAUUUAUUAUUGCCUCUAGGGCAUAUUUCCAACAAUAAGUUCUCUUUUGAGACAUUCAAUGUAAUAAGUGUGUGAUUAACAUUCUGUUAUAAAUCCUUCAAAUACUGUGUGUGUCAGCAUUACUGAUCCAGGGAUGACACUAAAGCACAGAGAUCAGACUGUUUGAGGUCUGGUCGCUACAAGAUGGUAUCAGAGCACACGCUGACUGUAGGACACGCUCACUAAGCUAAAGCCCUAGAUCACUACUCACUCUUCUCAUUUCUGACUCCUCAUCUUUUCUACUCUUUUACGAUGGCGGAUGCAAGGAACAAGUUCACGCAACCGGAUGAAGAUACACCCUUUGGACGUCACCUGAAGGAAGUCACUAGAUACCUGAACAUCGGAGUACCAAGCUUCACCGGAACCUACAACGCCACUUUACCUAAAGAGGAGCGUUGGACGGUUCAAGUUCAAGUCCCGGGAAGGACAUUCAUGCCCGUCACUGAGCCCAUAGAGUUUUCCUUUGAUGCACCAACCUAGAGUCUAGGAAAGAGCAUGGCAGCCCACAUCACCAUGGGACGCAUUGGAGAAGUUUACCACAAGGAUCUCAAGGAUACGAUCUACCAGAUUUGUGGGCGCCGAGAUAAGCAAUGGGAGAUGAUCAGCACCAGGAAAGAUAGAUCAAUUGCAUCUUUCAUCCAGGAGUUAAACCAGCACAUUCGACGCCAGGAGAACCAGAUGUGUGCAGGCAUGUUAGACCUGAAGAAGGCCAUGACCAAGAUCACAGAGCUGGAGGAAGAACUGAAGUCUACACGCGAUGGAUAUGAGGAGGAAAUAGCAACACCAGUGGAGAAGAAUGAUGAUCUGAAGAAGAAGCUAAAAGUGUUCAUGGGAUUUCCCGCAACUGAAGGAGAAGAUGAUUGCACUUGUCCGGAGAAUUACAUCAUCAUCGACGACAUCGACUCGGACCCAGACGAUAGCGAUGAUGACUAUGUUGGUGAAGCUGGAGCAGAUAUCAUGGAAUCUUCAUCGGAGCAGUUUUUCUAGUCGACCACCAUAACAGUAGUAGUAUUCCCCCAUGUAUCUAGUAUAGUCCGAGCACUUUUAUAACGCUAGUUAGACCGUUGUAUGCCCUUGUUUGAUUGAAUGAAAUAAUUUUGUUUGCAUUUGUCUCAUGUGCAUAUGGGUAGUGUUUUACCUCUAGACCUCAUUCUAUUCUAUAUUCUCAUCUUUUCUAAAAACCCUCAGAUGCCUCCGAGACGCGACAAUGGAUUCACUUUCCCACCGAAGCUCACUCAGUUGAUCCAACAACAGAAUGCGUUGAUGCAGUUGCUAGUCCAGAAUCAGAAUCAGGGGAACAACAACAACAACAACCCACCACCGCCACCACCUGUUGAUCACUUAACCCAUUUUCUUAGGCUAAAUCCGCCGGUGUUCUCCAGUAGCACCGAGCCGAUUGUUGCAGAUGAUUGGCUCCGCAAGAUAGCAAGGGAGUUAACCACUGCAGGAUGCACAGAUGCGGAGAGGGUGCGUUUUGCCUCACAUCAGCUGGAAGGACCCGCAGCAUCAUGGUGGGAGAAUUUCACAGCCACAUAUCCUAUCGACAUUGUCACAUGGGAUCAGUUUCAGCAGGCUUUCCGUACUGCCCAUGUUUCAGCAGGAGCUAUGGCCAUGAAGAAGCAUGAGUUUAGCAACUUGCACCAAGGAGGACGGACAGUUGGCCAGUAUGUGGAUGGCUUUAGUAAGCUAGCACGUUAUGCCCCAGAUGACGUUGCUACGGAUGCAGCUAAGCAGGAGAAGUUUCUGGAAGGACUGAAUGAUGAGCUGAGCAUGUAGUUGAUGAUAGCAACUUUCCACAACUACCAGGAGUUGGUAGAUCAUGCUCUUAUGAUUGAAGGGAAGCAGCAGCAGAUUGAGAACCACAAGAGGAAGUAUGGACAAGGGAAGUACAAUUCGGGAGCUCGGCAGAAGCCACAUUUUACCCCGAAAUCGGGAGGACAUUUCCAGCAUACCCAUGGAGGAGGUAGCUCACACAACCAUAAUGGCCCCAAGAAUGGUAACGGGAAUGGAGGAAGCAACGGCCAGAACCGUACCAACCCGUCAACCCCGGCUAAGAGAGACCUGAGCCAAGUCACUUGCUUUAAGUGCCAGAAGACUGGUCAUUAUGCCAAUGAAUGUCAUGAAGCCCAGAAUGGAAAUGGCAAUGGAAGCUCAGGAAAGAAGCUGAACCCUUUCAAUAGGGGACAGGUGAACCACGUUAAUGUGGAGGAGGUUGAAGCCCAGCCAGAUGCAGUAAUAGGUAAGUUUUUGGUUAAGUCAUUUACUGCAAUCGUUCUUUUUUAUACUGGUGCAUCACAUUCAUACAUAUCAAGGGGAUUUGUGGAUAAGUAUAAACUGCCCACCAAAGUUCUUAGAACACCUAUUUUAGUAAGCUCACCAGGAGCGGAGUAUAUGGCCAGUCGAGGAUGUUUUCAAGUUCCAUUGAGUAUAGGUAGGCAUGUUUUCCCCUCGGAUUUAAUCAUUUUGGAAUCACAAGGUUUGGAUGUAAUUCUGGGUAUGGAUUGGCUGUCGAUGUAUGGAGGAAACAUCAAUUGCGCUAGUAAGACAAUUUCUCUUACAACCCUAGAAGGAAGAAGGAUCAAGUAUGUAUCACGGCAUGAGCCGAAGAGGACACAAGUAAAUUCCUUAUCAGGAGUUGUGCAGGAGGAAGUACCAGUGGUGAAGGAUUUCCCUGAUGUAUUUCCAAAAGAGUUGCCACGCAUGCCACCGGAUAGAGACAUUGAGUUUUUGAUCGAGCUUUUUCCAGGCACAGGGCCAAUAUCUAAGAGACCAUACAGGAUGCCCGCACAAGAUUUGGAGGAAAUUAAGAAGCAAAUUAAGGAGUUACUGGAUAAAGGCUAUAUUCGCCCAAGUUCUUCACCUUGGGGAUUACCAGUGCUUCUAGUGGAGAAGAAGGAUGGAUCAUUAAGGAUGGUUGUUGAUUAUCGAGGACUGAAUGAAGUGACCAUCAAGAACAAGUACCCAUUGCCGAUGAUCAAUGAUUUGUUUGACCAAUUGCAAGGAGCUAUGGUAUUUUCCAAGAUCGAUGUGCGAUCAGGAUACCAUUAGUUGAAGAUUCGAGAGCAGGAUAUACCUAAGACAGCUUUUACCACCAGGUACGGGCUAUAUGAGUAUACGGUUAUGUCAUUUGGUCUGACUAACGCACCUGCAUAUUUCUUGAACAUGAUGACAAGGUGUUUAUGGAGUUUUUGGAUAAGUUCGUCGUGGUGUUCAUUGAUGAUAUUUUGGUCUACUCGAAGAAUGAAGAGGAGCAUAAGGAGCAUUUGCGUUUGGUACUGGAGAAGCUCAGAGAACAUCAGUUAUACGCCAAGUUCAACAAAUGUGAGUUUUGGUUGAAGGAAGUUGGAUUCCUCGGACAUAUUAUAUCCGGAGAAGGAAUAGCAGUAGAUCCCACCAAGGUUGUCACUGUGACAAAUUGGGUAGCACCAACAACAGUUGGAGAGAUCCAGAGUUUUCUUGGGCUGGCAGCAUACUACCGGAGAUUCAUUGAGAAUUUCUCGAAGAUUGCGAAGCCUAUGACGGAGUUGUUAAAGAAGGAUACCAAGUUCAAUUGGACUGAGGAAUGUGAGGCCAGUUUCUAGGAAUUGAAGAAACAUUUGGUUACAUCGCCAGUGUUGAUUUUGCCAGAUCAGCGCAAGGAUUAUGAGGUGUAUUGCGACGCUUCAUGUCGAGGACUAGGAGCAGUGCUUAUGCAGGAGGGAAGAGUUGUUUCAUAUGCUUCACGAUAGCUUAAGCCCCAUGAGUUGAAUUAUGCUACACAUGAUUUGGAGUUAGUAGCCGUAGUACAUGCAUUGAAGACAUGGAGACAUUUUCUCAUCGGAAACCAUUGUCAAGUGUACAUGGAUCACAAGAGUUUGAAGUACAUUUUCACGCAGAAGGAGCUAAAUCUCAGGCAAAGGAGAUGGUUGGAACUCAUCAAGGAUUAUGUUAUGAGAUUACAUUAUCACCCCAGAAAGGCUAAUGUAGUGGCCGAUGCGUUGAGCCGUAAGAUCCAUGUCAACACACUCAUGACCGGAGGAUUACCAAGGGAGUUAGCUGAGGACCUUCAUGAAUUAUGUUUGGAGAUAGUUCCGAGAGGCUACGUUGCAGCAUUGGAGAUUCAGUCAACUCUGAUGGAGAAGAUCAGAGAAGCUCAGAAGACUGACAAGGAGAUUGCCUCUAUAAAGGAGAAGAUGAGCAAAGGAAAAGCUAAAGGAUUUCGUGAGGAUGAGCACGAUACCUUGUGGUUUGAGGACCGCGUUUAUGUGCCUAAUGACCCGGAGAUCAGGAAGUUGAUUCUACAGGAGGCCCAUGAUUCACCGUAUUCGAUACACCCAGGAAAUACCAAGAUGUAUUUGGAUUUGAAGGAUACUCUCUGGUGGACCGGAAUGAAGAAGGAUAUUGCGGAGUAUGUAGAAGUUUGUGAUGUAUGUCAGAGAGUAAAGGCAGAGCAUCAGAAGCCAGCAGGAUUGUUACAGCCAUUGCCAAUACCCGAAUGGAAGUGGGAUAAGUUAGGCAUGGAUUUUAUCACGGGAUUGCCCAGGACUCAUUCAGGCUAUGACUCGAUUUGGAUUGUAGUCGAUCGUUUGACGAAGGUAGCUCAUUUCAUCCCAGUGAAGACCACCUACACCAGUGCUAAGUUGGCAAAGAUAUACAUGACUAGGAUCGUAUGUUUGCAUGGAGUUCCGAGGAGCAUUGUAUCAGAUAGAGGAACCCAGUUUACCUCAAAGUUCUGGAAUCAGUUGCAGGAAACCUUGGGUACCAGGCUAGAGUUCAGUACAGCUUUUCACCCGCAAACAGAUGGACAGACCGAGAGAGUCAAUCAAAUUUUGGAGGAUAUGCUGAGAGCUUGUGCGCUAGAUUAUGGAUCUAGCUGGGACGAUAAUUUGCCGUAUGCAGAGUUCUCCUACAACAACAGUUAUCAAUCCAGCCUGAAGAUGGCCCCUUUUGAAGCUUUGUACGAAAGGAGGUGUAGAACCCCAUUGUCGUGGGAUGAAGUUGGAGACCGUCAGUUGUUUGGACCAGAUUUGAUUAAAGAGUCUGAACAGAAGGUGAAGUUGAUUCGCGAUAGGCUCAAGGUAGCCCAAUCCAGGCAGAAGAGCUACGCAGAUUCUAAAUGCAAGGAGAUAGUUUACAAAGUCGGAGACAGAGUAUAUCUUCGUGUAUCUCCACUUCGAGUAAAGUGUUUUGGAGUUAAGGGAAAAUUAGCACCACGUUUUGUGGGACCAUACAAAGUUUUGGAGCGUAUGGGAGAAGUUGCCUACAAGUUGGAAUUGCCCGAAGAUUGUCAGGAGUUCACGACGUGUUCCACGUUUCCCAGUUGAAGAAGUGCCACGCAGAGAUGGCUGAUAUACCGCUGAGAGAUACAGUGCCACUGGAAGCAAUUCAGUUGGAUAUUGAUUUGACCUAUGAGGAGAAACCAGUCAAGAUUCUCGAAAAUGCCAGCCGAGUCACCCGCAACAAGGUUAUCAAGUUUUGCAAAGUUCAGUGGAGCCACCACACCGAGGAUGAAGCCACCUGGGAGCGAGAGGAAGUUCUGCUGAAGGACCACCCUCACCUAUUAUCUAGCCAACCCGAAUCUCGAGGGCGAGAUUCAUCUUAAGGGGGGUAGGUUUGUAACAUCCCAAAUUUUCAAUUUGGAAUGUUAUACAUAGAUCAUCAUUGCAUAUCAUAUUUUAUUGCAUUUUGGCUCGAUCCUAGAAAUUCUACGCAACUCAAGGACCCACACAGAGAGUUGGGAAUUUCAAUAUUUUCAUAAUUAAGUUUUCUCAAAUUUUGAAAAUAGGAUCAUUUGAUUUUAUUUAUUUCAUCUUCAAUUAUUUCUAUAAUAAAAAUAUGAGAGAGGGAAUAAAAUGACUUUCCCAAAAUAAAGAAAUAUUGAGGAUUUGAUAAUAAAAUCAAAUAAGAUUUUAUUUUGGAGUUUAUUGCUAUUUUGAAUUUAGGAAAAAUGCGCGUUUUUCAAAAUUGCAUUUAGGCCCCAAAUAAAUAUUCUUCUUGACCGGCUUGAUUUUAGAAGCCGGGGAAAAUUUAAUUCGGGAUUUUUGGAGUCCGUUUAGUAUUUCUUUUAUUUGUUUUUCUGCGCGAAAGUAUUUUUAAAAAAACGAAACCGACUUUGGGCCGUGUUCGGCCAAGACUCCGCCUGGUCGGGCCUUUAUAAGGCACCGCCCCGAGCCCACCCGAGCCUCAGCCCCGCGCCGAACUCUAACCCUACCGCCGCCGCCGGAUCCCGCGCCCCCCGCCGCCGCCGAUGCCGGACGCCACCGUCGCCCCCGCCGGACGCCGCCGCCCCGCCGCCGCCCCGCCGGACCUUGUCGCUGCCCUGUCAACCCCGCCAGACCCCGCCGCCGCCUUGCCGGAGGUAGCCACCGCCCCGCCGCCGACGGUUUUUCCUCGAGAAAACCGUUCGGUUUUCCGCCGGUUUUUCGUUCAUUCUUUUUAAAAAAAAACUAGAUCUGUUUUUUCGGUUUAGUUUAUUUAGCGGACAUUCGUCGGUGCGUUUGUUCUAACGAACGGUUUUCCUCGUUUAGCCGCAGACAGCGAACAUUCAUUCGUUAGCCUGUUCGUCAGUUUUUCUUUUUCUCGGAUUUUCCGCGAUUAUUUCUGAUCGCGAUUUCUGAUCCGAUUUUCGUUCUAGUAUAACUUUUGCUCGUUUAUCGGAAUCAGGCGAUUCAAGCACCUAGAGUUUCGUCUCGAAACCCUCUUUCCAAUUAAUCAAAUCAAACAAGUUUUUGCUUCUGUAAAACUUGACUUAGGUCCAGAUUAGUAAACGAAGCUUGUUUCUUUCGCCGUUUGACUUUCGUUGUUUCGUUUGUUUUGAUUCUUUUUGCAAACCAGAGUUCUUAAGUUGAACUUUCUGGUUAGAUCUUUUAUUUGAGUUUUUUACAUGCAUUAGAAGAGUACUUAUUGUAUGCUUGUUUGUUUGUGAUAGAGUACCCGGAGUGCGCUGCUUGCUACUUUGAUUCUCUAGGUUUCCCGGAUCAUCUGCAAGGCAAGUAACACUUUGAUCAUAUCUCUUUACUACCCAGUUUUAUUGCAUUAGAUCAACCCUCAAACAAUUGCAUGAUUAGGGUCUGAUUAAUAUGUGGGUUUUGGGCAGUAGAUGAGGUAGUACCUAUUACGUGUUUUGUUAUCAAACCCUUGGGAGUUACUCUAUGUUUGCUUAUUAUGCCGUGCUAUGCUAGUAGACGUGGAUUGGGUGAGUGUAUCCAUGACAGAUGUGAGAACUGUUAAGUUAAUGGUUUACCUAAGGUGGCAACUUUAAUACACAUCUGGGUGGAUUGAGGCACCUGGGUAUUCCAGCGAUUGCCUGUUUUCUUUAUGGACCGCCACCCAGGCUCAAAGGGAUCAUGAGAUUAUUCAUGCUAGAAACUUCCUUGUGCAUCCACAAGCUACUAUGGGCUCUAGCAUAGUUGAUUAAGUCGUGUGAACUCUUACAGGGGUAGACUAGCAGAUGUAGGGGAAAGUAGGUGUAACAGUCUACCCGAUCGUAAGGUGCUAGCGCUUCUGAAAGACUAUGUCUCGGUCAUCCGUUUCUCAAACACCAUGUAGUGCGAGAAUCCCAACGGAGGAGAUCGAGUCUUGUGGGGAAAAGUGCGCAAACCUCUGCAGAGUGUAUAAACUAAUCAUGGUUAGCCGUGUCCCCGGUUAUGGACAUCUUGAGUAUCUAGUACUUGGAUUAUCAUGUGAAUCUCAUCAUGUUACUUUAAUUAAUAUUGUUGGGUUUUAAUGAUGAUGUUUAAUUGGGAUUGAGAGGGUGUCUACACUCUCAAUGUUUAACAACCACCAUGAUAGUUAAAUAAAAUUUAUUCCUUUGCAGUACGGAAAAAUUGGCUUUACACAAAAACUGUAAACAUAGAGCUUUCCACCAGCCAUAUAUGCAUGUAGUAUAGCUUUAUUUCCUUCAUUACUCUCUAUGUGUUACAUUGCCUGCAUAUUCCAUGUGCUGACCCGUUUUCAGGCUGCAACGUUCAUGUUGCAGACUUUUCAGACGAUGAGUAAGGUGCUUUUAGGUCGUGGUUCUAUACUCAGUGAUGCCGUUGGAGUUGAUGGACUCGCUUAUCUUCCAAGCCUUCCGCUGUUAUCAUUAUUGGAUGGCCUUAAGCCAUAUUUAUUGUAAUAAGUUCUCUUUUGAGACAUUCGAUGUAAUAAGUGUGUGAUUGCCACUCUGUUAUAAAUCCUUCAAGUACUGUGCGUGUCAGCAUUACUGAUCCAGGGAUGACACUAAAGCACAGAGAUCAGACUGUUUGAGGUCUGGUCACUACAAUCAUGUUAUCUUGCUUAAAGCAUUACUCCAUUUCUCGUGGACUUAAUACACUAGAUGCAUGCUGGAUAGCGGUCAAUGUGUGGAGUAAUAGUAGUAGAUGUAGGUAGGAGUCGGCCUACUAAUCUUGGACGUGAUGCCUAUACGUAUGAUCAUUGCCUUGGAUAUCGUAAUAAUUAUUUGUUUUUCUAUCAAUUGCCCAAUAGUAAUUUGCUUACCCACCGUAUGCUAUCUUCAAGAGAGAAGCCUCUAGUGAAAACUAUGGCCCCCAGGCCAAUUUCUAUUACAUUAUUUUAAGAUCUAUUAUAUCAAAAAUACCUUGCAACAAUUUAUUUACUUUUAUUUUGUUUGCGUCUAUCAAUAUAUCUAUUUAUCAAAUACCAUACAAUUUAAUCUUGCACGUAACCUUGGAGGGAUUGACAACCCCUUGUAGCGUUGGGUUGCGAGGAUUUGUUGUUUGUGUGCAGGUGUUGUUUACAUAGUGUUGCUUGGUUCUCCUACUAGAUUGAUAACCUUGGUUUCUUAAUUGAGGGAAAUACUUAUCUCUACUGUACUACAUCAUCCUCUCCUCUUUGGGGAAAUACGAACGCAUAUCGCAGGUAGCACCGCCCAAUUGAUGUGGAGUUGCUGUCAGAUGUUCCAGAUGUGCCACGCAUCAUCAUCGUCAAGAAAAAGGAUCAAAGGGAGGUGAUGGCGUAGGAAGAGGAGGGCCAAAAGAAAAACAAGGCGACAGGGAAGACGCAUGUUACAGGGGAAGAGCGCCGCUCGGAGUGCCUAGAGAUGUUGAGCAAAAAUUGAAGAUGUCGCUGAUCUACUGAAGAUGCUGAAGAACAACUUAGGUAUGUUGGUUAGGUAUGCUGGUACCUUACAACAUAUAACUUAGAAAUAUUGUGGGCAUGUUUGUUAGGUGUGUUGUAUAUUUGAGCACAUAAGUUAUCUAUAAUGGAGUGAUGUGUAGCAAGAACAAGUACCAAUGUGAUAUGCUAUGUUAUGUUGCUUUGCUUUACUAUCAUUGCUACUUUGAACUGCUCUUGUGCUGCUGAUGGUAGUUAAGAUUGUUUCUAUGUGCAUGCUACAGCAUGAUAUGCCAAUGCAUAGUAUGCAACAAUGUGUUGCUACAACUUUAUAAAAGUAGCAUGCAACAAUGCAUAGGACAUAUGGUACAUUGUAUCAAAAUAGCAUGUUUAGAACAGGAAAGCCCGUUAGUAGGUACAUCUGGUGCAUUCUGCAAAAAUAGCAUGCAAAAGGGUUAGCAAAAUUCAGUAAACUGAACAACAGUUAACAAAAUUUAGUUAACUGGAAAUUUCAGUAACUGGAUAACACUUAGCAAAAUUCACUUAACCACAUAACUUUAGUUAGCUGGAAAAUUCAGUUGAAUGAUAACACUGAGAAAAUUCAGUUUACAUAUAAAUUCAGUUAUCUUUGAACAUUUUGCAAAAUUAAGUUAACUGUAUAGAGCAGUGCUAUACGGACAACAAAAAUCAGACGAUUCUUGCACGGCAUGAGAAUCCAGCCGUGCAUGCAUGUAUGCAGCGCAACAACGGGCCACAUGAUUGGUAGUCGUCCUCACAUUGUCCAUCUUUUUCAUCUUUAUAGUAGUUUCGAACUGUAUAAACUUAAGUUACAUUUUGACACUUAGGAAACAACAAUGCAAUUAUGCAAAAUAAGAGACAAAUACAGUUAACUGAAUAAUUCAGUUUGAUUUGAACACUUAGACAAAUACAAAUAACUUAAUAAUUCAGUUGUCCUUUAACAAUGAGACAAAUUCACUUAACUGGAUAAUUCAAUUAACAGACACGCAAGGCACAUGAAUGACACCACUUAAGUUAAACUGCAAAGCUCAGAUUAAUAUCUCUGCCAGUUCAUACAUAAUUCAAUACACAAACAACUUUAUUAAACAAGUUCAUCAAAUUAAGAGCUCCAAAUUAUGGCAACACUACAACAACAUUGGAUCACUCAAAUUCAUCAAAUAUCUCCUUAACCUUCCUUAUCUUGCCCUUGGCAUCCUCCUUAUGCUUGAAUAAAUCACUAAUCAUGUACUGUAACUUCUUUUUCUCUUGCUUCAACUAAUCCAUCUGUAACACCAAAUUGUUCGUCUCUUCCAUCAAUUUGUCCCUAUCUAAUAAUUUUAAUGAUGCUCACAUGAAGGACAAGAAUUGAAGCACAUAGAGAGCAUCAUAAAACAUGUGACAAACACAUCUAAAUGUAACAUACUUCCUAUGCAUAAGCAUUUUACAAGAAAACAAAUUAACAAGACAAGCAAGAUCUAGCAUAUGCAAGGAACAAGAAAGAAACAAUAGCCAUCUCAACAUAACGAGAGGAAAUUUAGUAACAUGAGAAUUUCUACAACCAUAUUUUCCUAUCUCAUAAUAAUUACAUGUAGGAUCAUAAGCAAAUUCAAUAAUAUAUCUAUCACAUAAUAUAUUCUCAACAAGAUCCACAUGCAUGCGACGUUGACACUCUUCCAAAAUUAUGGGAUUAAUAUUAACUAAAGUCAUGACCUCUCCAAACCCACUUCUAUAAAAAAAUCAUAAGAUUGAACAUUCUCCAAAUAUGUGGGAUCUAAAGUUGACACUCUUCCAAACCCACUUUCAAUAUUAUUGCAAACAUUAUUAUCAAUCUCAUAUUCAUCAUGGGGCUUAAAUAAAUUUUCAAGAUCAUAAGAAGAAACACCCCAAUCAUGAUCAUUGCAACAAAUAGUAGACAUAGCAAAACUAGCAUCCCCAUGCUUAGGGUUUUGCAUAUUACUAGCACAAUUGACAUUAAUAGAAUUUAUCGUAAAAUCAUGCAAUCAUGCUUUUUAUUCAAGGAGCUGUCGUGAAUCACUUCAUAAAGCACUUCAUCACAAUUUUCAGAUUCAUGAAUUUCAAGCAAAACUUCAUAAAGAUAACCUAGUGCACAAAACUCACUAGAAAUUGGUUCAUCAUAAUUGGAUCUCUUAAAAAGAUUGGCAAGUGGAUGAGGAUCCAUAAACUUUUAGCAAGCGAAGAUGCAAGCAAAAAGAAGGCACAUGGUAACACAAGCGAACAGAAGAUUGAACGGAAGAAGGGCGAAGAAAAGGGUGAAUCUUUUUGAAAAUUGUUUUAGAAGUGGGGGAGAGGAAAACAAGAGGUGAAUGGUGAAUAAUGUAAUGCAAGGGAGAAGAGUUUAUGAUGGGUACUUGGUAUGGCUUGGCUUGACGUAGAUCUCCCCGGCAAUGGUGUCAGAAAUCCUUCUUGCUACCUCUUGAGCUUGCAUUUGUUUUCCCUUGAAGAGGAAAGGGUGAUGCAGCAAAGUAGCGUAAGUAUUUCCCUCAGUUUUGAGAACCAAGGUAUCAAUCCAAUAGGAGACGACGCACAAGUCACCGAAUAACUGCACAAACAAUCAACAACUUGCAACCAACACGAUAAAGGGGUAGUCAAUCCCUUCACAAUCACUUGCAAAAGUGAGAUCUCAUAGAGAUAGAUAAACGGUAAAGUAAAUAUUUAUGGUAUUUUUGGUUUAUAGAUUGGAAAGUAAAGAUAGCAAAAUAAUAGAUCAGAAACUAGCAAGAUGUAAACGAGAUUUAAUAUAAUGGAAAAGAGACCCGGGGGGCCAUAACACUAGUGACUUCUUUCAAGAUAGCAUAUAUUACAGUGGGUGAACAAAUUACUGCCGAGCAAUUGAUAGAAAAGUGCAUAAUUAUGAUGACAUCUAAGGCAAUGAUCAUGAACAUAGGCAUCACGUCCGUGUCAAGUAGACCGACUCCUGCCUGCAUCUACUACUAUUACUCCACACAUCGACCACUAUCCAGCAUGCAUCUAGAGUAUUAAGUUCAUAAAGAACGGAGAAACGCAUUAAGCAAUAUGACAUGAUGUAGAGGAAUUAACUCAAGCAAUAUGAUGAAAACCCCAUCUUGUUAUCCUCGACGGCAACAAUACAAUACGUGCCUUGCUGCCCCUAUUGUCACUGGGAAAGGACACCGCAAGAUUGGACCCAAAGCUGAGCACUUCUCCCAUUGCAAGAAAGAUCAAUCUAGUAGGCCGAACUAAAUCGAGAAUUCAAAGAGACUUGCAAAGAUAUCAAAUCAUGCAUAUAAGAAUUCAGAGAGGAACCAAAUAAUAUUCAUAGAUAAUCUUGAUCAUAAAUCCACAAUUCAUCGGAUCUCGGCAAACACACCGCAAAAGAGUAUUAGAUCGAAUAGAUCCCCAAGAACAUCAAGGAGAACAUGGUAUUGAGAAUCAAAGAGAGAGAAGAAGCCAUGUAGCUAAUAACUAUGGACUCAAAGGUCUGUGGUAAACUACUCACGCUUCAUCGGAGAGGAAUGGUGUUGAUGUAGAAGCCCUCUGUGAUCGAAUCCCCCUCCGACAGGACACCGGAAAAGGCCCCAAGAUGUGAUAUCACGGGUACAGAAGGUUGCGGCGGUGGAAAAGUGGUUUUGUGGCUCCCCGUGAUGUUUUUAGGGUAUAAGAGUAUAUAUAGGCGAAGGAACUAUGUCAGGGGAGCUACGAGGGGCCCACGAGGGUGGGGGCACGCCUACCCCCUGGGCGCGCCCUCCUGCCUCGUGUCUGCCUCGUUGCCUCUCUGACUUCAUCUUCAAGUCUUCUGUUUUGCUUUCGGUCCAAGUAAGAUCAUCGCGAAGGUUUCAUUCCAUUUGGACUCCAUUUGGUAUUCCUUUUCUGCAAAACUCUAAAAUAGGGAAAAAACAGAAACUGGCACUCGGCCCUCGGUUAAUAGGUUAGUCCCAAAAAUUAAAAAAAAUAGCAUACUAAUGCCCACUAAACAUCCAAAACAGAUAAUAUAAUAGCAUGGAACAAUCAAAAACUAUAGAUGCGUUGGAGACGUAUCAAGCAUCCCCAAGCUUAAUUCCUGCUCGUCCUCGAGUAGGUAAAAGAUAAAAACAGAAUUUUUGAUGUUGAAUUCUACCUAACAUAUUUAUCCAUGCAAUUUCCUUUAUUGUGGCAUGAAUGUUCAGAUCCAAAAGAUUCAAGACAAAAUUUUAAUAUUGACAUAAAAACAAUAAUACUUCAAUCAUACUAAGAAAGCAAUCAUGUCUUCUCAAAAUAACAUGGCCAAAGAAAGCUAUCCCUACAAAAUCAUAUAGUCUGGCUAUGCUCUAUCUUCAUCACACAAAAUAUUUAAAUCAUGCACAACCCCGGUUUAGGCAAGCAAUUGUUUCAUACUGAAAGGAUCAAUAUAGUUGACUAAACGGGGGGUGAAUAGGCAACUAAUAAUUUUUAGCUUUUCUUUACCAAAUUAAACUUUGCAUCAAAGUAGGUUGUCUAGAUAUGCAAUUAGGUGAGCAACCUAUAUGAUGCAACAACAAUAAACACACAAGCAAGCAAAGGAUUGAACACAAUAUAUGUUGCACAAGCAAAGGUAAGAGAUAACCUAGAGUGGAACCGAUGGAGACGAGGAUGUGUUACCGAAGUUCCUUCCCUUUGAAGGGGAGUACGUCUCUGUUGGAGCGGUGUGGAGGCACGAUGCUCCCCAAGAAGCCACUAGGGCCAUCGUAUUCUCCUCACGGCCUGACACAAUGCGAGAUGCCGUGAUUCCACUAUUGGUGCCCUUGGAGGCGGCGACCGAACCUUUACAAACAAGGUUGGGGCAAUCUCCACAACUUAAUCGAAGGCUCCCAACGACACCAUGAAGCUUCACCACAAUGGACUAUGGCUCCGCGGAGACCUCAACUGUCUAGGGUGCUCAAACACCCAAGAGUAACAAGAUCUGCAAGGGAUUAGUGGGGGGAAUCAAAUUUCUCUUGGUGGAAGUGUAGAUCGAGGCCUUCUCAAGCAAUCCCAAAAGAAUCAACAAGUUUGAUUGGCUAGGGAGAGAGAUCGGGCAAAAAUGGAGCUUAGAGCAUCAAUGGAGCUUGGGGAUGGAAGAGGUGGUCAACUUAGAGAAGAAGACAUCCCUUUUAUAGUGGAAGAACAAAUCCAACCAUUAUCCACCAACUCAGCCUGUGACCCGCGGUACUACCGCACCAUACAAGUGGUACUACCGCAUGGGCCCCGGUNNNNNNNNNNNNNNNNNNNNNNNNNNNNNNNNNNNNNNNNNNNNNNNNNNNNNNNNNNNNNNNNNNNNNNNNNNNNNNNNNNNNNNNNNNNNNNNNNNNNNNNNNNNNNNNNNNNNNNNNNNNNNNNNNNNNNNNNNNNNNNNNNNNNNNNNNNNNNNNNNNNNNNNNNNNNNNNNNNNNNNNNNNNNNNNNNNNNNNNNNNNNNNNNNNNNNNNNNNNNNNNNNNNNNNNNNNNNNNNNNNNNNNNNNNNNNNNNNNNNNNNNAGGCCAGGACUAGACCUGUUGUGCAAAGACAGGGAGCGGUAGAAAAACCGUUGGUGAGGUACUAUCAUGCCCCAUUGCGGUACUACCGCAAGGCAGGGAUAUUCAAGCCAGAGGAGGCAUAGACAUAAAAAAUUACAUCCAUGACUACAUACGCAAAGUUUGGGUCUAUGCAAAAAUCCAACACGGUACUACCGCACGCCUAACGCGGUACUACCGUGUAGGGAGCAGAUGUAAAAAAUUGCAUCCGCCCCUACUUCCGUUCAUGCCGCUGUGCCUGGCCAGGGCGUACGGUACUACCGCGCCGAGGGCGCGGUACUACCGCGAUGGGCGCGAAUGUAAAAAAUUACAUCCGCGCCUACUACCGCUCGGGCAGCAGCACCUGACCUGAAACCUACGGUACUACCGCUCCCUUGGAGCGGUACUACCGUGAGCAAUUGCGGUACUACCGCGCAGGAUACCGGUACCACCGCAAGGGCAUGCAGUAGUACCACUCUGGGGAGCAGUACUACCACCUACCUUAGAAUAGCAACAUUAGGAGUCCUUCAUUUUGCCUAGACAUGGAAUGAUAGAGGAUGCUCCAAAGAGCCAAAGGAAAGGUGGUGCAAAAAAUAACAAAUGUGUACGUGAGAUUCCACCCAAACCUUUCCAACGCUGACCCCCUCUUGAUAGUACGGCUUUCCUACGACCCAAAUCCACCGAAAAGAAACGUAGAGAAACACCGUCUUCAAUAGUCUUCGAGGGGCACCAGAUCGUCUUGUGUUUAGACAUGAUAUAUCUGAAAUGCUCAAAGCACACGAUUAGUCCGCAAAAGCAUUGUCAUCAAUCACCAAAACUACUAAGGGUUAAAUAUGCCCUUACAAUCUCCCCCUUUUUGGUGGAUUGAUGACAAUACAGGAUUUGCACACAGGGAUAUAAAAUGAGGCGACGGCAAACCCACAAUAUAUAAAAUAUAGACGGUCUUCCCCUAGGUGUGUGCACUCUAGAGAUGUGCUCUGGACUGCACGACACACAUACUAGGAUCAACACCCCCCCUAUAUUUUAUAGACAAGGCAUCUCUUGCAACAGUAUAACUAACACUAAACAAGUAGGCAAGAUGAAGGAUAUGAAUAAGUAACAAUGACAAUAAGAUACAACAGAGUGCAUAUGUCUUACACCAUAUGAUAGAUAACUUAGUCUUACGAGCACAAACCAAAUGAAAGCAAACAAGGUUCAACAGACCAAAAGCAAAGCGACAAAGCGAAACACACGACACAAGACGUGCAAAUCCUACACUCUCUCCCCCUUUGGCCUCGAGACACCAAAAAGGCAGAGAGGACACCUACGACAUAGGCGGUAGCUCAGGCUGAAAAUGACUCCUCGUCUGACUCGGCAGCGGGAAUAGGCUCCUCCUCUGACUCUGUCCACUAAUACCCCUGCUUGGCUAUCUAGGUAGCCUCCGGAGUGAUGGCUUCCUCUGAGCCACUGGUGAUAAUCUCGCCAAAGGUCCUCAAUAUCUUCUUAUCACACUGGCGGCUCUUCUUGGACUCAACAGGAGCCCUGUACUGCCCCUUGGUCUGCAUGCAGAACAACUUCUUCAUCUUCGUCUUCAGCUUCUUAGCCCAAGAGGGCUCAGUAGAGGGAGGGUGUAUCCAUCAAAACAGUCCUCAUCAGCUUCCUCCUCCUCGAUCUCAUCCUCAUCCACAUCCAUUGUGGCAGCCUCGGCCUCAUCACUGGUGGUGGUGUUAGCCCAUUGGCACUUGAUGCGGAGCUUGAUGGGCUCAUGACGAAUCCAGCAGGGGGGCAUGAACUCAUCAUCGGGAUAGAGCUUCUCCCAAGUCUUGGUGAUCAAAUGAAACAGGUAAGGCCCAUAGAUGGGGACCUUACGGUUGAACACCGCGAACUGAAGCUCGCACCACAUGAUAUGUGAGACAUCAAGUGGUUGCGUCUGAGAUUGAUGCGCUUCCUCACAAAGGAGCAUCAUAUCCACAAGAUAGGCAUGCACCUUGUCCUUGUCACCGAUGCGCGGGAAGAGGGAGUUGCGUAAGAUCCGAUGCAUGAUGUCAAGGAAGGAGUUCAGCACCCACACUUUCUUCUUAUUAGCAAGCAUCUUCUCAACAAGGAGGGGCUGGAGCUUGUUCUUGUUGGCAGACUUAGAGUUGGCAUGAGGGCGAACUCCAACUGGCGUGUCGAGCCCCUCAUCAGGAACCUGAAGCAAAUCCAUGAAGUCCUUCCACUUAGCAGUCAACUGUUAACCAUUGGUCAUCCAUGUCAUGGUCCUUGGCUCAUCAGAAUGUGUCGGGGAAACUGAUCCUCGAACACCUAUGGGGCCGGUGGACCGGGCCCCUUUCGGUUCGGCGGGGGGCGGAGAUCGCACGAAGAGCAGAUCGAGGCGAGGCACACGAGCCGUUUACCCAGCUUCGGAGCUCUCCGGAGAGAUAACACUCCUACUGCUGCUUGUCUGGUUGUAUUAUCUGGUGUUCUUGCUCUCAAAACGAGAGUGUGAUGUUCUCUGGGCUACGGAUGCAUCCCAGCAAACUGUCUGAGGCUUCGAACCUAUGAGCCGAACCUCCUCUACGUUGCGCAUGGGCCUCCUUUUAUACGCUAAAGGGGUCACCGACAGGUGGUAACGCAGAGGAGGGUAAAAACGUAAAAAGCGAGGUAGUUGAUACAGUUGCUUGUACAGUGCAUCCUACCUAACCCUGACGGCAGGGGAUAAGGGCAUUAAAUGCCCGUCUGAGUCGCCUGAACAGUGCAGAAAAGGACCGUUAGGGGCGCCACCAUUCGCCACGAUGGCGAUCUUGUCAGCUUCGCAUGCCACUGCACACCGCUGGCUACACAGCCUCCUGCCACGCACGCCCGGAGAGGCCCCCAGAGCGACACGUUGGUGGAUGCGCUGGAGCGUGGACGCAGAGUGGCCGCCUGCCGCGGCAAGCGCCUUGCCGCUGUUGUUAUCUUGUCGGGUCCGGAAGCUUGUCGCUUACCGGGCUUCGAGGUACCUUGGCUUGUCUUCCCGGCAAGCUCCUCUUGCCGGGGCCUUGUUGCCUUGCCGGAGCGCGUGGCGCGUCGCGGCAAGUUCAUUGAAGCGCCUUGGUUGGCCUUCCCGGCAAGCUCCUCUUGCCGGGGUCUUGUCUCCUUAGCUUAAAUACUUUGUUCUUGGAUGGCUCCAAGGGAAUCUUGGGGGAACUUGGCGAUCACCCGGCAAGCCUUUGCCGCGGGGUGCUGCAACUGCCCGUGCACAAGUUCGGGGUACUAGGGUACCCCUAAUCUAGUACACCAAUAGGAGCCCCCGGGCCUGGGCCAGACACGAUGCUGAGCGCUGUUGGGCCAGGCCCAAGACAGGGCACGGGCACACGCGGGUUGGGCCACGCCAAAUCUUGUUCCGUAUCCACCGCACUCUCCCAUAACGGCACGCGUUGAUUGCGGCAUCGUGGGAGAGAUCGUGGGUGGUUGUUUAAGUGGAAGGCCGAAACGUCCGCCCCGUCCCUCUUUAUAAGCAGAGGAAACAGGGGCAGUUCGUUCCCCCUCGCUGCUUGCUGCUACUCCUUCUUCACAAACUCCGCCGCUCCCCUCUUCUUCUCGAAGCCGAGAGAGCAGUGCUCCGUCCCCCCCAUUGCCACCAGCAUCACCACGCCGUCGACCUUCUCCACCACCUCCGCCAUGGCCCCGAAAGGCGACAAGGGAAAGGGCGUGAAGUCGGCCGAGGCGCAGCGGCUCGCGGCGCUGCGGAAGGAGCGGGCGAUCUUCACCCCCCAGCUCGGAGUGCAGGAGCUGAGGGAGUACUUCUACCUCUUUUGGGCGACGAAGACGCGUGCGCAUCCGCGCACGAGGGUACUCCGGGCUGCUGCCUCGGAGUCGGCUCCAAAUGGGUACCCGUUCUUCCCGCUAUUCUUCUACUGCGGGCUCUGCCCGCCCUUCUCGGAAUUCUUUUGUGACAUUAUGAAUACAUAUGGCUUCCGCCUCCUUGACUUCACCCCCAAUGCUGUCUUGACCAUGGCAGUUUUCGCACACUUGUGUGAAAACUUUGUCGGAGUCCACCCUAGUGUAGCCCUUUUCCGCCACUUCUUCAUACCUCGGGUAGAGAGAGGAGAGCCGCUUGCCGGAGGGAUUGCCUGGGUCUCGAGAGUCAGCAAGAAAGAGGCGUACUUGGAGGGUGAGCUUCGCAGCAAGUGGGAGGAGUGGAGAGUGGAGUGGUGUUGGAUCGUCGAGGAGGAUCCGCAGCCCUUCACCGCCGUGCGCCAAACUCCAAUAGUGCGCGGCAAUGACUGGAGCAACAUGGCCCCGGAAGACGAGAGGCUGAAGAUCGCCAUCACUAGGAUUCUUCGCCUCAGGCUUGCCGGGCUCACCGUAGGUGCUGUCGGGGCAGAUUUCCUCCGCCGCCGCAUUGCCCCCCUGCAGGAGAGGAGGAGGCCCGCCUGGGAAUUCAAGAAUUCGGCGGACAUCAUGAGGCUGCGGCCGGGCUUGAACUACAACUUCACUGUCUUGGAGUUGGAUGCAAUGCUCUUGGAAUUAUUCAAACGCGACCCCCAGCACCCAUUCACACUUCCGAGGGGCGUAGUUCCUUUGUGCAAUAACUCUUCGCUUGAUCGGAUCCGCGCCAUGAUGCCGUUGUGUGAUUCACACGGCAUCGUCCCCACUUGGCAAGAGCCUGUGGACGACGUUGUGCGAGCGUUCUUCGACACCUUGGAGGAGUUGCCGGUCCGCGCUGACGAGCAGAAGAGCCUCACUCGUGACACCACCGACGAGGAGCUGCAGCUUAUCGCUACCAGGGCGGAAGAGGCUGCGGCCGCAGCUGCUGCGGGUGUGUUUGGGUUCACUGUGGAGGAGGCGGAGGCUGCAGAGGCGGCAAACCUUGCUGAACGCGCGGAGUUCAUGGGCGAGGAGGAGCCUGCCGGUUCUGAAGCCGAGUCGAGCGAGGCCGACGAGGAGGAGGCUGAACCUUUAGAGAGCUUGCCGCAGGCGGAGCCCCCGGCCCCGCCAAGGAGGCGCCUUCGCAGGGCCAGGGACGCAGCAGGGCGGCAGCCGGCUCCACAGCCACCGAGCCGCGCGACGCGCUCUACCGCGGCAAGCAAUGUUGCCGCGGGAGCGCCUCAUGCAACAGCGGCAACUAGAGCGGGACCUUCCCGGGCCACCGCCGCCGCCCCCGCCAAGCGGGCAAGGGAUCCUACUCCUCCACCUCGCCGCACCGGAGGAGGGCCGGACUUCGAUCUUUCCGCGCUCAGCUCCGAUGAGGAGGAAGAAGAGUGAGUUUCUCCGGCGCCCUUAUAAUCCUUCAAUCUUGCUGUUUAUAUCUUGUAUCUGACUUGCUCCAAUCUGGACUCUUUUCUUUUCAGAACACUGGCCCAGAGAGCGGCGAAGAGGGCCAAGGACGCGGUGAUCGUCAUCGAGGAUGACCCCAUCGCGUCGGCAGGAGGUGGGUCCGAGACCACCUUAACGGACCCGGCAAUCACCCCUCGGAGCAGCCCCCAGCGUAAGUUCAUAGUUUAUCCUUCCGCUGUCGGGCGCGCUUGAGUGCUUUUUCCUUUGUUGAUAUCUUGCUUGUUGACUUGUGCAGGAGCAGAGCAGCCUCAUCAGGAGCGCCCGGAGGCCGAUCCCGAAGUGCCACCUGCUUCGACUGUGCCGCCAAGGGAGGAGUCCCCGGCAAGGGAGCGCUCUCCGGCAAAGGGGGACUCUCCGGCAAGGGAUGACACUGCUGAUCCUGCGGCAACCGCGGCCGCAACUGAAGAUCUUGGCGCAGGUAAUCCAUUUGCCCAGAAAUUUUCCUUUGGGUUCUGCUUCUUUCGUUUUUCCUUUCCUGGAUUUUCUGAUUGAUUUUCCUCCCCUCUUCGUUCUUCAGACCCAUAUUCGGCUGAGCCAAUGGAGACUGAGGGCCCGGCGAGGAAGGUGCCGGUGCUGAUGUGACCGCCGGCGAGGAGGCCGACGGGGCUGCUGCUGCGGAAGCCGGCGAGGGGUCGGGCGACCGCACUGACGACCCUGAGGCCGCAGGAGCGCCGGGCGCUGCACCGACCGCCGAACCCUCUGCCGCUUCUGCGGAGCCGGGCUCCGAGGAGCCCCAGUCCGGCGCCUAUUUGAAGGCCGGCGACGACAUCUUCAUCAAGCUACCAUGGGCGUCGAGCUCCAAGGCGCCAGUCGAGGGGGAGACUUUUGACGGGGAGGUGCUCGCCUCUGCUGGGCUGUCAUUGGUUGACGCACCCGGCAGCAGCAGCGGCGAGCCUGAGGAGGAGGAGCUGCUGCGGAAGCUGCUGUCACUCUACCGCACCCGGCAAGCCAAGCUGGCUUCCCGGGAAGCGCUUGUCGCGAAGGCGGGAGUUGACAUGGAAAAGCGCGCGGAAGAGCUCCGGAGCCAAAAUCAAGAAGCUCUCCGGUCCCUGGCGCAGGAGCGGGAGCGAGUCGACGAGGAGCGCACGGCCUUUCUUCUCGAGAAGGCCGAGGCUGAGGAGGAACAAAGACUUGCUGCCGAGAAGCAGUCCGCGCGGGAAGGCGAGCUAGUGCAGCGGAAGGCCCACCUCGACAGCUAUGAGGAAGAGCUCGCCGAGCGCGAGCGAGCACUUGGCGGGGCGCUCAAGGAGGCAAAGGAUGCCGCGGCAACUGCAGAGGCCGCCAAGAGGGAACUAGAGGAGAAGGUGGUGCGGCUGGAGGCCGAAAUUGGGAAGAGUGGCGAGGAGCUUGCCGCGCUCAAGCGUGAGCGCGAGAAGGAUGCUGCCGCCCAUGGUGAACUGCAAGGCCUUCUCACUGAAAGGGCAAGGAGCUCAGCACCGCCAAGGAUUCCAAAGCAGACCUGGAGCUGAAGCUGGCCACACUGACGCAGACACUCGAGGCUGCCAAGGAGCGGGAGAAGACCUUGGCGAAGAAGGUCAAGGCUGACGCUGCGCUGCUGGAGAGCAUUGCAGUCACCCAGAACUCCUUCAGAGACACAGUGGAGCACUGGACCGACGGUCUGGUGAACACUGCCGCCGUCAUCAACGAGGAGUUGCGGCAGCUGGGGAUGGAGGACUUUGGAUAUCCUUCCCACGAGAGCCUUCAACCCAGCGCCAAGCUCAGCUUAUUCUUCAAGGGCGUGGCAACGGCACUCCAGCGGCUCCGGGAGAGGAUCCCGAAGCAGCUGGCCGAUGAUUAGGCCGCCCAUGGUGAACUGCGAGUCGAGGGCGGGCGCGUAGAUUAGGCCGCCCAUUUCUUAUUUUCCCUUGUCGCUGCUAAUCAUGUCAUGAAAACAGUCUAUUAGAGCUGCGACAAGUUAUCUUUGUAAUAUAACUUUAUUUCUGUUUAUCAAUUGCAAUGUUAUUUCCUCUACUAGAUUCCUUCCUUAGUAUGUUUUCACCCUACGCUUCUAGGGAACUUGUCGGCGCAGGCGCCCGAGCCGCGAGCGCUGAGUGCGGAACUUCAGCAGCCUGCUGGCGGCGCUGCUUCCGACAAGAAACCUUGUCGUGACUAGAUGCAGCACGCUUAAGCUGUUGAGCGGACUCGAAACAAAGUAAGGGCGCAACUAGCCACGAGUUGGUUCCUCCGCGCACAGGUUUUCCAUACAAAGCAGGGUCGUUCGAGGAAGAUAACUCAAAAAUUUAAAAAAGUGAUUGCUCAAACUUUGGCAACUUAGCUUUUCUGUUAUUUGCUUCCCGGUAAGGCAAGUCUUUGCUUGAACGACGCCUGGCCCAUACCACAAUCUUCUCCUUCCCCCCCGGCAAACUUGUGUGCGAGGGAACCUUCUUUUCCUUUAAAAGAAAAAGAAAGAAGGGAAAAUAAUAAUAUGGAGCACUUCGGCUCGUUACUGCUUACCGGAUGUAAGUGCUGCACAAAGUGUCAGAUAAUCACAUGCAAGAAAGGAACUAACGCAUGAAAUGGACAAGCUGUGCGGAGCACAUGGGUUUUUACUUAUGCACGGGAUCUGCGCCCGGCUUUGUACAAAGGAUUACAUGCAACAGCGGCAAGACUUGUACAAAAGGUGGUUGCCGAAACGGGUUCCGGCAACCACGCCUUAUGGGAAAAACUUACGAAUAUGUUCUAUGUUCCAGGAGUUGCUCACUGGAAUGCCAUCUUCAGUCUCAAGGCGGACAGCGCCAGGCCUUGUGACUUGUCUCACCCGAUAAGGGCCUUCCCACUUUGGCGUCAACUUGUUGGAAUUCUUGGCGGAUUGAACACGCCGAAGAACAAGGUCGCCUUCCUCGAAGCUUCUGGCUUUAACUUUGCGGCUAUGAUAGCGGCGCAAAGCUUGCUGGUAUCGAGCAGCUCGUACAGCAGCCUGAAGACGAUCUUCCUCAUGGAGCAGCGCAUCGUCUUGUCGCAGCUGUUCUUGCUCAAGCUCAUCAUAAGCGAGCACUCGAGGUGAUCCGUAUACGAGUUCCGUGGGGAGAACUGCCUCUGCUCCAUAGACUAGAGCGAAAGGUGUCUGGCCAGUGGCUCGAUUUGGCGUCGUUCUGAUUGACCAAAGAACCACCGGCAGCUCCUCGAUCCAGUUCCUUCCGCACCUGUGCAGCCUAUCGAAAGUUCUGGUCUUGAGCCCGCGCAUCACUUCAGCAUUUGCCCUCUCUGCUUGACCGUUGCUUCUCGGGUGAGCAACAGAAGCGAAGCAGACCUUGGCGCCAAGGUCUUGGACAUACUGCAUGAAGGUGCGGCUCGUGAAUUGCGUGCCGUUGUCGGUGAUGAUCCUGUUGGGAAUCCCGAAACGGCAAACAAUCGACCUGAAGAACUUGACUGCUGACUGUGCUGUCACCUUCCUCACUGGCUGCACUUCCGGCCACUUUGUGAACUUGUCGAUUGUGACGUACAAGUACUCAAAGCCCCCGACAGCUCGGGGGAAGGGGCCGAGAAUAUCGAGCCCCCAUACCGAAAAUGGCCAGGAUAAAGGGAUCGUCUGGAGAGCUUGAGCUGGCUGAUGUAUCUGUUUGGAGUGGAACUGGCACGCUUCACACUUGGUUACUUGUGCAGUUGCAUCCUGGAGGGCUGUCGGCCAAAAGAAACCUUGCCGGAAAGCUUUGCCGGCAAGUGCUCUUGCGCCUAUGUGGUGGCCACAUAUGCCUCCAUGUAUCUCUGCCAACAGCUUUUGUCCAUCUUCCCGGCGAAUACACUUCAAUUUCACACCGUUGAGUCUUCUUCUGUACAGUAUGCUAUCAACAAACUGGUACAUACUUGACUGCCGGGCUACUCUUUCCGCUUCUUCUUGCUCUUCGGGAAGUUCUCCUGUCUGAAGGAAACGGACAAUCUGCUGUGCCCAUGCUGGAGCCUGUGGCUCGACAACAAGGACUAAAGGCGCAUCUGCUGCUGCGGGAACAUCUGCUUCCACGGCAAGGAUUUGCGGCCCUGCCGGAGCUUGAUGUUCCCCGGCAAGCUUGCCGGAGCAAAACUUGUCAGGAGCGUCUGCUUCAACGGAACAAACCAUUAGGCUUGCCGGAGCAGACUGCCCCUCAGCAUCCUUGGUGUUGAUCUUGGGGACUUUCUUGGCGGCGGCUUCGGGGAGCUCUGCCAGAAAGUAGUCACCAGAAACCAACUUCCUCUUUUUGCUUUGUCCGGUUGAUGGUGUUACGGAUGGUUGAGUCAACUUAAGCACAAAGAUCCCUGGUUCCACAGGUAACUUUAGUGCGGCGCACUUUGACAGGCCAUCAGCAAUAUCAUUCUGAGCUCUUGGGAUAUGCUCCAUUUGUAGGCCGUCAAAGUGCUCCUCUAGCUUCCUCACUUCAUCGACAUACGCUUCCAUCAACGGACUCUGGUAGUUCUUGUUCACUUGUCGGACGACAAGCUGUGAGUCACCCCUGACAAUGAGCUUCUUAAUCCCAAGGUCUGCUGCGAUUCUGAGACCGGCAAGCAAUCCUUCAUACUCUGCAGUAUUGUUGGUUGCUUGCUCUUUGGGAAAGUGCAUCUGGACUAUGUACUUGAGGUGCUCUCUGGUGGGUGCGACAAGCAGCACGCCUGCACUGGCGCCUUGCAGCGAGAAGGCACCAUCAAAGUACAUCAGCCACUCUUUGCUUGCCUCUUUGACGGGGAUGCUCGUUUCUGGAAUUUCUUCAUCUGGGGUUGGCGUCCACUCUACUAUGAACUCUGCCAAUGCUCUGCUUUGGAUAGUUGAGGUGCUCUCAAACUUGAGGCCAAAGCUUGACAGUUCCAGCGCCCACUCGACAAUCCUGCCUGUUGCUUCUGGAUUUUGCAGUAUCCUCUUCAGCGGAAAGCGAGUGACGACUGUGAUCUCAUGUGCUUGGAAGUAAUGGCGCAGCUUUCUCGAGGCCAUGAGGAGGCCGAAAAGCAACUUCUGCACACCAGAGUACCUUGAUCUAGCCCCCUGCAGAAGGGAACUGACAAAGUAAACUGGGCGCUGCACCAUUCUCCUUGGCAUCUUAUCAUGCUCCUGCGCAAGCUCAUGUUUGUCGGGACCAAAGCUUGUCGGCGAAGCCCCCUGCUUGUCGCUGGAUGGAUCUGCCGUGGUUGCUGGCUCAUCAUCCGCCUCCCUCUCCGCCACUAACGCAGCACUAACCACUUGAUUGGUUGCCGCUAUAUACAGCAGCAACUUCUCUUGCGGCUUAGGUGCAACAAGCGUUGGAGUGGAGGACAGGUAUCUCUUCAAAUCCUGCAGCGCAGCCUCCGCUUCCGGAGUCCAUUUCAUUGGACCUGCCUUUUUCAAAAUUUUGAAAAAUGGCAGGGCGCGCUUAGCAGAUCUAGAGAUAAACCUGCUGAGAGCAGUCACACAGCCGGCAAGCCUUCGUACAUCCUUGACGCGCUUUGGUGCUUCGAUCUGCUCGAUGGCUUUGAUCUUGUCGGGAUUGGCUUCAAUUCCCCGCUGAGACACGAAGAACCUGAGAAGCUUGCCGGAAGGGACUCCAAACACGCACUUCUCGGGGUUAAGCUUGAGGUUGAUCUUGCGCAGAUUUGUAAAUGUCUCAUCUAAAUCUUGAAUCAAGGUUGCUUUGUCCUUGCUCUUGACCACUAUGUCAUCCAUGUAAGCUUCCACAUUUCUGUGUAUUUGUGGCUCAAAAGCAUGGUGGACUACCCUUGCGAAUGUUGAACCAGCAUUCUUCAAACCGAAAGGCAUCCGUACGAAGCAGUACGUGCCACACGGGGUGAUAAACGCGGUUUUUUCUUCAUCUUCUUCUGCCAUGAAGAUCUGAUGAUAUCCUGAGUAUGCAUCAAGAAAUGAAAGCAAAUCACAUCCGGCUGUGGAGUCAACAAUCUGGUCAAUACGCGGCAAGGGAAAUGGGUCUUUGGGACAAGCUUUAUUAACAUCAGUGAAGUCAAUACAAAGUCUCCAUUUCCCGUUAGCUUUGCGCACAACAACAGGAUUGGCCAACUACGUGGGAUGGAGUACUCCUCUGACAAGGCCUGCUGCUUCCAACUUCUUGAUUUCUUCUGCGAUGAAUUCUUGGUGCUCAACUGCCUGCUUCCUGACUCUCUGCUUGACGGGCCGCGCAUGAGGACAGACGGCAAGGUGGUGCUCAAUCACUUUCCUGGGAACACCGGGGAUAUCAGACGGUUGCCACGCAAACACGUCGACAUUCGCCCGCAGGAAAGCAACGAGCGCGCUUUCCUAUUUAGGGUCAAGAGUGGCACUGAUGGUGAAGGUACCACCAGUGCCAUCCUCCUUGGCGGACACCUUCUUAGUCGCAGGUGGAGCUGCCAUCGCCUUCUUGCACUUGCCGGUGAAGCUCGAUGGUGCGUCCUCGACGGUAGCGCAGCACUCCGAAGAGGUGCGCUUGCCGGAGUGGGCAUCAGAGCUCUUGCCGGACUUGGUCUUCUUCUUCCCCCCGGGAGCUUCAGCGGCAAGUGUCCUCCGUUCUGCUGCAGCUGCUGCUUCUCGGUAGAUCUUGUCGGCACAGAUAAGAGCAUCCUUCUUGUCGCCAGGGACAGAGAUGACACUUAUUGGGCCUGGCAUUUUCAGUACGUUGUACGCAUAGUGAGAGGCUGCCAUGAACUUGGCGAGUGCCGGACGGCCAAGGAUUCCAUUGUAAGGUAAUGGAAAAUCGGCAACGUCAAACGUGACCCUCUCAGUCCUAAAGUUCAGCUCACUGCCAAAUGUUACCGGCAACGUGAUCUUUCCCUUUGGCUUGCUCCUUCCCGGGUUGAUUCCUUGAAAUGUGCCGGUCUCUUCGAGCUCGCUGUCAGGGAUCUGGAGCUUCUGGAGCACCAUGGAGGAGAUCAAGUUCAAGCCGGCCCCGCCGUCAACUAGCAUCUUAGUGACCUUGAGGUUGUGGAUUAUUGGUGAGACCAACAUCGGCAAGCACCCAACCGCAGUUAUGCGAUCCGGGUGGUCCUCAAUAUCAAAGAUGAUAGGCGUGCUGGACCAUUUCAGAGGCUUGCGUGACUCGACGGGCGGUUCUUCUGCAUUAACUUCCCGUAUCCACUGCUUGAGCUGGCGGUGCGAGGGAUGCAGAGAAGCACCACCGUCAACGCACAGGACCUCUGUAGCUUUCUGGAACUCCUGCUCAUCAGUCUCCUCAUCAUCCAUAUCUUCAUCGUCGCCGUCAUCUUCAUCCUUGUCGCGGCCGCGAGGAGGUCUGUCACCUUGCUGCUGCUUGGCCUUGCCGCGGCGUCCUCCUCGGCCGGGACUUUCUUGCCGGAUCCACCAGCUCCUUCCUGGGCUUUCUCCUUGUCGCGCCGCUCGUAUUCAGCUUUCUGUUGCUCAACAAGCUGCUCGACCCUCUUGCAGUUCUGAAGAUCAUGACCCUUGGUACGGUGAAUCUUGCAAUACUGCUUGUUGGUGCCGUCCUGCUUGUCGGCGACCGCCACCUCCACGGCAACCUCCUUGCCGGAGUCACCAGCUUUGGCUUCCUUGGCGCCGCCACCAUUGCCGGACUGCUCAACAACUAGCACUUCUUUGCCUUUCCUCCUUCUGUUGUUCGGCCGCCGGGUUUUCCUUGUCGGGGCGGCAUCUUCGCUGUCAGAUCCUCCCGCUCCUAUAUUUUCUCCGCGAAGUCUCCUCCCUUCCUCAGCACGCGCGCACUUGUCGACCAGUGCAUAUAACUCACUGACGUCCCUGAUCUUGCACAUCGCCAUUUCCUCCCGCAUCCCGCGGUUCCGCACGUUCUGAUGGAACGCGCUGAUCACCGCGGCAGGGUGGACGUCUGGGAUGUUGUGCUGCAUGCUGCUGAAUCUCUGGAUGUACUUGCGCAGGGGCUCUCCUUACUUCUGGGCGAGCAAAUGAAGAUCACUCUCCUGGCCAUGAGGCUUGUGUCCGCCGGUAAAGGCGCCGACAAACUGAUGGCACAGAUCAGCCCAAGAGGAUAUGGAGUUGUCCGGCAAGUGCAUGAGCCAGGAUCUGACAUUGGGCUUGAGUACCAGCGGGAAGUAGUUGGCAAGGAUCUUGUCAUCUCGUCCCCUGGCAGCUUGCACCGCAAUAGUGUAAAUGCUAAGGAACUCUGACGGAUGCGUCUUGCCGUCGUACUUCUCCGGUACGUCUGGCUUGAAGUUCUUUGUACUGGGCCACUGGACUUGCCGCAGCUCACGACUGAACGCAGGACAACCUACCGCAUACGGCAGAUCGUCUGGUUCCCCUGGCGCAUGCAUGUCAAUAGAGGGCCCAGCGCGCUUGUCAGAUUGACGUCGCGCUUCUCUUCGGCGCUCGAUGCGGGUUCGAGCGUCUUCUUGUUGUCGAUCAUGAAGAACUUGGCGCUGAUCACGACGCGCUCGUGGAUCCGACGAUGUAGUGGAGUCACUGUCGAGGUGGAUCCGACGAGUCGGCGAUCUUGGCCUUCGGGGCGGUAAUUGCAUGGUAGUUGCACCUCCGCCCGUUUCGUCGCCACCGGCUCGCGUUCGGCGGUCCUGCCGCAGCGGCGAUGCGCUCGGCCGCCGUGGAGUGUCGCCGUUGGCGUAGCCGAUGAGACUCUGAAUGGUGGCCCUCCAUUCGUUGAUCUUGUCUGACGUCGGAGGGUAAUCUAGGAGAAGUUGAGCUCGCGCCAAAGCUUCUGCCGGGGUGGUGGGUGGCAGUGGCGGACGGCGCGAGGAGCGGGACGUGCUCAAACUUCUACCUAUGUUAAAAGGAGCAGUAUCCCAUCCAGGCGACCGUGCCCCGCUCAUGCCAGCAUGCUGGCGUGCAUGCUGGUCUUGAGUGCCCCGAGAUCCACCAGCUUGGCCUUGGUCUAACAUGCGCAUGGUGCUGCGAGCGCCAUGGUGCUGUUGAUCUUGCGCCUCCUGAGAGUGGCGUGGAACAUGUACAGUCGCCGAGGUUUGUGCAGCCUUGUCCUUGGACUUGGCAGCACUGUGAGCACCCUCAUCGACGGCUGUUCUUCUGCCGGCGUCCACUCCACCACCCGUUUGCUCCAACGGUGGCGGAAACGACGUGGACGGAGCGGCUGCCGCUGAAGUCUUCUUCUUCGGUGGCAUGUUGAUGAAGGGAAUAAGGAUCUAGCUUGUGUGUACGCCGGAUCAGAUCCACGCAAUCUCGACGUCCCCUACCUGGCGCGCCAAAGAUGUCGGGGAAACUGAUCCUCGAACACCUAUGGGGCCGGUGGACCGGGCCCCUUCCGGUUCGGCGGGGGGCGGAGAUCGCACGAAGAGUAGAUCGAGGCGAGGCACACGAGCCGUUUACCCAGCUUCGGAGCUCUCCAGAGAGAUAACACUCCUACUGCUGCUUGUCUGGUUGUAUUAUCUGGUGUUCUUGCUCUCAAAAUGAGAGUGUGAUGUUCUCUGGGCUACGGAUGGAUCCCAGCAAACUGUCUGAGGCUUCGAACCUAUGAGCCGAACCUCCUCUACGUUGCGCAUGGGCCUCCUUGUAUACGCUAAAGGGGUCACCGACAGGUGGCAACACAGAGGAGGGUAAAAAUGUAAAAAGCGAGGUAGUUGAUACAGUUGCUUGUACAGUGCAUCCUACCUAACCCUGACGGCAGGGGACAAGGGCAUUAAAUGCCCAUCUGAGUCGCCCGAACAGUGCAGAAAAGGACCGUUAGGGGCGCCACCAUUCACCACGAUGGCGAUCUUGUCAGCUUCGCAUGCCACUGCGCACCGCUGGCUGCACAGCCUCCCGCCACGCACGCCCGGAGAGGCCCCCGGAGCGACACGUUGGUGGAUGCGCUGGAGCGUGGACGCAGAGUGGCCGCCUGCCGCGGCAAGCGCCUUGCCGCUGUUGUUAUCUUGUCGGGUCCGGAAGCUUGUCGCUUACCGGGCUUCGAGGUACCUUGGCUUGUCUUCCCGGCAAGCUCCUCUUUCCGGGGCCUUGUUGCCUUGCCGGAGCGCGUGGCGCGUCGCGGCAAGUUCAUUGAAGCGCCUUGGUUGGCCUUCCCGGCAAGCUCCUCUUGCCGGGGUCUUGUCUCCUUAGCUUAAAUACUUUGUUCUUGGAUGGCUCCAAGGGAAUCUUGGGGGAACUUGGCGAUCACCCGGCAAGCCUUUGCCGCGGGGUGCUGCAACUGCCCGUGCACAAGUUCGGGGUACUAGGGUACCCCUAAUCUAGUACACCGACAGAAUGGAAGUGGACCGAGGCAAAGAACUGAGCUACAAUGUCUGGGUCAAAGUCCAGGUGAAAGGUAAGCAUGUGCUCAAUGCCAAACUGCUCCACCAGGUUCAAAGCCUCACCAAAAUAUUCACGGUGCUUAUCCUGCCUCAUGUGAUUCAUGUCAAUCUAGUGCACAUCCACGUAGAUGUUCUGCUUGGCCUUGAUCACAUCUAAAUAGAUAAGGUUCUGCUGCUUGGUCCAGAACAGAUCAUUGCCUCUGAAGUUGGCAUGAGGAUUCACAUAGGGGUUUAUCUUCCUUUGAACAAUGAACUCAGCCAAAGGUAUCUCAUCCAUUCCCAUGGUGGGCUCCUUGAGCUUGGUGGUGGUGUGCGUGGUUCUGCGUUGGGAGGCAUUGGAGCCCUCUGGAGCUUCAUCUUGGUUGUGGAGGCGCUUCGAGCCCGUGUCACGGCUGGGAUUCGAAUGACGAACAUUGUAACCGGAGCCACCACCUAGACACACAACACAAGAACAUGCACGAAGGACAAGAAGGAUCAAUGCAAACACCAGGGCCAAAGCCAAAAGAUACAAGCAAGAACGAGAUUUGGAACGAAAAAACAGUAUAAUUUGCACAUCUAUGGUAGUACCGGACCGGCGCACGGAUGUAAAAAAUUACGUCCAAUCCAGUCGCGGUAGUACCAUGCCGGAGUGGAACGGUAGUACCGCGCCUAGAGUGGAAGUAAUUUUUUACUUACGCGUCCCGAGCGGUAUUACCGCUCCAAGGGAGUGGUAGUACUGCGCGAGGCAGAUCGCGAGCAAGGAUGCAGUACUACCGCUCAGGAGGAGCGGUAGUACCGCAUGGAUUCAAACGCGUGGAUCUGGAUCAGGAACAGCUGCAAAACUAGAUUGGUACUACCAUUGAUCAAACUAAACUAUUGUGUCAUACCAAAUAGCAUACUUGCUACACUACCACUCGCCUACACUUCCUUCUUGCACAGAUCUAGCCAAAAAUCACAUGAACUACACAUGCAUCUCCCCAAGACCUAAAAGCACAAGAACGGAAUAAAAAGAGGAGGACUUGGGGAAAUACCGGGGUCCAUGGCAAGAGGACAAGGUGGGGAACGAUCCCACCGAACGUAAAGCAAGGAGAGCGACCGGAGAUGGAGGUCCGGCGAGGACCGCCGGUGCCGUUCUUGGGCAGGAGAGAGAGAGAGAGCCGGGGUGCGGAAAAGAGAUGAAUGGGUAUGGGGGAGUUGGAACUCCCCCCGCCCCGCUCUUAACCCCCAUCCGCUCGCGACGGUGCGGUAGUACCGCGGAUCAUCGCGGUAGUACCGCCCGGGCAAAAGUACCGCUCGUUGGGAGGUAGUACCGCUCUUCCAGCGAUAGUAAAAAAUUACUGCUACGAUGGAAGUGGUAGUACCGUGCACCUGGGAUGCAACUGUGCACGCACAAAGCAAACCACUCCUGCGGUAGUACCAUGGCUUGCCACCGUAGUACCGUACCCCCAAGAAAAUGCAAGUUUCGCAACAAAGAGGGAAACAACAUUUUCCAAUCAACCUUCAAGACACCGAACUCACCAAGAGGCAAGCACAAACGACGACACAAGCACGUCACAAAGAGAAGGCAAAAGACAACAAAGACCAAAACACGAGCCACAACCCUCAGGAGGAGAGGGCAGUGGCCAGAGCAACCUAUGUAUGAGUCACUUGGUAUGGCACCGUGAAGAAUAAUCCUUGGGCCCAUGACCAAGACUUGUCUUUGAAGCACAAGUACCAUAAAAAUGGCUAAUGUGAAAGAGUUGAUCAAUUUAUGCAUAAUGGGGGGAGGGAAAGUUCAUUGAGAGAACAACACUCCCCCUAUGUCCAUGCCUACACCUAAACUAGAUAUCACGUUGAGUAUGGUGGGGUGUGCACGGGUUCAAGCUACGUUGCUCGAAUCGAUGAUAUUUAGCUCAUGCCUUAACUCACGAAAUCUUGCUUCAUCCAAGGGCUUCGUGAAAAUAUAUGCAAGGUUAUGAUGAGUGUUGACAUGCUUGAGCUUGAUCUCCCCUCGCCUAAUGUGAUCCCGGAUGCAGUGAUACCGAAUCUCAAUAUGCUUCGUCUUGAAGUGUUGCACCGCGUUGAGAGAGAUCUUGAUGGCACUUUCAUUGUCAAACCAAAGAGGCACUUCAUCACAAGUGACACCGUAAUCCUUCAAAGUUUGCCUCAUCGAUAGAAGUUGAGCACCACAACUACCGGCAACCACAUACUCCGCUUCGGUGGACGAGAGAGAUACACAACUUUGCUUCUUAGAAGACCAACUCACCAAAGAGCAACCAAGAAAUUGGCACCCUCCGGAGGUGGACUUCCUGUCCAUUUUGUCUCCCGCCCAAUCUGAGUCCGAAUAGCCCAAAAGAUCAAAGUUGGCUCCUCUUUGGUACCAUAAGCCAAAGUUUGGGGUAUGAGCCAAAUAUCGAAAGAUUCGCUUGACCGCCACAAAGUGGCUUUCCUUAGGUGCGGCUUGAAACCAUGCACAAAUUCCCACACUCAACAUGAUAUCCGGUCUAGAUGCACAAAGUUAAAGCAAGGAUCCAACCAUGGAGUGGUAUACCUUUUGAUCCACCGCUUUACCAUUGGGAUCAAUGUCAAGUUGGCAUUUGACGGGCAUUGGAGUGGAAGCCGGCUUGACAUCACUUAGCUUGAAUCUCUUGAGCAUGUCUUGAGUGUAUUUGGCUUGGUUGAUGAAGGUUCCUUCUAUUCUUUGCUUGAUUUCAAACCCGAGAAAGAACUUCAUCUCACCCAUCAUAGACAUCUUGAUCUUUAAGGUCAUGAGAGCGGCAAAUUCCUCAUUGAAAGCUUUGUUAGGGGAACCAAAGAUAAUAUCAUCAACAUAUAGUUGGCACACAAACAACUCCCCUUUGACCUUCUUAGUAAAAAGAGUGGGGUCGAUUUUCCCAAUUGCGAACCCACAGUCUUGCAACAACUCAGUAAGAUGCUCAUACCACGCACGUGGGGCUUGUUUAAGGCCAUAGAGUGCCUUGUUGAGUUGGUACACAUGAUCGGGGAAAUAGGGAUCCUCGAACCCCGGGGGUUGUUUGACAUACACCAACUCAUUAAUGGGACCAUUAAGAAAAACAAUUUUCACAUCCAUUUGUUGCAACUUGAAAUUAUGAUGAGAAGCAUAAGCAAUCAACAAACGAAUAGACUCAAGGCGAGCAACGGGAGCAAAGGUUUCACCGUAGUCGAUACCCUUCGACUUGGGAGUAGCCUUGUGCCACCAAACGAGCCUUGUCACGAACAAUGAUUCCAUGAGCAUCUUGCUUGUUCUUGAAUAUCCACUUGGUUCCAAUGGCAUUAUGAUUCCCGGUUGGCCUUGGCACUAAUUUCCACACUUGGUUGUGCUCGAAGUUGUUGAGUUCUUCAUGCAUGGCAUUGAGCCAAUCCGGAUCCUCGAGCGCCUCAUAGACCUUUUGGGGUUCGACACAAGAAACAAACGCGUGAUGUUCACAAUAGUUUGCUAAUUGUCUACAAGUGCUUACCCCCUUUCUUAGGCUUCCAACCACAUUCUCCAUGAGAUGACCUUUGGUCGUGAGCUUGGAAGUGAUCUUCGCAGCACGACUCUCUAAUUCCUCCUCGGGUGAGAAAAGAGGAGGGGAAACUUGAUCAUCUUGAGCGCCGUCUUGAGCUUGUUCUUGAUCUUGAGCUUGCUCUUGAUCUUGAACUUGCUCGGGAGGGAGAACUUAACCUUGGGCAUCACUUGGUGGCUCACCACCAUCUUGAGGUUGAUCUUGCCCUUGAUCUUGUUCACGAGAUUGAGGGCCUUCACUUUGUUCUUCAGAAGCGUGUGGGUCUUGGGUCGGUGAUGGCUCCACUUGAGUGGAGCAUUGUCCUUCUCCUUCGGUCACAAGGGGUUCCUCAAUGGGUAGGAUAUGACCAACACCCAUUCUUCUUAUGUCUUGGGGAGGAAUUUCAUCACCUACAUCACAAGUACCACUUUGCUCCACUUGGGAGCCGUUAUUCUCAUCAAACUCCAUGUUACACGUCUCCUCAAUGAGUCCCUGGACUUGUUGAGGACGCGGUAAGCAUGAGAGUUUGUAGCAUAACCAACAAAUAUGCCCUCAUGAGCUCUAGCCUCAAAUUUAGACAAACGAACACCUUUCUUGAGAAUGAAACACUUACACCCGAACACCCGGAAGUACUUGAGGUUGGGUCUGUUACCGGUGAGUAUUUCAUAAGGAGUCUUGUUCAAGCCUUUGCGGACAUAAAGCUGAUUGGAUGCAUGACAUGCGGUGUUGAUGGAUUCGGCCCAAAAGUUGUAAGGAGACUUGAACUCCGCCAUCAUGGUCCUUGCCGCAUCCAUCAACGUCUGAUUCUUCCUCUUCGUGACACCAUUUUGUUGAGGGGUGUAUGUUGCAGAAUAUUGAUGCUUGAUCCCCUCAUCACUAAGAAACUCAUCCAAGGUGUAGUUCUUGAACUCAAUGCCAUUGUCACUUCUUAUUGUCAAGAUCUUUGCAUCGUGCUGACAUUGAGCUUCAUUUGCAAAGUCGAUGACAAUUUGUUGGGUUUCACUCUUCCUCUUGAAGAAAUACACCCAAGUGCACCUUGAGUAGUCAUCGACAAUCACCAAGCAAUACUUUCUACCCCCAAGACUAUCAAAGGAUGGAGGCCCAAAGAGAUCCAUGUGAAGGAGCUCCAAGGGUCUCCUCGAGUAGAUGAUAGUCGUGGGAGGGUGAGCCUUCUCAUGUAACUUUCCUUCUAUACAGCACUGCAAGCACAAUCUUUGGCAAAACUAACAUUUGUUAGUCCACGGACAUGGUCCGCCUUGAGAAGACUUUGCAAAGAUCUCAUAUUGACGUGGGAUAAACGGCGAUGCCAAAGCCACCCCACAUCAACUUUAGCCAUUAGGCAUGUCGCGGUCUUAGUGGGUCGCUCCGAAAAGUUAAUCACAUAAAGACCAUUCUCUACAUGCCCAACAAAGGCUACUUUAAGAGUCUUGCUCCACAAGAGGGCCACGACAUCAAUAUCAAAGAAUGUGGCAAAGCCCAUAAGUGCAAGUUGACAAAUGGAAAGUAGAUUGUAUGCAAGGGACUCGACAAGCAUGACUUUCUCGAUCGUGAGAUCAUGAGAAAUGACAACCUUGCCAAGAUCCAAUACAUUAGAGGAAGAGGCAUCACCCUACUCGAUGUUGGUGGGCAUAGAUGGGAUCUUGUGCACGUCCACCACCAAGUCCUUGCUUCCGGUCAUAUGAUUUGUGGCUCCGCUAUCGAGCAACCAUGAUCCCACACCGGAAGCAAACACCUACAAGAGAUCAAUGCUUGGUUUUAGGUACCCAUUUUGUGAUGGGUCCUUUGAUGUUAGUAACAAGGGUCUUAGGAACCCAAAUAGACCAUUCAAUGUACUCAUAAGGAGAACCAACAAAUUUAGCAUAAACAUGCCCAUCACUAGCACGUCACAACACAUAAGAAGGGUUAAAGUCACCGGCUUUGUUGGAAGGGGUGGCAUUGCCCUUUUUGAAAUCACCACCCUUCACAUUGUUCUUCUUCUCCUUUGGAGCACCCUCUCCCUCCUUCACAAAAGUUUUCUUGAGAGGAGGGGGUCAUUUGGUCUUGUCGUUCUUCUUCUUGUUCUUGGACUUGGACUUGGGUGCGAACCCAACUCCCUCCUUGGCCACAACUUCGUUUUGAUUGCUCAAAAGGUCACUGAGAUUCUUCUCACCUUGUAUGCACGACACAAGGCCUUUCUUAAGUUGCUCCUUCAUCUUGGCAUUCUCCUCCACAAGAUGCACAUGCUCACAACACGGGUUAGUGGCAUUUGCAUUAUCAAUUAAUACCAUAUGAGGAAAGGUGGCUUUCUCCUUGGUUAGCUUCACUUGGAGUUGAUCAUGAGACUCCUUGAGGAUAGCAUGAGCACCCUUCAAGACCUUGUGAGCCUUGUCGAGUAUAUCAAACUCCUCCUUGAGUCUAGCAUGGUCAACCCCAAGUUUAGCCUUGUCGAAUUUAGCACACGAGAUACAACAAUAGCAUGAUCAAGAUCUUUCUUUAAUUUAGCAUGGUCAUUGUUGUGUGACUCCUCAAGAGCCAAAUGAUGCACACGCUCUUCCUCAAGAGCAUUAGAAAGAUCCAAUAUCUCAUCGGCAUAGUCACGACUAUGACCUUCCAUCUUAGAGAUGGUUUCUUCAUGAGCCUCGAUCAUGUCAUUGGCUUCACCAAGUUGUUCCAAGAGAGCAACGAAGUGCUUCUUGGAUUUGCCCUUGAGCUUACUCAUAAAGAACUCCAUUUACUUCCUCAUUAGACCCCUCACUUUCAUCAAUGCAAUCCGUCAAGGAGGGAUUAGUAAUGAUGGUGGUUUCGAUGUUGGGGGUUACCUUGUUGUUGGCUUUAGCCAUUAGUCACUUGGCGGUGAUGUUCUCAUUGGGUGAGUCGAAGAGGGACACCCUUGGAGUUGUGGAAAUGGCAAUGGAGGCCAUGGCCAUGGCUUCACUAUCUUCAUCAUCAUAAUAAUCCUCAUGGUAUUCUUCUUGAGCCACCAACCCUUUGGUUGGAGUCUUCUUGGUGAAGUUGUUCUUGUUGGGGAAGAACUUGGCUUUGUCUUUUCGGAUGAGCUUGCCAUCAUUGUCUUCCCUCUUCUCGUAAGGGCACUCCGCAACAAAAUGGCUCACAUUGCCACAAUUGUAGCAUGUUCUCACACGUUGCUUGCCCUUGAAGCCACUUGAGUUGUUCUUUUUGAAGUUGGGCCUUGUGUUCUUCUUACUCCAAAAUUGCCUUGAAGCAAGAGCCAUGUGCUCAUGGUAAUCAUACUUAGUAUCUUCGGGGUUGCUCUCCUCUUCUUCCUCAUCAUCCUCUUCUUCCACACAAACCUUGGCCUUCAAGGCAAGGUUGGGAUUCUUUGCUCUCUGAGAACGCAACACCGCAUUGUCGGCGGUCUUGUCCAAGAUCCUCAUUGCCACAAACUCAUCCAACACUUCACUUGAGGACAAAAUGUGGAAGUCCGGCCUUUAACGGAUGACGGAGGACAUGACCUUGUGGUAGGGAAUCAUGGCCUUGAGGAACUUGCACUUGAUCCAAUUGUCAUCUGUAUCCUUGCUCCCAUGAUCUCGGAGUGAGACUGCGGGAGUGGUUAAUCUCCGGUAAAGCUCACGAGGUUCUUCAUCUUCAUUCAUUGCAAACUCAUCGGCUUCAUCCUGCACCACUUCAUAGUUGGAGCGUUGAAUGCUUGCACUUCCCUUGUAGAGGGAAACAACAUGGUGCCAUGCUUCCUUGGCCACGGUGAAGGGUCACAGAUGAGCAAUAUCUUUGGGAGGAAUAGCAUCUUGGAGGAUGAAGAGAGCAUUCUCAUUGAAUUGAUUAUCCGUGGCUUCUCUUGUGGUGAAGUUGCUUUGAUCGUGCGGAUAGAAACCUUCUUCAGUGAUUCUCCAAAGAUUAGUGUUAACAUGGUUUAAAUGACGCUUAAAGCGAUAGACCCAAGCAUCAAAAUCCUCAUUUUUCACAAUCUUAGGGGAGAACCGACAUGAUUUAAAUGGGUAGAGGGAAUCGGUCCUCCAUAAGUAAGUGGAGGUUCCACAUGGGCAAAAGUGCCACUACCAUUUCUACCACUAGACAAAGGAACUUUCUCACUAGUAGCUUCCCCCUUGUCAGAAUUAGCAUGCGUCACCUUGUUAGUGGGAUCGACCACUUCCAAUGGUGCGGUGGAUAAUUUGAGACCAUCAAGAAAGUUCUUAAGCAUGCCUUUGACCUCGGCCGUCAUGGAGGUUUUCAAUGUGUCCAAAGCCACAUUGAAUUCCUCACGUGAGACCGAGGUUCCCCCAUCGGCCGUAGACGAGGACGGAAUCACACCGGGGUGCUCCUCCUCACCAUCUACGGUGUCAACCAUACUCUUUGGAUGACAAAGUCCUUAAAAAGAGACGAGGCUCUGAUACCAAUUGAAAGGAUCGAUAUAGUUGACUAGAGGGGGUGAAUAGGCAACUAAUUUUUUUUAGCUUUUCUUUACCAAAUUAAACUUUGCAUCAAAGUAGGUUGUCUAGAACACACAAGCAAGCCAAGGAUAGAACACAAUAUAUCUUGCACAAGUAAAGGUAAGAGAUAACCAAGAGUGGAACCAAUGGAGACGAGGAUGUGUUACCGAAGAUCCUUCCCUUUGAAGGGAAAUACGUCUCCGUUGGAGCGGUGUGGAGGCACAAUGCUCCCCAAGAAGCCACUAGGGCAAUCGUAUUCUCCUCACGCCCUCGCACAAUGCGAGAUGCCAUGAUUCCACUAUUGGUGCCCUAGGAGGUGGCGACCGAACCUUUACAAACAAGGUUGGGGCAAUCUCCACAACUUAAUUGGAGGCUCCCAACGACACCAUGAAGCUUCACCACAACGGACUAUGGCUCCACGGUGACCUCAACCGUCUAGGGUGCUCAAACACCCAAGAGUAACAAGAUCUGCAAGGGAUUAGUGGGGGGAAUCAAAUUUCUCUAGGUGGAAGUGUAGAUCGAGGCCUUCUCAAGCAAUCCCUGAAGAAUCAACAAGUUUGAUUGGCUAGGGACAGAGAUCGGGUGAAAAUGGAGCUUGGGGAUGGAAGAGGUGGUCAACUCGGAGAAGAAGACACCCCUUUUAUAGUGGAAGAACAAAUCCAACCGUUAACCACCAACUCAGCCUGCGACGCGCGAUACUACCGCACCAUAUAAGCGGUACUACCGCACGGGCCCACGGUACUACCGUUGGCUCGGCAGAGGCCAGGACUAGACCUGUUGUGCAGAGACAAGGAGCAGUAGAACCGCUGGCGUGGUACUACCGCGUCCCCUUGCGGUACUACCGCAAGGCAGGGAUAGUCAAGCCAGAGGAGGCACGGACAUAAAAAAUUACAUUCGUGACUACAUCCGCUGAGUUUGGGUCUAUGCAAAAAUCCGACACGGUACUACCGCACGCCCAGCGCGGUACUACCAUGUAGGGCGCGGAUGUAAAAAAUUACAUCCGCCCCUACUUCCGUUCAUGCCGCUGUGCCUGGCCAGGGCAUACGGUACUACCGCAUCGAGGGCGCAGUACUACCGCGAUGGGCACGGAUGUAACAAAUUACAUCUGCGCCUACUACCGCUUGAGUAGCAGCACCUGACCAGAAACCUACGGUACUACCGCUCCCUUGGAGCGGUACUACCAUGAGCACUUGCAGUACUACCACGCAGGAUACCGGUACUACCACAAGGGCAUGUAGUAGUACCGCUUUGGGGAGCAGUACUACCGCCUGCCUCAGAACAGCAACAUUAGGAGUCCUUCAUUUUGCCUAGACAUGGAAAGACAGAGGAUUAGCCAAAGAGCCAAAGGAAAGGUGGUGCAAAAAGGAACAAAUGUGUACGUGAGAUUCCACCCAAACCUUUCCAACGCGGACCCCCUCUUGACAGUACGACUUUCCUACGAAUCAAAUCCACCAAAAAGAAACAUAGAGAAACGCCGUCUUCAAUAGUCUUCGAGGGGCACCAAAUCAUCUUGUGUUUAGACAUGAUAUAUCUGAAAUGCUCAAAGCACAUGAUUAGUUUGCAAAAGCAUUGUCAUCAAUCACCAAAACUACUAAGGGAUAAAUAUGCCCUUACACAUACUUUAGUAUUUUCAAAAUUUUCAAUCUUCACGCAAUACAUGAGCGUGAGCCAUGGACAUAGCACUAUAGGUGGAAUAGAAUGGUGGUUGUGGGGAAGACAAAAAGGAGAAGAUAGUCUCACAUCAACUAGGAAUAUCAACGGGCUAUGGAGAUGCCCAUCAAUAGAUAUCAAUGUGAGUGAGUAGGUAUUGCCAUGUAACGGAUGCACUAGAGCUAUAAGUGUAUGAAAGCUCAAAAGAGACUAAGUGGGUGUGUAUCCAACUUGCUUGCUCAUGAAGACCUAGGGUAUUUUGAGGAAGCCCAUCAUUGGAACAUACAAGCCAAGUUCUAUAAUGAAAAUUCUCACUAGUAUAUGAAAGUGACAACAUAGGAGACUCUCUAUCAUGAAGAUCAUGGUGCUACUUUGAAACACAAGUGUGGAAAAAGGAUAGUAACAUUGCCCCUUCUCUCUUUUUCUCUCGUCAUUUUUUUAUUUGGGCCUUCACUUUUUUAUGGCCUCUUUUUUUCGUCCGGAGUCUCAUCCCGACUUGUGGGGGAAUCAUAGUCUCCAUCAUCCUUUCCUCACAUGGGACAAUGCUCUAAUAAUGGAGACCAUCACACUUUUAUUUACUUACAACUCAAGAAUUACAACUCAAUACUUAGAACAAAAUCUGACUCUAUGUGAAUGCCUCCAGCAGUGUACCGGGAUGUGCAAUGAUUCAAGAGUGACAUGCAUGAAAAAAUUAUGAACGGUGGCUUUGCCACAAAUACUAUGUCAACUACAUGAUCAUUCAAAGCAAUAUGACAAUGAUGGAGCGUGUCAUAACAAAUGGAACGGUGGAAAGCUGCAUGGCAAUAUAUCUCGUAAUGGCUAUGGAAAUGCCACAAUAGGUAGGUAUGGUUGCUGUUUUGAGGAAGGUAUAUGGUGGGUGAAUGGUAUCGGCGAAAGUUGCGCGGCACAAGAGAGGCUAGCAAUGGUGGAAGGUUGAGAGUGUGUAUAAUCCAUGGACUCAACAUUAGUCAUAAAGAACUCACAUACUUAUUGCAAAAAUCUACAAGUCAUCAAAACAAAGUACUACACGCAUGCUCCUACGGGAAGGGUUGGUAGGAGUUAACCAUCGCGCGAUCCCGACCUCCACUCAUAAGGAAGACAAUCAAUAAAUAAAUCAUGCUCCAACUUCAUCACAUAACGGUUCACCAUACAUGCAUGCUACGGGAAUCACAAACUUAAACACAAGUACCUCUCAAAUUCACAACUACUCUACUAGCAUGACUCUGAUAUCACCAUCUUCGUAUCUCAAAACAGUCAUAAAGAAUCAAACUUCUCAUAGUAUUCAAUGCACUUCAUAUGAAAGUUUUUAUUAUGUCCAUCUUGGAUGCCCAUCAUAUUAGGACUAAUUUUAUAACCUAAGAAAAUUACCAUGAUGUUCUAAAAGACUCUCAAAAUAAUAUAAGUGAAGCAUGAGAGUUCAACAAUUUCUAUAAAAUAAAACCACCGCCGUGCUCUAAAAAGAUAUAAGUGAAGCACUAGAGCAAUAUUGUCUAACUCAAAAUAUAUAAGUGAAGCACAUAGAGUAUUCUAACAAAUCACGAUUCAUGCGUGUCUCUCCCAAAAGGUGUGUACAGCAAGGAUGAUUGUGGUAAACUAAAAGGCAAAGACUCAAAUCAUACAAGACUCUCCAAGCAAAACACAUAUCAUGUGGUGAAAAAAAAUAUAGCCUCAAGUAAAGUUACCGAUAGACGAAGACGAAAGAGGGGAUGCCCCGGGCUUAGGCUUUUUAUUGUCCUUGAAUUUUUACCUUGGGGUGCCUUGGGCAUCCCCAAGCUUAGGCUCUUUCCACUCCUUAUUCCAAAGUCCAUCAAAUCCUUACCCAAAACUUGAAAACUUCACAACACAAAACUUCAACAGAAAAUCUCAUGAGCUGUGUUAGUAUAAGAAAAUAAAUCACCACUUUAAGGUACUGUUGUGAACUCAUUCUUUAUUUAUAUUGGUGUAAAACCUACUGUAUUCCAAAUUCUCUAUGGUUCAUACCCCACCCCCCACCCCCCCGAUACUACUCAUAGAUUCAUCAAAAUAAGCAAACAACACGCGAAAAACAGAUUCUGUCAAAAACAGAACAGUCUGUAGUAAUCUGUAACUCUCAAAUACUUCUGUAACUCCACAAAUUCUGAAAUAAAUUGGUGGACGUGAGGAAUUUGUCUAUUAAUCUUCUUCAAAAAUAAUCAACCUAAAAUCCCUCUUCUGUUAAAAACAAAAAUUAUUCUCGUGAGCGCAAAGUUUCUGUUUUUUACAGCAAGAUCUCAUUAACUUUCACCCAAGUCUUCCCAAAGGUUCUACUUGGCACAAACACUAAUUAAAACUUAAAACAACAUCUAACCAGAGGGUAGAUGAAUUAUUUAUUACUAAAUAGGAGCAAAAGGUAAAUAACAAAAAUAAAAUUGGGUUGCCUCCCAACAAGCGCUAUCGUUUAACACCCUUAGUUAGGCAUUGAUAAUUUUAAUGAUGCUCACAUCAAGGACAAGAAUUGAAGCACAAAGAGAGCAUCAUAAAACAUGUGACAAACACAUCUAAGUCUAACAUACUUCCUAUGCAUAGGCAUUUUAUAGGAAAACAAAUUAACAAGACAAGCAAGAUCUAGCAUAUGCAAGGAAGAAGAAAGAAACAAUAGCCAUCUCAACAUAACGAGAGGAAAUUUAGUAACAUGAGAAUUUCUACAACCAUAUUUUACUCUCUCAUAAUAAUUACAUGUAGGAUCAUAAGAAAAUUCAACAAUGUAGCUAUCACAUAACAUAUUCUCAACAAGAUCCACAUGCAUGCGAAGUUGACACUCUUCCAAAAUAGUGGGAUUAAUAUUAACUAAAGUCAUGACCUCUCCAAACCCACUUUUAUCAAAAAAUUCAUAAGAUUGAACAUUCUCCAAAUAUGUGGGAUCUAAAGUUGGCACUCUUCCAAACCCACUAUCAAUAUUAUUGCAAACAUUAUUAUCAAUCUCCUAUUCAUCAUGGGGCUUAAAUAAAUUUUCAAGAUCAUAAGAAGAAACACCCCAAUCCUGAUGAUUGCAACAAAUAGUAGACAUAGCAAAACUAGCAUCCCCAAGCUUAGGAUUUUGCAUAUUACUAGCACAACUGACAUUAAUAGAAUUUAUAGUAAAAUCAUUGCAACUAUGCUUUUUAUUCAAUGAGCUAUCUGAAGGAAAUAUGCCCUACAUGCAAUAAUAAAGUUAUUAUUUAUUUCCUUAUUUCAUGAUAAAUGAUUAUUAUUAUUCAUGCUAGAAUUGUAUUAGCCAGAAACAUAAUACAAGUGUGAAUACAUAGACAAACAUAGUGUCACUAGUAUGCCUCUACUUGACUAGCUCGUGAAUCAAAGAUGGUUAAGUUUCCUAGCCAUAGAAAUGAGUUGUCAUUUGAUUAACGGGAUCACAUCAUUAGGAGAAUGAUGUGAUUGACUUGACCCAUUCUGUUAGCUUAGCACUUGAUCGUUUAGUAUGUUGAUAUUGCUUUCUUCAUGACUUGUACAUGUUCCUACAACUAUGAUAUUAUGCAACUUCCGUUUACCAGAGGAACACUUUGUGUGCUACCAAACGUCACAACGUAACUGGGUGAUUAUAAAGGAGCUCUAUAGGUGGCUCCAAAGGUACUUAUUGAGUUGGCGUAUUUCGAGAUUAGGUUUUGUCACUCCGAUUGUCGGAGAGGUAUCUCUUGGCCCUCUUGGUAAUGCACAUCACUAUAAGCCUUGCAAGCAAUGUGGCUAAUGAGUUAGUUACAGAAUGAUGCAUUACAUAACGAGUAAAGAGACUUGCCGGUAACGAGAUUGAACUAGGUAUUGAGAUGCCGACGAUCGAAUCUCAGGCAAGUAACAUACCAAUGACAAAGGGAACAAUGUAAGUUGUUAUGUGGUUUGACCGAUAAAGAUCUUCGUAGAAUAUGUAGGAGCCAAUAUGAGCAUCCAUGUUCCGCUAUUGGUUAUUGACCGGAAAUGUGUCUCGGUCAUGUCUACAUAAUUCUCGAACCCGUAGGGUCCGCACGCUUAAGGUUUCGAUGACAGUUAUAUUAUGAGUUUAUGUAUUUUGAUGUACCGAAUGUAGUUCGGAGUCCCGGAUGAGAUCGGGUACAUGACGAGGAGUCUCGAAAUGGUUGAGACAUAAAGAUCGAUAUAUUGGACGACUAUAUUCGGACUUCGGAAAGGUUUUGAGUGAUUCGGGUAUUUUUCGGAGUACCGGAGAGUUACGGGAAUUCGCCGGGGAGUAUAUGGGCCUUAUUGGGCCAUACGGGAAUAGAGGAGAGAGGCCUAAAGGAAGGAGGCGCGCAGCCCCCCUCUGGUCCGAAUUGGACAAGGGGUGCAGCCCCCUUUUCCUUCUUCCUCUCCCCCUUUUCCUUCUCUCCUACUCCAACAAGGGAAGGAGGAGUCCUACUCCCGGUGGGAGUAGGACUCCCCCUUGGCGCGCCCUCCUCCUAGGCCAAUCGCCUCCCCCCGUGCUCCUUUAUAUACGGGGGCAGGGGGCACCCCAUAGAACACAACAAUUAAUCUCUUGAUCUCUUAGCCGUGUGCGGUGCCCCCCUUCACCAUAGUCCUCCUCGAUAAUAUUGUAGCGGUGCAUAGGUGAAGCCCUGCGACGGUAGAACAUCAAAAUCGUCACCAUGCCAUCAUGCUGAUGGAACUCUCCCUCGACACUUGGCUGGAUCGGAGUUCGAGGGACGUCAUCAAGCUGAACGUGUGCUGAACUCGGAGGUGCCGUACGUUCGGUACUUGGAUCGGUCGGAUCAUGAAGACGUACGACUACUCAACCGCAUUAUGCUAACGCUUCCGCUUUCGGUCUAUGAGGGUACGUGGACAACACUCUCCCCUCUCGUUGCUAUGCAUCACCAUGAUCUCGCGUGCGUGUAGGAAUUUUUUUGAAAUUACUACGUUCCUCAACAAUGGCAUCCGAGCCUGGUUUUAUGCGUUGAUGUUAUAUGCACGAGUAGAACACAAGUGGGUUGUGGGCGAUACAAGUCAUACUGCUUACCAGCAUGUCAUACUUUGGUUCGGCGGUAUUGUUGGAUGAAGCGCCCGGACCAACAUUACGCGUACGCUUACGCGAGAUUGGUUCUACCGAUGUGCUUUGCACAUAGGUGGCUGGCGGGUGUUAGUUUCUCCAACUUUAGUUGGACUGAGUGUGGCUACGCCCGGUCCUUGAGAAGUUUAAAACAACACUAACUUGACGAACUAUCGUUGUGGUUUUGAUGCGUAGGUAAGAAUGGUUCUUGCUCAGCCCGUAGCAGCCACGUAAAACUUGCAACAACAAAGUAGAGGACAUCUAACUUGUUUUUGCAGGGCAUGUUGUGAUGUGAUAUGGUCAAGACGUGAUGCUAUAUUUUAUUGUAUGAGAUGAUCAUGUUUUGUAACCGAGUUAUCGGCAACUGGCAGGAGCCAUAUGGUUGUCGCUUUAUUGUAUGCAAUGCAAUCGCCCUGUAAUUGCUUUACUUUAUCACUAAGCAGUAGCGAUAGUCGUAGAAGCAAUAGGUGGCAAAACGACAACGAUGCUAUGAUGGAGAUCAAGGUGUCGCGCCGGUGACGAUGGUGAUCAUGACGGUGCUUCGGAGAUGGAGAUCACAAGCACAAGAUGAUGAUGGCCAUAUCAUAUCCCUUAUAUUGAUUGCAUGUGAUGUUUAUCCUUUAUGCAUCUUAUUUUGCGUUGAUUGACGGUAGCAUUAUAAGAUGAUCUCUCACUAAAUUUCAAGGUAUAAGUGUUCUCCCUGAGUAUGCACCGUUGCGAAAGUUCUUCGUGCUGAGACACCACGUGAUGAUCGGGUGUGAUAGGCUCUAUGUUCAAAUACAACGGGUGCAAAACAGUUGCACAUGCGGAAUACUCAGGUUAAACUUGACAAGCCUAGCAUAUACAGAUAUGGCCUCGGAACAUUGAGACCGAAAGGUCGAGCGUGAAUCAUAUAGUAGAUGUGAUCAACAUAGUGAUGUUCACCAUUGAAAACUACUCCAUCUCACGUGAUGAUCGGACAUGGUUUAGUUGAUUUGGAUCACGUGAUCAGUUAGAUGAUUAGAGGGAUGUCUAUCUAAGUGGGAGUUCUUAAGUAAUAUGAUUAAUUGAACUUUAAUUUACCAUGAACUUAGUCCUGGUAGUAUUUUGCAAAUUAUGUUGUAGAUCAAUAGCUUGCGUUAUUGCUUCCCUAUGUUUUUAUAUGUGUUCCUAGAGAAAACUAAGUGAAAGAUGUUAGUAGCAAUGAUGUGGACUUGGUCUGUGAUCUGAGGUUUAUCCUCAUUGCUGCACAGAAGAAAUAUGUCCUUGAUGCACCGCUAGGUGACAGACCUAUUGCAAGAGCAUAUGUAGACGUUAUGAAUUUUUGGCUAGCUCAAUAUGAUGACUACAUAGUUUUGUGCACCAUGCUUUAUGGCUUAGAACCGGGACAACAAAAAUGUGUUUGAAACGUAACGGAACAUAUGAGAUGUUCCAUGAGAUGAAAUUGAUAUUUCAGAAUAAUGCCCGUGUCAAGAGGUAUGAGACCUCUGACAAAUACUUUGCCUAAAAGAUGGAGGAGAAUUGCUCAACUAGUGAGCAAGUGCUUAGAUUGUUUGAGUACUACAAUCACUUGAAUCAAGUGGGAGUUAAUAUUCUAGAUAAGAUAGUGAUUGAUAGAGUUCUCUAGUCACCAUCACCAAGUUACUAAAACUUUUUGAUGAACUAUAGUAUGCAAGGGAUGACGAAAACGAUUCCCGAGCUCUUCGUAAUGUUGAAAUUGACGAAGGUAGAAAUCAAGAAAAAGCAUCAAGUGUUGAUGAUUGACAAGACCACUAGUUUCAAGAAAGGGAACUUCAAGUAGAAUGACAAGCAAGUUGUCACUCAAGCGAAGAAGCCCAAAGCUGGACCAAAGCCUGAAACUGAGUGCUUACACUGCAAAGGAAAUGGUCAUUGGAAGUGGAAAUGCCCUGAAUAUUUGGUGGAUAAAGAAGGAUGGCAAAGUGAACAAGGGUAUAUUUGAUAUAUAGGUUAUUGAUGUGUGCCUUACUAGUGUUUAUAGUUGCCCCUGAGUAUUUGAUACUUGUUCGGUUGCUAAGGUUAGUAACUCGAAACAGGAGUUACAGAAUAAAAGAGACUAGUUGAAGGGAAAGUGACGAUGAGUGUUGGAAGUAGUUCCAAGAUUGAUAUGAUUAUCAUCACACACUCCCUAUAUUUUCGGGAUUAGUGUUAAACCUAAAUAAAUGUUAUUUGGUGUUUGCGUUGAGCAUGAAUAUGAUUCGAUCAUGUUUAUUGCAAUAUGGUUAUUCAUUUAAAGUCAGAGAUUAAUUGUUGUUCUAUUUACAUGAAUAAAACCUUCAAUGGUCAUACACCCAAUGAAAAUAGUUUGUUGGAUCUUGAUCGUAGUGAUACACAUAUUCAUAAAUAUUGAUGCCAAAAGAUGCAAAGUUAAUAAUGAUAGUGCAACUUAUUUGUGGCACUGCCGUUUGGGUCAUAUUAGUGUAAAGCGCAUGAAGAAACUCCAUAAAUAUGGAUUUUUGGAAUCACUUGGUUAUGAAUCAUUUGAUGCUUGCGAACCGUGCCUUUUAGGCAAGAUGACUAAAACUCCAUUCUCCAGAACAAUGGAACAAGCUACUGACUUGUUGGAAAUAAUACAUACCGAUGUAUACGGUCCAUGAGUGUUAAUGCUCAUGGCAGGUAUCGUUAUUUUCUAACCUCCACAGAUGAUUUGAGCAGAUAUGAGUAUAUCUACUUGAUGAAACAUAAGUCUGAAACAAUUGAAAGGUUCAAAGAAUUUCAGAGUGAAGUGGAAAAUCAUCAUAACAAGAAAAUAAAGUUUUCUGCGAUCUGAUCAUGGAGACGAAUAUUUGAGUUACGAGUUUUGCCUUCAGUUAAAACAAUGUGGAAUAGUUUCACAGUUGACGCCACAUGGAACACCAUAGUGUAAUGGUGUGUCCAAACAUCGUAACCGCACUUUAUUGGAUAUGGUGCAAUCUAUGAUGUAUCUUACCGAUUUACCACUAUUGUUUUGGGGUUAUGCAUUAGAGAUAGCUGCAUUCACGUUAAAUAGGGCACCAUCUAAAUCCGUUGAGACGACACCGUAUGAACUAUGGUUUAGCAAUAAACCUAAGCUGUCGUUUCUUAAAGUUUGGGGUUACGAUGCUUAUGUGAAAAAGUUUCAGCAUAAUAAGCUCAAACCCAAAUCGGAGAAGUGCGUCUUCAUAGAAUACCCAAAAGAGACUAUUGGGUACACCUUCUAUCACAGAUCCGAAGGCAAGAUCUUUGUUGCUUAAUAUGGAUCCUUUCUAGAGAAGGAGUUUCUCUCGAAAGAAGUGAGUGGGAGGAAAGUAGAACUUGAUGAGGUAACUGUACCUACUCCCUUAAUGGAAAGUAGUUCAUCACAGAAAUCUAUUCCUGUGAUUCCUACACCAAUUAGUGAGGAAGCUAAUGAUGAUGAUCAUGUCACUUCAGAUCAAGUUACUACCGAACCUCGUAGGUCAAGCAGAGUAAGAUCCACACUAGAGUGGUACAGUAAUCCUAUUCUGGAGGUCAUAUUACUUGACCAUGGAGAACCUACGAACUAUGAGGAAGCGAUGAUGAGCCCAGAUUCCGCGAAAUGGCUUGAGGCCAUGAAAUCCGAGAUGGGAUCCAUGUAUGAGAACAAAGUAUGGACUUUGGUUGACUUGCCCGAUGAUCGGCAAGCCAUCGAGAAUAAAUGGAUCUUCAAGAGGAAGACAUACGCUGAUAGUAGUGUUACUAUCUACAAAGCUCGACUUGUCGAAAAAGGUUUUUGACAAGUCCAAGGUGUUGAACACGAUGAGAUUUUCUCACUUGUAUCGAUGCUCAAGUCUGUCCGAAUCAUGUUAGCAAUUACCACAUUUUAUGAAAUCUGGCAAAUGGAUGUCAAAACUACAUUCCUUAAUGGAUUUAUUAAAGAAGAGUUGUAUAUGAUUCAACCAGAAGGUUUUGUCAAUCCUAAAGGUGCUAACAGAGUGUGCAAGCUCCAGUGAUCCAUCUAUGGACUGGUGCAAGCAUCUCGGAGUUGGAAUAUACGCUUUGAUGAGUUGAUCAAAGCAUAUGGUUUUAUACAGACUUUUGGAGAAGCCUGUAUUUACAAGAAAGUGAGUGGGAGCUCUGUAGCAUUUCUAAUACUAUAUGUAGAUGACAUAUUGUUGAUUGGAAAGGAUAUAGAAAUUCUAGAUAGCAUAAAAGGAUACUUGAAUAAGAGUUUUUCAAAAGAAAGACCUCAGUGAAGCUGCUUACAUAUUAAGCAUCAAGAUCUAUAGAGAUAUAUUAAGAUGCUUGAUAAGAUUUUUCAAUGAGUACAUACCUUGAUAAGAUUUUGAAUUAGUUCAAAAUGGAACAGUCAAAGAAGGAGUUCUUGCCUGUGUUGCAAGGUGUGAAGUUGAGUAAGGCUCAAAACCCGAACAUGGCAGAAAAUAGAAAGAGAAUGAAAAGUCAUUCCCUAUGCCUCAGUCAUAGGUUCUAUAAAGUAUGCUAUGCUGUGUACCAGACCUAUUGCAUACCUUGCUCUGAGUUGGGCAAGGGAGUACAAUUUUUUGAUCUAGGAGUAGAUCACUGGACAACGGUCAAGAAUAUCCUUAAUGAGUACUAAGGAAAUAUUUCUCGAUUAUGGAGGUGAUAAAAGAGUUCAUCGUAAAAGGUUACAUCGGUGCAAGCUUUUACACCAAUCCAGAUGACUCUAAGUCUCAAUCUGGAUACAUAUUGAAAGUGGGAGCAAUUAGCUAGAGUAGCUCCNNNNNNNNNNUACUUAUUGAGUUGGCGUAUUUCGAGAUUAGGUUUUGUCACUCCGAUUGUCGGAGAGGUAUCUCUUGGCCCUCUUGGUAAUGCACAUCACUAUAAGCCUUGCAAGCAAUGUGGCUAAUGAGUUAGUUACAGAAUGAUGCAUUACAUAACGAGUAAAGAGACUUGCCGGUAACGAGAUUGAACUAGGUAUUGAGAUGCCGACGAUCGAAUCUCAGGCAAGUAACAUACCAAUGACAAAGGGAACAAUGUAAGUUGUUAUGUGGUUUGACCGAUAAAGAUCUUCGUAGAAUAUGUAGGAGCCAAUAUGAGCAUCCAUGUUCCGCUAUUGGUUAUUGACCGGAAAUGUGUCUCGGUCAUGUCUACAUAAUUCUCGAACCCGUAGGGUCCGCACGCUUAAGGUUUCGAUGACAGUUAUAUUAUGAGUUUAUGUAUUUUGAUGUACCGAAUGUAGUUCGGAGUCCCGGAUGAGAUCGGGUACAUGACGAGGAGUCUCGAAAUGGUUGAGACAUAAAGAUCGAUAUAUUGGACGACUAUAUUCGGACUUCGGAAAGGUUUUGAGUGAUUCGGGUAUUUUUCGGAGUACCGGAGAGUUACGGGAAUUCGCCGGGGAGUAUAUGGGCCUUAUUGGGCCAUACGGGAAUAGAGGAGAGAGGCCUAAAGGAAGGAGGCGCGCAGCCCCCCUCUGGUCCGAAUUGGACAAGGGGUGCAGCCCCCUUUUCCUUCUUCCUCUCCCCCUUUUCCUUCUCUCCUACUCCAACAAGGGAAGGAGGAGUCCUACUCCCGGUGGGAGUAGGACUCCCCCUUGGCGCGCCCUCCUCCUAGGCCAAUCGCCUCCCCCCGUGCUCCUUUAUAUACGGGGGCAGGGGGCACCCCAUAGAACACAACAAUUAAUCUCUUGAUCUCUUAGCCGUGUGCGGUGCCCCCCUUCACCAUAGUCCUCCUCGAUAAUAUUGUAGCGGUGCAUAGGCGAAGCCCUGCGACGGUAGAACAUCAAAAUCGUCACCAUGCCAUCAUGCUGAUGGAACUCUCCCUCGACACUUGGCUGGAUCGGAGUUCGAGGGACGUCAUCAAGCUGAACGUGUGCUGAACUCGGAGGUGCCGUACGUUCGGUACUUGGAUCGGUCGGAUCAUGAAGACGUACGACUACUCAACCGCAUUAUGCUAACGCUUCCGCUUUCGGUCUAUGAGGGUACGUGGACAACACUCUCCCCUCUCGUUGCUAUGCAUCACCAUGAUCUCGCGUGCGUGUAGGAAUUUUUUUGAAAUUACUACGUUCCUCAACAAUGGCAUCCGAGCCUGGUUUUAUGCGUUGAUGUUAUAUGCACGAGUAGAACACAAGUGGGUUGUGGGUGAUACAAGUCAUACUGCUUACCAGCAUGUCAUACUUUGGUUCGGCGGUAUUGUUGGAUGAAGCGCCCGGACCAACAUUACGCGUACGCUUACGCGAGAUUGGUUCUACCGAUGUGCUUUGCACAUAGGUGGCUGGCGGGUGUUAGUUUCUCCAACUUUAGUUGGACUGAGUGUGGCUACGCCCGGUCCUUGAGAAGUUUAAAACAACACUAACUUGACGAACUAUCGUUGUGGUUUUGAUGCGUAGGUAAGAAUGGUUCUUGCUCAGCCCGUAGCAGCCACGUAAAACUUGCAACAACAAAGUAGAGGACAUCUAACUUGUUUUUGCAGGGCAUGUUGUGAUGUGAUAUGGUCAAGACGUGAUGCUAUAUUUUAUUGUAUGAGAUGAUCAUGUUUUGUAACCGAGUUAUCGGCAACUGGCAGGAGCCAUAUGGUUGUCGCUUUAUUGUAUGCAAUGCAAUCGCCCUGUAAUUGCUUUACUUUAUCACUAAGCAGUAGCGAUAGUCGUAGAAGCAAUAGGUGGCAAAACGACAACGAUGCUAUGAUGGAGAUCAAGGUGUCGCGCCGGUGACGAUGGUGAUCAUGACGGUGCUUCGGAGAUGGAGAUCACAAGCACAAGAUGAUGAUGGCCAUAUCAUAUCCCUUAUAUUGAUUGCAUGUGAUGUUUAUCCUUUAUGCAUCUUAUUUUGCGUUGAUUGACGGUAGCAUUAUAAGAUGAUCUCUCACUAAAUUUCAAGGUAUAAGUGUUCUCCCUGAGUAUGCACCGUUGCGAAAGNNNNNNNNNNNNNNNNNNNNNNNNNNNNNNNNNNNNNNNNNNNNNNNNNNNNNNNNNNNNNNNNNNNNNNNNNNNNNNNNNNNNNNNNNNNNNNNNNNNNGUAGCUGGCCUUGGCGGCAUCAGAUGAGCGAGGUCGCCGCGCUUUUGUCCGCUUCAGGCAAGGCGGGUGUCAAGGUGGUGCUGGCGGCGAUGUUGGGGAAGUUGCGACGGUGCGGUGGUGGUGGUGACGUUGGAAGGUGGCGUGUUGCGGGGGAGGUAUGUGGGCGCGGACGGUUGGCCAGGGCACCAAAACUGGGCGGCGCCGGCGACGGGGUGAGACAGUCGGGUGUGCUGGCUGUAAAUGCGUGGAAGAGAAUGGCCUAUGUGCCACCGACUGACGUGCCAGGAGGAGAGUAGGCGGAUGUCGCGUGCCCGCGCCGACGGAAACUAGGCCCAAAUUUAGGUCUGAAAUGGGUUGUCCGGCGUACAAAAAGCAGACGGGUCUGUUUCGGUCGGUGCUUUGGGCCGACAUUUUUGUCCGUUGCUACCCGAACAAAGAUUAAAUGGAUUGACGGGUUGGAGUUUCUCUUAGGGCAUAAGCAAUGGUCCCAGCCCAUCCACCUAGGCAACCCAAAUUAUUUUGAUUUUCUUCAUCCAGCUAGAAAAUAUAAGCCGAUGCCUCAUGGUCGUCAUCUCCUUGCUUUUUUUUCUCUCCCUUUCCCAUUGUGGUCAUUUGCAUUCUCCUUUUCCUCUACCUUUCCCUCUCUCUCCUUUCUUUUUCUUCUUUUGCUCAUGAAGCACCCGGCUCCCCUGCAAGCUACCGUCCGAGGCUAGGACUGACACCCGAGCCUAGUUGGCAUGCGGGGCACCCGGUUGAAGCCACCCGUUGGCCAUGCUCUUAUACUCCCUCCGUUCCAAAAUAGAUGAUUCUAACUUUAAUACAAAGUUGGUUCGUCUAUUUUGGAACGGAGGAAGUACCUUGUAAAAUAAAGUAUAUCCAGAUGACUCUAACUUUUUAUUUUGGAAUGGAGGUGUUUAUGGUCCUCUGUGUUUGCGUUUCAGUGUGCUUGUAAGGGUCAACUUAUUUGUAUUGAUUCGUGAUAUGAAUCGAAAAAUUCUAAAAAAAAAAAAUAUCCAGCCGACCGGGACUGUCCCGCGAGAGCGCUUCUCACCGCCGAUAGGACAGGGACACUACCGUCAUUUUGACCAGAUGGGCAGGAAAAUGGCGCGAAAGGCGUCACGCUCGCUUGAGGCCACGCCAAGUUCCCGCCAAAUCCACCCGGGCGGUCCCCACCGCCUCCUCACCGGGCCGCACGAAUAACGGCCGAGAUGCCGCCUCGUGGCGCACCGAAGCACUCGUAAGCAGCAAAUAUCCGGUUUGAAAAGUCUACCAAACCAAGAAACGUGCCCAUGCCCAGGUGUCUUUCUAGUUUCUACCACCAUUUCCCCCCAAUUUCUUGGCGAGCGACGGCGACACGGCGGCCGGCUAUGUUUAUUUGAUCUGCGCAACUUUGCCGAAUUGACCUCUCACAAUCGGCGGCCCUACACGCUUGGAAAAUGCAAAGGAAAACAUUCGCUUGCUACUACUGGGAUCCUGUCAAGGUCACACUCCCACUUGGGCCUGAAUUUGGAGCCAGUAAAGACGCAAAAUCUUCACCACUUGGACGCCAGCUCGCGUAAACAACUCACAACGACGACGACCAAGGCGGAAAGGCUGUGUAAUGAAACAAACACACGAGCUGACGACCACUUCACCACCACGACAACAAUUACAGUUUACUCGUCAUUACAGUAACGGGCAUGCGGCCACUGUCGGCACUGCGACGCGACCGCACUGCUCCGUUUCCACGCCGGAGACGUGCGAGUUAAGGCGGAUCACGCACAACGCCGGGGCGCCGGGGCCCCCCGCCUGAGCUCACCUCCACCACCACCACCACCACCACCACAAGCAACACACCAUUCACUCCUCUGCUCUGCUGCUACCGGAGUGUACGCACUACUAGUAGAUCUAUAAUUAAUAAACGAAGUAAUAAUAAUAGUAACAGUACUGAAACGCAUCUCCCGCCACCGGCUCACGCAUCUCCCGCCACUUCCCCGCCCCGAGGGCGCGAAACGCCGCGACACGGG
rnacentral:lncRNA from 1 species